rnacentral:lncRNA from 1 species
UUGACUCAAGACCGAGUCGGGUGGAUAGUUGAUAAAGGUAAAUGAGACCUUAUGAUUAAAAUGGUAAAUGACAGAAAACCUUAAAUGUCAAUUGGAUGAAAGUAGUAAUCGAUUAAAUUACUAGUUGAUUGUGUAGUCGCAUCAUUGCAUGAUCUUCAUAUUGCAGUCGUGAGGCAAUGCAUGGUUUCAUUUGUUGCAUAAUCAAGGUAUAUAUCUAUCUGUUUAUUGAACUAACUUGUAGUUGCCUCUCUUGGACCUAUUGGUCGAGUUUUUCCCUUGGGUGGCCGUACCCACUGGGAACCAUGGAGUUGGUUCUCACCCCACGUGGUUUUGGGGUGUUACAGGUUCACACGUGAGCGGCGCGGCGGCGCGAGGCGAGGGCGUAGCAUCAUAGUUAGCGCCCUACCACCGAGACCAAAGAUAGCGGUACCCUGAGUCGGCUUGCUUAGGAUUGUAGAAAAUAAAAAAAAAUCAAGUUGUAAUAAUCAUGUUAAAUCGGAUUGUAUUUGGAAGUUGAAUGUAAUAAGUAUUUGGGAUGUAAAAUGUAUGAAUGUGAAUGCUUGUAAUAACAAGUAGAUUAUGUUUUCCUUAUGCAAUCUUUGAUUGAAAUGUGUUCCUGGUUGGAACUUUGUACAUUGUAUUGAUUGCGACGCCUUGAAUGUACAGGGGAGACUCUGUCCGCGGUACAGGAAAAACCCUGUCCGUUCGGCGGUCUGUUGCGGUGCCGCGACCCGGCCAAAUAGGCGGGCGGUCGCGGGGCGUGACAACCACCAUCAGGUAAGAAGUAAAAAGAAAGAAAAAAGAAAAUAUUUUUUAGAAAAGUGAAAAAUACGGAGAAGAAGAAAAAGAGAAAAAGGAUAAGAGACUUAAAAGUUUAAAAAGAAAAAAAAAAAAGAAAAGAACAUAGAGCUGUGAUUUUUUUUUUGUCCGACAUUGCCACCAUUAACGCCGCCCAAGCCGUCGUCACCGCUGUGACUGACGCCCAUCGCUGUCAUGACUAUCACUAGCACUGCCUAAACUAUCGCUACCGCCGCGUUUGCCAUCAUUGCUGCACAAGCCGCUGAAGCCCACUUUGAAUUCCCUCACAUAAGAGGGAAAGAGUGUGUGAGUACUACGAAAAAGAGAUGGGGAGAGAGAGGAGGAACUAGCUUAUGGAGCGAAGAGAGAGAAGAGGGAUGAAAAUGAGAGAAGAGGAAGAAGAGAGUAGGGAAGAGAAAGAGAGGGAGAGGGAGAAUAAGGGCCAACUAUAGAAGGGAAGAGAGAGAGGGGGAGAGAAAGAGAACAUGAGGCCACUUAGAGGAGAAGAAAAAGAGGAGGAGAGAAGGGAAGAGAAAAGUGGGGCCACAUGUAAAAGGGAAGAGAAAGAGAGAGAGGAGAAAAGGGAAGAGAGAGAGGUAGGGGUAUAAUAUGGACUGUGUCGAGCCUGCACGUCCCACAUUAAGUUGGGUCGAAACGGGCCGAAGUCCAGCCCGGCACAGCUCGACCCUAAAGUCGGGCCGUGCCGUGCCGGGCCGUAGCUCUUGGACCCCCGGCCCAACACGUUCCCCCGGCCCGGAGGUCGCGGUCGUGCCGGACUUCAGGCCAGCCCUUAUUUAUUUAUUUAAUUUUAUUUAAAAAUAUAUAAAUUUUUGUAAAAAAUAAAAAAGUUAAUAUACUAUUAUUUAAAAAAUAUAUGAUUAAAAAGUUUCAAAAUUUAAAACAUAUUUAUAAAAAAUAAUAAAAUUUUAAAAUUAUUUAAAAAUAUAAAUAUUUUUUGGACCAAACUACCCUUCCUAACAAUCAAAUUUUUGACUGUUGGGAGGGUAUUUUGGUCCAAAGAGAACCAAAAGCUAACUCCCAAGGGUUUGCCAUAGCGGAUCCUCGGGAGAGCACAAGGCACACAGGCCCGGCUACCAACUCCCAAAGCAUUGGGAGUUGGGAGACCUCAAGAGCCGGGCCGACACGGCCUAUACAGACCGUGCUGUACCGGCCUAGGGCUCCUUUUAGGUCCAGCACACAGGCUGGUGUCGUGCAAGACUAUGCCGGGCCAAUGGGCCAUAGGGAAGCUGCCCAGCACGAUCUGGUUCAUCCAGCCUAGUCGGUUGAGCAUGAGUGCUACAGUACUCGUGCCGUGCCUCAGCUCGGCCUAAUAUCAUGUAGUGUCGGGUAGCCCGCAGGCGGUCCGAUCGUUUUACACCCUCGGAAAGAGGUGGGGCCACCUGUGGAAGGGAAGAGAGAGAGAGUAGUAAAAAAAAGUAUUGAGAAUCCGUCACAUGAAAUGAGCAAAUACAUGCAUGCUACGUGUACAUUUUGAAGGUAUUGUCAAAUUAUAUAGUGUAAGAUAUAGUGCAAUAUAUAUAUACGGCUCGGUUUACUAUCGAUUUGUUUUCGAUGAUAGAGCUUCCAAAUUGAUGAUCGGCACCGUUAAACAUGAUCUAAACUAUUUAAACUAUCUGGAAAUCAAAUUUCACAUAUUUUCGAUAUUGUUCUCUUGUCCAUAAAGUGAACAAAAGAAUGAAUGGCUGGAAAUGAAUAUCCUUAAAAAACUGAUGAUACAAUUUUUAUAUUUGAGAUUUAGAGUCUAGAUCUUAUUUUAAAUAGUUUAAAGAAUUUUUUAACAAAAAUUUAGUUGAUUUGAACUCUUCUAUACCGUUAAACGAGCAAACACACCAUAUCGGCCAUUAAAAUUAUAGAUUUUGUGACCCUUUGAUCGUUUAGAUAGUGAUGCCAAAAAAUCAUGAAAUUUGAUUUCUAGAUAAUUUAAAUGGUCUAGAUCAUGUUCAAUGGUACCGAUCGUCGAUUUGGAAGCUCUAUCAUCAAAAAUAAAUCGGUAGUAAACCGAGCAGUAUACUACCGACAGUAGCCCAGGCAAACUAUAUAUAUAUAUAUAGAACUAGGCUAAUAUACUAUUAAUAGCACCAAGUCAUUGGUGUUACCAAGUUUUUGGCCAUUGGAUUAAAAGAUGUGCGGUUAGGAUGAUGUGGGCCUCCUAGGGUUGAGUGGGUGGUUGGUUGAAUUGUGUGAUCUAACGGGUGAAAAUGAUCAAAAGGGUAGAUCUAACGGCGGAAAAUUUGGUAACAACACCAAGUGCUUCGUGCUAUUAAUAGCAUAGCAGCCGAAUUAUAUAUAUAUAUAUAUAUAAUUUAUCAUUAAUAAUUAUUUUGAAAAAAUAAUUUUUGACAAUAACAUAACUGUCCAAAAGUUAACAACUUAGAAACUUCAAUAGGAUAAAUCUGUAAUUUUAAAAUUGUGUAAGCGUACAUAUAAAAUUAUCUCUUUAUUUUUCGGAAGAAGCUACUUGUACACCGAAAAAAGGUUCUAAGAUUUAAAAAUCCUUUAAAUUUUAGGUAAAACUAUAUAAAACUUAUUCAAAAUAUGGACCAUUUUGAUUUGACUAUCCGAUCUUUUAAAAUUUUGAUUUUUGUAUAUAAUCUUUCAAUUUGCCUUAUUUGAAUCGGCAAUUUGACUUCAAAAUUUAAGCUAAUUAUUUAUUUUAAUAAAUUUAUUGUUUCAAAAAAUGUAUCAAAUAUAUUAACUAAGUUUACAAAAAUAAAAGAAAUAUUUAAAUUUUUAAGUCAAAGUGCCGCUAACUGACUCAACAAAUAAAUUGAAAGAUUAAAUAGUAAAUCAAAAAUUUGAAAGAUCGAAUAUAUAAAUCAAAAUAAUUUAUAAUUUAGAUAAAUUUUACACGUUUUAUUUUAAAUUUAAAUAUAUCUUUUUAAAAAAGUGAUUACAUAUUGACUUUUAUUACGAGAACUAAGAUAAAAAGGGAAAAAUAUUUAAGCACCUAGAGGUAUACAACUUGCAUUGCUCUUACUUUUUCAUCUGCCAUUUUAGUAUAACGCUUGCGGGGACCCCACAGCGAGCCGUCACAAUUUCGAAAACACUACGUGCACCGCGUUCAAUGUCGCACCUCAAUGGACGGUCAAAAUGACUAAUUCGUUUUGAUGAACGGGUCGUAUAUGCGAAGUUGAAGAUAAAGCUAUGCACCGGGUGCACGAAAUAACUAGUCACUAAGAUAUUAUUAUCGCAAAAAAGUAGCAGCCACACCACCGCAACCCAGCAAAUCCACCGCCUCGAUCGUCUCCUCCUUUUUCUCCUCCUCCUCCUCCUCUUUCGUUCUCGAUCUAAAUUCCCCGAAUCCUCCGAUCUCGGAUCCGAUUCCUCACACCUUCGAGUCCUAGAUCCCCUCCCCCGAUCUCCUCGCUGCGAUCGCCGCUUCCGAAAUGGUAUUUGUCCCCUUUCUUUUCCGAUGCGUCAGUUUGGGUUUGAGAUUAUGAUGAAUUUCGCUUGUAUCGUCGAUCGAUCUGGUGUGUGCUGCGCGAUUUACACGUAUUUGUUUGUUCAGAUCCAUGUGAUUCCGAUCGGAUUAUGUUUUUUUUUAUUGUGGUUCUCUUAGGGUUUGUUGGGGAUUAGAUCCCUCAGUGUUUUAUCCCAAGUUUUAUCUCGUGAUCUCAACUUUUACAUCCUUUUUCGUGAGGUUUGUAGCGGUUUCUGUAAAGGAGUGGCGAUUUUUCUCAAUUUCCCUUUUUUUUGNGGAGGGGGGGUGUGUGGUUUAAACGUUCUUUGGGUAUUACUUCAAAUAAACUGGCGAUCUUUAUCAUGUAGUCUAGUAGAUGAUAUUGGUUUACUGUUUUUUGCGAUUCUUUUAUAUGCUUUAUUUAUCUUUCGGUGUCAUCUUUGCUGUUUCUAUUCCGCUCCCCCUCCCUAUUUUUGGUAUAUUUAUUUUUCAGUUAAAUGUAGUGUAUAAAUUAGCUGGAAUCUGAUUUAUCUUUUAUGUCUCAUACUUCACAGUUCACAUUUCUUUUCCAACAAGUGUUUUACUGUUGAUUAUAAAUAUAGUCUUGUUAUUUUGGAUGUUCAGAUUUGUCAUGCACUCGUUCUAUUAGAUUGUUGUACCACCAAUUCAGCUUAUCGUUGUUCCCCUUUCUCAAUGCUUUCGUGUUGAUGUGCACUAUUUUAGUUGGAUUAUGAUAGAUAUCAGUAAAUCCGUUGAUUUGAGGUUGGAUUUACUGGAUUUUGGUUACUAAAGUAAGAAAAUUUGUCUGUCUAAAUAUGCCGUCUCUGCUUAUUGUGGAAUCUAAACAUGGCGAAGGUAAAUAGGAUGAUAAACGAUUGAAUCCAAGUCAACUGCACUUCAUUCCGAACAACAUAUUUCAACCUCAAAUCCAGUUAACCUGAGUUCAUUGAAUCACAAAAUCAAUCCAAUUAUAUAUUGAUUUGGUAUCAAUUAAUGUUUAAAAAUGUUUACAGGCCAACGCAGCGUCAGGAAUGGCUGUUGAUGAUGAUUGCAAGCUGAAAUUCCUCGAAUUGAAGGCGAAGAGGACUCACCGCUUCAUAAUUUUCAAGAUUGAUGAGAAGCUGAAGCAGGUUGUAGUGGAAAAGCUUGGCGAGCCAUCUUCAAGCUAUGAGGAUUUCACUGCUAACCUCCCUGCCAACGAAUGCAGAUAUGCAAUUUAUGACUUUGAUUUUGUCACUGAAGAGAAUGUCCAGAAAAGCAGGAUCUUCUUCAUUGCAUGGUAACUUUUUGUUUGUUGCUUGCUUUCUUUCUUUCUUUCUUUUUUCUUUUUUCCUCCUCCUUGUUCUUCCUAGUUUUCCUUCUGUCGAGAAACACUUGAUGGUGAGGCUGGCAAACCCUACCUGUACGGUGAAUUGCAAUAUCAAAGCAUACAACAUUGAAGUUGACCAAGCAAAAAAAUUCUAUAUAUCUACUAUCUAUUGCAUAACAUUAUUUUCCAGGUCCAGUACACUCUGAGACAUGCCCCUUCUACAGACUUUAAAAGGCCAACUAAAAAAAAUAAAAAUAAAACAUCUAUAUGAGAAAAUGUAUAUUUUGGAGCUCUGCACAAACAUGGUGGAAGUUUUGUGUUUAUUCAACCAAAAAUAAAAUAGAGAUUCAUCACCAAGUCUUCUGAGUGCUACAGAUCCACCAGGAGGAGGCAUGAAUCUUGUUUAUCUUAGUAUGUGGAUAGGUUGAAGCUACUUCACAUCUGAAGUGUCAGCUUUCUUUCUUUUUCUCACCAGCCAAAGCUUUUUUCUUCUUUAAAGUAGACUUCAAAUCUAGCAGGUGCAGUGUAUAAUAUUAUAUUCCCCCUCAUAUUUGUUGGCAACUAGGCUAUCAAGGUGGCUAGGAGCUUCACAGGCAGAGAGACCCACCAGCUGCCUAGGCACAUCCUAGGCAUUUUAGUGGACCAGCUAAUGAUUCAUGCAGUCAUCUAAAUAAUAUCGUGGAAAGUUCAAGGGAGGGAGGGGGAAUUAUGUUUCAUUUCUAGUUCAUAAGUUCUCAUACAAUUGAAUCCAUCAAUGAUAUGUUAUAACAACUACACUCUGUACUACGUAGUACUUCAUUAACUAAUUAUCCAAGAGUCAUCACUCAAAGGAAGAAAUUUGAGAAAACAAAGGCAAGGUGUGAAUUUUAUGCCCACAAUAAUUAUUUGUUCAAUCUCCUUGUUUUACACUUAUUAUCUUCAUUACCUAACCUUCUUUCUCAAAAUACAACUAAUAUAGUUAGUGUAAAUAUAUAAUAUUCAGAUUUCAUAUGAAAAUUUUAACUGUCUAAGCAAUGACUAGUAGAUUAGAUGCUGCUUAGGUGGCUGCCUUACUAUGUUGCACAGACACAGAUAAGGGCUACCGAUAUGGCGAUAUGACAACUUUCGAAAAUCUUAUAUACGAUAUCAUCGAUAUGUUGGGGAUACAAUUAUAGAAAAUUAUUCUUAAUAUAUAUUAUAAUUAUUUUAUGUGUAAUACACGUUAAAAAUACUUUGGAAUCUUUGGAUAAUUAGUUCAUGUAUCACAAUAAUUGAUUAACUUGUGUAGAGAUAUGGACAUAGUAGACUUUUGUUCAUUAAGAAACAAAGCUAAUCAGGUCAUCGGUAAUCUUGAGGUUUUGUUGGUAUGAAUUCAUGUGCAAGUGUCAUCUCAAUUCGGAAGAGAGAUAACUUGUGUAACAAUUCUUUGAUCUAGCAACUUGAGAAUGAUUUCAUCCGCAAUUAGACCCUAUAUCUUGCAAGACUCCAUCAUGUAUCUGCCAAGUAUCCAACAAGUAUCUGGUAUUUUUUUUGAAUAUUUUUUUAAAAUUGGAUAUUCUUAUCAAGUAUCUUACGCGUAUCGGGUGUGUAUUGUGUGAGUAUCGAUAUCCGAAACGUAUCUGAUAUGGAUAUGAUAGCUAAAAUGUAGUAUCUGUGUACCAUAGUUGCUUUAUGAUCUAGGUUUCCAAUUUAUUUAGAAGGGCUUAAUCAACAACUAUUUGGCUAUUGCAAGGAUUUAAGUGCCCAACCCACUGUGCUAGACCGUGCCAGCAAGAUAUCGGCAAAAUACAGCCCCCCUGUCAGUGGCACAACUCAAAGCCUCUUUUCCUCAAAAUUAGCAAGUAGUUCAAUAAAGUGCAAAAGAUUUGAUAAAGAUAUAUCAUAAGCAAUUAGAAUAUAUUGGUGUCAUAGAAAAUAAUUAUUUAUGCCAUAGUGUGUUGGCACAUAGGUAUUUUCGUGAUUAGCAGACAUUGGUACUGCAUGGCAUUCAACGUGCCUUACGGUGUCAACAGUUCUCGACAUGACCUUAUACUGCAACACUUAAAUUCUUGAGUUUUUUGUUGCUUGGGUGUUUUGGGCAUAUAAAGCACCUAGGAGGUACUUUUGACGGCCAUUUACUGUGGUGAGACCGUUGUUUUAAUUGCUUUCUGUUUUAGUUGCUUGUUAGGACUCAUUGUUGGCUUGCCUCCAAAUUGAGCAUACGACAAUCAUGCGGCUUGUCACAAAUGAAGCAAGCAAGGAUUUACUUGCUCAACCUGAAAUCUCUAAUUACGGUGGUUGGUAAGACCUAAGAUUUAAUGUGUGACUGUGUUCAAUUUAAGAGCAGUCUUAACUGGUAAUUACAACAACAAUUAAUGGGAUUGAAGUUUUACUGUCUAAUUUAAAUCACAUGUAUGGAAGUAAACUUGCCUAUUUGUGGAAGUUGAAGGUUUCCUGUUUGGCUAGUUUUGGGCUUUUUGCUCAUUAAUUUCAGCUAAUUGCCUUCACCUAAUUUUCCUUCUGUUGGAUAGGUCUCCUGACAUUUCGAGAGUGAGAAGCAAGAUGCUUUAUGCCAGCUCAAAGGACAGGUUCAAGAGAGAGCUAGAUGGUAUCCAGGUGGAGCUGCAAGCUACUGAUCCUUCUGAGAUGGACCUCGAUGUCAUCAGAGGCCGUGCCAAUUGAAUACCAGCAGCGGAGGUAUUCUCCCUGCACUUUGGUUUGGUUUGGUGAAUGUUUAUAGUAUGUGGGAGGGUUGAUUUGGUCGAUAUAAUAUGGCUUGUUGUCUAUGUUAUAAAUACCUUAUUGCUUCUGAUGAAUCUUUAUGCCAUUUGGAGGUCAUGCAAGUUGAGCAUUCGCAGUGGAGAUGUUUUCCCUGUGCUUUGCUAGAUUUGAUUAAUGUUCACACUUCAUGGAAUGAUGGAUUUGGUAGACUAUAUGGCUUGUGUAGGCUAUUAAGUACUUCUUGCCCUAUUGGAAUUGUUUCUCACUUGAGUUACAUGUGUUAUAUGUUAUUUUCUGUUAACUUGUGGCAUGUGUAUAGCUAGGUAAAUUACAUCAAGUAGUCUCAAAUUUCAUUUUGGUCCUUGAACUUUUAUGUUUGACCUUUUGAGUCCUCAAACUUUGAAACUUGUUACAGUUAGUUCCUUAGAGGAAAAGUUGUUUGACCGUGCCAAGGUGUACGUUCCAUGCAUCGGAAAUAAACAUGCCUCCAUCCAUCUCAUACUUUUGAGACAACAGUCCCACGUAAGUUGAGGUAUGAUUUAAUAUGAGAACGGAUCAAGUUUUGAUAGAUGCAUGGUGCACCUCUAGUAGUAUGCAAGGACAAGGAUGAAAAUUAAACAGUUUUGAGAGUUCGGUUGUCAAAUGUUGAAGUUAGAAGUUCAAUGACCAAAGUGAAAUUUCGACCAAAAGUUUGGGGACUAGUGGUGCAAGUUACCCUUUUCUACUUGUAGUUUGACGCCUUCAUGCUGUAUGAUAUCCCAACAAUUUGUGUCUCAAUUCUCUCAGAACAAGAAAACAAAGCAAUUUGUGUCUCUAGCCAAAGUAUGCAACGGUUCCAGUUUGUUUAUGGUGUUGAGACGGAUGCUGGGCUUUGUUAUUUUGUCCCUGUCGUUUUAUGCUUUCACUCAUACCUUGUGUCGUUAUUUUGUGCCUGUCGUUUAAACCUUCUUUUGUUUUACCAAUAUUUCGUUUAAUCGGUAGCUAGAAAUUUGUGUGCCUGAGAUGGCACUGGAGUUUGCUUUUGAAGGUGAAGGAGAUAGAGGGAAGUGGAGUGGGUAGUAGUGGGGUGGGCAUGGUUUGGUUUUGCUGGUUUAGAUUGAAAAUGUCUGAUCUAAAUUUUUCUGACUUGUUUUUGGAACAAAAGAAUCCCUGGGGUGGGUUUGGUUUGGUUUGGUUUGGUUUGGUUUGGUUUGGUGGGUUCAAAUUCAAAUUGAAACUGAUUGACCUAAAUUGGUUUUAACACUGUUAAAGCCAAAAAUCAAGCUAUUUACUUUAAAAUUCAACGAAGUCUAAUAAAAUUUUUUUGGUUUGGCUUCAGUUUAGUUUGUUGAUUUGGACAUAUAAGUUUUAAAGAUGGUGCACGGCAAAACCCAAAUUAAAUUGAACCUAGGUUGUUGGCUCGGUCUGGUUUCUUCAAUAUUUGUGUAUUUUGGGUUCCCUGUUCUGCCUGGGAGGGGGUGCUGUUAAUUGUUCUGCAAAAAAAAAGAUGUUCAGGCCCUGUUUGAAAACGCGAAUAAAGUAUUUCCUUUUAUAUAUAUUAUACGGUACGAAGAUUUUUUAUUAUGAUUGUAAAAUAGAAAUACUAUCAAAUGUUUAAAAUAAUAAUAUAUUCAAUCUUCAAGUUAUAAAUCAUAUGGUAGAUGAAAUAUACUACUAUCCUAUCAAUUUAUAAAUGUCAAGAUCUUUAGGUGGCGUUUGGUUCGGAAACAAAAAGGCAAUAAGCCUUUCUUCUCUUUUUUGUUUUCAAACGCUGUGUUUGGUAUUCGAGAACAGUAAUUUUCAGUCUUUGAAAUAUGUCGGUAUAAUUUAGUAUCAGAUUGAAACGGCUGUUCUACCCUUUUUCUAGAAUAAGUUUGUUUUCAAGUAGGAAUAAAGUUAAUUAAAGUCUAAAUUUAAUUUUAAUUAUGCUAUUAAAUUAUUAAAUUAAUUUAAUUAAUAUAUUUAAAUUAUUAUCUAUUUUGCUUAAAUAGGAAAGUAAUUAACUAAUUUAUUAUUUAUAAUUAAUUAGCUAAUUAAUUAUUAAUAAUUUAAUGCGUUUAUCUAUAAAGUAAUAUUUAUAUUAAUCAACCAUUAAUAUAUUUGUUAAUCUAAUUUUUUUUUUUGCUAGUUAUCUAACUAAAAUAAUUUACUAACUAAUUAAAAAGUUAAAUUAUACUUUAUAUUUAAUUACGUAAUUAACAUAUUUUCAUUAUCUUAUACAAUAUUCUGAGCUAAUAACUUUAUUAAUUUAUUAAAUUAUUUUUAAUUAAUAUUUUGAUAUUAAUUAAUUAGAUAAAAUAUUUUUAAUUUAAAAUUAUAAAUUUUAUUCAACUUGUUCCAAUCUAAUAAUUCAAACACUAUUUAUCUUAUUCCUACGAAUAAUUUAAUUUUCAUCCAGACAUAAAAUUGGUCUAUUUAUACCUGAAUUUGUAUUUAUUUUUAGAAUAAAUAGUUUUUAUUUAUACCCGAAUUAUAUACAGUUUCAAUGAGCAAAAAUUGAACUCUUAUGUUUUAAUUAUAAAAGAUAAUUUUUAUAUGGAAUAUUUUAUUAUUAGAUAACUUAUUUCGACAUUCAACCAAAGCUUUAAUGCGGUUGAAAUUGAUGCCGCCAUUUUAUAGAAUAUUGGGGUGUGUUUGGUUCGAUGUCGGAGUCGGAAUCGGAAUCAAAAUAAGCUGGAAUCGGAAUCGGAAUGACUCAUUACCUAAUUCUGUUUUAUUCAUCACCUGAAUCGGAAUCGGAAUAAAUCAUUUCCAUUGUUGGUAUUUGGUUCGAGGGAUAUAAAAAAACGUAAUCAAAUUAAUAUACUAACAUUAUCUUUAUAAAUAAUAUAUUAAUUUAAAUUCAAAUUAAAAAUUAAAUAUUAAAAAUUUACAUCAAAAUUUUGAAAUAAUGUUAAAAUUUUAAAUCUAUUUUUUUUUUAAAAAAUAAACUUUGAAGUUGAGUGGAUAAUUCAAAAUAUGAAACUAAAAUUUGAUUUAUUCAAAUUCAAACUUAAAAAUUACAAUUUAAAUUUUAAUUUGAAUCCAUAAAUUUAAUUUAAGUUUGAAAUAAAAUUUGAAUAAAACUUUAUAUAAAUUAAAAUUUAAUUUAAAUUCAAAUUCAUAAGUUAGAUUCGAAAUAUUUGAUUAAAUCUUAAUUUUUAAUUUAAGUUUAAAUUAAAAUUUUAAAUUAUAUAUUUAAUUUUUAAAUUUUAACUCAUAUUUUAAUUAAAAAAGUUGAAAAAAUAAAAUUAAUCCGAAUAAAUAUUCAUUCCGUCCGGAUUAAACUACCAAUUCGGCCUCCUAGGCCGGAUUGAGAAAAGAGGUGAUUGGAAAAUUUUCAUUCCACUAGAGAAUCGGAGUCGGAACGGGACUCCCGCAUAUCAAACACCCACAAACGAAUUUAUCCAUUUCGAUUUCAAUUUCAGGAUGAAAAUGAAGCGAACCAAACACGCCUUUGGAGUGAUGGAGUGAUUUUGAUUGGAUUCAGUUCCACUUCAUUUCAAUCAGGUGAGCUAUAAUGGUUGUGGGAUUCGGCCGUUGUACUUCAUUUCAAGGAGGUGAGAAGCUAUAAUGGCUGUGGUCGUUGGUGACAACCUUCAAUAAUUUCCAAGAUUACAAUAAAACGAAAAAACUCGCUGAAAAAGUUAAGAGGAGGAGAUGUAAUGGUUGUAUACGAUUCUUAGCGAGCGGGGACGGGGAUUUAUGUUCGGCUCAUUUCAUAGCUACAUCAAGUCAAAAAAUUCAACAAGAAAUUAAGAGGAUUAGAAAUAGGAGUGUAAACGAAUCGAAUAUUAUUUAAAAAUAUUCAUAUUCGUAUUACCGAUAAUAUCCAAGUCCACAUAGAAAAUAUUCGGAUUCGAUCGGAUACGAUCUGAUAUUCGAGAAAAAUGGAUAUGAAUCAAGAUAUCCGGACUUUUAGUACUAUUAUUUUUAUAUUUUUUUUAUUUUUGGAUCCACCCGUCUUGCCCGCUCGGCCCACCCAAAUUCUUUUCCUCUAAAGUGAUCGCUCAAUUGCUCUUCAACGAAUGAAACCUAAUUCUCAAAAUCUAUCUCUAUUUUUCUCUCUACAGCAACAGCUCUCUCACCCUACUCAUUUCUCCGCUUUCUCACCUAUUAUCGAACCGAUCGCGGCACAAGGUCCGCCGUCUGUGAAGAGGAUGAUGAGUAUAAUUGUUUUUUGCGCGGAUGUAAGAGAAAUUAUUAAUACAUGUUGUGAGAAAAUAAGGUAAUUUUUUUGUGUUAUUCGUUUAUUUUAUAAUGAGUUAUAUAUUAAAAUUGUAUAUUUUAUACAUAAAAAAAUAAAGUGAGGAAACAAAGAUAGAAAAAUGAAGUAAUUUUUUAUUUUUCUCAUUUAUCAUAUAUGUGCAUAUUAAUGUAUGUUAUUAUCUGAAUACGUAUAUGAACCAUAUUCGAAUCUAAAAAAAUAUCCGACCAUAUCCAAAUCCGUUUUUAGCGGAUAUGGUAAAAAAAAUUUAGCAUCCGACACAUAUUCGUAUCCGAAUUCGUAUCCGAAAAAAAUAGGGUAAACUUCAAAUACCACCCUUGUGGUUUCGCACUUUCUCAUUUUAGUACCUUAUGGUUUAAAGUGUAUUUAGUGUCAUGUGUUUUCAUUUUUAUCUUUUCGUCAGCUUCUCCGUUAAUAUUUCGUUAAAUUAUAUACAAAAAACUUCAGAUACCCUACCUAGGUUUAUCGAAUAUUCACUUUAGUACCUUUUAGUCUUAACUUUGUCACUGAUUUAACGAAAAAAAUUAGUGAAAUUAAUAAUAAAAAGAUAAAAAUGAAACCACACGGGGCUAAAUUAAUACACUUUAAACUACAGGGUACUAAAGUGAGAAAGUGUGAAACCACAUGGGUGGUAUUUAAAGUUUUCUAAAAAAAAUAUGAAUGUUGAUAUAGUUUUGUCAAUUGUUUGAUCAUAUCCGAUCCGUUUUUCACCCUUAGGGCUUGUUUUGUUCAAGAGUGGAAUUGGAAUGGAUAAUGGAAUGAGAAUAAAUUGGAAUGAUAAUUGGAUUGCUCCACUCCCCCAAGACGUUUGGUUCAUUUAUAUAUAUAAAGAAAAUACUACUCUCAAGUUAGAGCUAUGGCAAAAAAAAAUGAAUUUGUUUUAAAAAUUUUUAUGCAAGAAAUUACAAAAAAAUGCCUUUUUUUUAAUGAUGAGAAAAGAAGGAAGCGAUCAAUACAAGAAGAGAAAUGAUGGAUAAGAUGGAGAAACGUUGGGCUGAGCCUGAGAAAUAGGUGAGUAUGGGCUUGGGAUUGAAAUUUCAAUUCGGGCUUGGAGAUCGGAAUCAAUUUGUAAGCUAAUGGAUUAUUCCCAUUUCGAUCAGGAAUGGGAGUCCCAAAUCGAUUCAUGUGAACCAAAACAAAUUAGCAGGAUUUGAUCAAACCGAUUCUCAUUCUAGAUCCAACAUAUACGAACCAAACAUGCCCUUAAUUAGAAAGGAUAUAUAUAUAUAUAUAGAUAGAUAUAUAUAUAGGCUCCUGUGCUCUCAAAAGCAUAGUAGCUCCUGUGCUAUUAAACUCUCCACCCUCCAUCUUGAUAGAUGGAGGGCUGAGAUUUAGAGACCACCCAGUAAUUGGUUCCACUGUUAUGGGAGUUAGGAUCAAUAGAGCCUAGCACAAAGCAUUUUUCUCUCUCAUCUUUUCUUUACUUUUUUUCUCCCUUCUUCUUUUCUCUCCUCCCUAAUAUCUCUUCUUCCCUCUCCCUCUUCCUCUACUGUGGAUCUCCCUCUCUUGUGGAUCUCGCUGCCACUGUCGCCGGAGAAGAGAUAGCCCUUCGUAAGGUAUGCCCUCUGCCCUUCUUCCUGAUCUACCCCUGCUUGAAGCUGCCUCGCCACCCCGACUUGAACCAACCACCUCGCCCCUCGCCUGAAAUUGCCGCGCACCAACUCCCCCACGCAUCGCGCCUGAAGCAUCAGUGCCUUCCCUUUCCCCGUGUCACGUCCCCCGUAGCUACCCCCGCGCACGAUGCCCUCCGCGCCCCACCCCCUGUCGCCUGGGCAUGCCAACCGCCACAUUGAAGCAUCCUCUAAAACCAAGAAAAAAAAUAGAAAAAAAAAUAAAAAAAGGCAAAGAAAACAGACAAAUAGAAAAAAAAAAACAAGAAACCACAAAAAAUAAGGAAAUAAAAAAGAAAAAGAAACUGGCUGAAGUUACUCUCCCCCAAAAUCGAAAAAAAUUAAGUUUCCUUAAUGCAACUUUUUUUUUCAAAUUUUUCUCAAAUCGAAAGAAAAAUUAAGUUUCCUUAAUGCAAUAUUUUUCAACUUAAUAUACCAUCUACUCCUUACACGUCCCAGCCUGAAGCAUACCCCAAAAUCCAAAAAAAAAAAAAAAAAAAUUAAAGCAUCACCCUAAACCUACAGCCGCCUACUUGAGGCAUUCCGCCGCCUAAAGCAUCCCCUAUCACGUCGCGCCUGAACAUUGCUCGCACCCCCCUUGAAAAAAAAAAAAAAUUGUUUGGUUAUUAUUUAUUGGUUGAAUAAUUUAUAUAUAAUAUAUUGUAGAUGGAAAUUCGCAAUUCACUAGAGUUAGAUAAUCAGCUGGAGAAUAUGCCCACUGAAAGCGCCACUAAAAUUGGUUUUACAUCUAUUAUCUUUGAUACUAGUUGUCACGCCCCGAGCCCGCCUCUUUGGCCGGAAUCGGGCACACCGACAGACCGUCGAACGGACAGGAUUUUUUCUGUACCGCGGACAGAGUCUUCCCUGUACGUUCAAGGCGUCGCAAUCAAUACAAUGUACGAGGUUCCAACCAGGAACACAUUUCAAUCAAAGAUUGUAUAAGGAAGUAUCAAAAAUAUAAAACUAUUAGCUAUUACAAGCAUUCAUAUCUCAGUUUUCAUUUUACAUUACAUUCAACUGCCAAAUGCAAUUAAGUUAUUACAAUGUACUACAAGUUUAUUACAUUUGUGUUCUUUUCAUUUCUAUACCCCUAGGCUAUGCCGACUUGGGGUACUGCUAUCUCUGGUCUCAGAGUAGGGCGCUAUCUACGGAGCUACGCCCUUGCCUCGGGCCGCCGCGCCGCUCACGUGCGAACCUGUAACACCCAAAAGCAACGUGGGGUGAGAACUAACUCCAUAGUUCCCAAUGGGUACGACCACCCAAGGGAAAAGCUCGACCAGGAGGUCCAAAGGAGGCAAACAAUAUGUUAGUUCAAUAGAUAGAUAUGAAAUCAUAAUUUAUGCAACUAACAAAUAUCAUGCUUUGCCUCACAAAUACGAUAAUGCCAUUCUAUAUGCAAUUUAUGCAACAAUUCAAGUAGAUUAAAUGAUCCUACUAUUUAUUCUUAACCAUUCUUUACUCUUAGCCAUUCAUUAUCGCUAAUCAUUCUUUAUUAUUAUUAGCCACUCUUUAUCGCUAGCCGUUCUCUAACGCUAGCCAUUUCUUAUUAUUGGCCGUUCUCGAUUCUUUGUUCUUUAUUCUUUACUAAGGGUACUCACAUCUUAGCCAUAUUAUACACAUUUGCAAUUCUUUCCUAAGAUUAUUUUACCUUAGCCAACUAUGCCACUCGACUCGGUCUUGAGUCAAUCAACUGCGGAUAAUCAGCGCUCUGUCCGGCUCAAGGUGAAGGAACUCUUAUAUGCACCUCAGACUUCAAGCUACAAACCACAUCGCCCAAUGGGUCGCCCAGAGCUGCGUACACCCGUGGUCAGGGAUCCCCCAGUGGGAGAGGAACAUGCCGUAUACACCUGCAGCCGAGACCCCCCGAUAGGGAGAGGAACAUGCCACAUACACCCUAGCACUCAAGAUUCUUCCGGUGGGAGAGGAACAUGCCACAUACACCCGCGGCCAAGAACUAUCGAGCUCAUAUGCUGCACUAGCAGCCGCUGCACUCGCAACCAGGAUUCUGGAAUCCACUUUCAUAACUCGAGGGUUGGUCUCACCCUAUAGUAUCGACCUAUCUAGGUCCAAGCCUUCACUCAACCUAAGUUAAUACAUUAGGUUCAAUGACACUAUGUUCAUAGCCUAGGUUCAUUAACACUAGAUCCAAUGUCCUUUGCCACCUAGGUUCAUUUGAUUCUAGGUUUAAUGCCUCAAUCACAUAACCUAGGUUUACCUAACUCUAGGUUCAGUUCACAACCUAUAUUCACGACAUUAGGUUAAUGCCACUCACCUAGAUUCAAUUAACUCUAGGUUCAUUCUCAACCUAUAUUCUUUAUCACUAGGUUAGAUGCCACUCAUGAUUCACCCUAGGUUCAACAACACUAGGUUCAUAUCCGACCUUUGUUUAGUAACACUAGGUUCGUUGCCAUUCAUGUCCAACCUAUGUUUCACACACUAGGUUAAAUACCGCUCGAUCUACUUGGCAUUCUAAUUAUCCCCAUCGAGUAUUAUCAUGCAUCUUAUCUAACAUAAUCAGCAAUAUGUUAAUAUGAUGCUCUCUAACAUAAUCUCACAAUGCUAAUAUAUACCUAGCAUGUAUUCUACAAUACAUAUAAAUAUUAACAUGCAUCUAUCCACUAGCAUAUAGUUUCCAUGCAACAGUAUGUAACUAUCAACUUAGCAUAAUUCUCAUAAUGGUACAUGCACACACUUUCCAUCUAGCACACUUACAAUGCCAACAUGUAUAUUCUUUCUAACAUGAUCUACAACAUGUUACCAUUCACUUAUAUGCUCUAGCAUGUUCUAUUACCUGUUAACAUGAAACAAUCACUAGCAUAUAUUUUCAAUGCAUCAAUAUGCCAUUAUCAACUAUCAUCUAGUAUGAUUCACAUGAUGCUAUCAUGCAUAUAUAUUCUCCAACUGGUAUUUAAAUUCACAUGCAUACAUUUCUAUCUAGCAUAAUUACAAUGCCAUCGUGCCCAUACAUAUGCAUCAACAAGAACUUAUAUUCCACUUUGGCAUGGAGGCGACCUAGUCGUUUCGGUAAGCACAACCCAUCUGUUAUCGCGUUCCGAUUGCUUGUAGUCACUUGCAAUCGGCCUACCGCGGCACCCGUUGUCCGGUUCGGCCCGAACUCGCACUCGACCACCAAACGACCACCAAUCCGCGAUCUGAAAAUUAAAUGUCUAUAACUUGAUACCACAAUACUCCGGAUCCGUUCUUGUGAUUUUUGGACGUCGCCUCGGCCCUCCAGGCGGAAACGAAGUCGAAACGUCCGUUUCCUUCAUAACUUCGCAUAGGCUCGACAAAUCGCCGAACCGACUUCGCCAACGCGUCGGAAAUACUUUUAAUUAGGUUUGUACAGGGUUAAUUUAGAUCAAACCCCAUCGUUUCACAAAACCCCAUUUUUGGAGCCCUAAUAGUGCACUAUAGCAACAUAUACUCUAAACCCAUUUAAAUCAAGCAUUAACAAGCAUGAUUUCAUCUUGAGAUUCAUCUAAAAUCAUUCGUAGGUCAAUUAAACCGAAUUCUAAGGUUCUACCAUUAAAGGGUUUGAAGCUCACCUCAAAAGCUUCCUUUUCUUGAGCCAAUGAUGAAGAAGUAGUAGCUCAACUCCAAGCCUUCCUCUCCACCAAGCUUCUUCUCCAAUUCCUCUUUGGUGGAGAGAUUACAAGAGAGGGAGAGAGGGUGGUGAGCUAGAAGAAAAGAGAGAAAGAGAGAAAGACUCUCCCUUCUCUCUCUCUCGGGUUGAAACGCACAAAGGGGAAGGCCUUUUGUUACACAAUAGCCCCCCCAACAUCAUACAAUUUACAUUCAGUUUAGCAGCUCAGGUACAUAUAUUUUUCGCCUGCCCUUCUGAAUGUUCGUUUGAGCUCAAAUUUGAUAGUCAGAUUUGGUUUUACUUAACUUAAUGAAAGAAAUUUUAAUCUUUCAGUUUCGACCACAUUUGGUCACCGAAAGCUCUACCGAAAUGUAAUCUCUAGCAGAUAGCAGUCGGAUUUUAUUUUUCAUCUUCCGAGUGUCAGAAUGACAUGAAACUUUAAAUCUAACAUCAUAAAAAUAUUUUCGACAUAAUCUCCAAUUUUCAUAAUUUUCUGACACUGUGCAUUUUCUGCUAAAAUAUUAGCUCCGUUUCUCACAGAAAAUUCUAAAUCUUCUGUUUUCAUUCCGAUUUCAGCACAAGUCAUUCCUAACUUAUAUUUUAUUUCUCUAAAUCCAAUAAAAAUAGUAUCUCACACUAUUUUUAUUUAUUUCUGCUUUUAUAUCAAAAUUUGGUAUGUUACACUAGUAAUACUCAAACCACCAUUAAUACUUUCGACACUGAAAAUGAAAUUCCAUGGAAUCAUGAUCCGAAAAUUAGUGAUUCUGAUGGAAAAAAUAAAAUUCAAUGGAAUCAUGAUCCGAAAAUUAGUGAUUCUGAUGGGAAAAAUGAACUUUGAUGUAAUAAUGAGUUAAUAAUUGAAGAUGAACCGAUGAUUAAUGAGCCAUAUAUUGGAAUGGAGUUUGGUAGUGCUGAUGAAUUAAAGAAUUUUUAUAAUAUGUAUGCCUUUAAAACGGGUUUUAGUAUCAAAAAGUCUAGUCAGUACAAAUUUAAAAGGUUUGACAAUAUAAUCUCAAACAUUAUUUUUACUUGUUCAAAGAAAGGAUAACCAAACCAACCUACUCAUAAAGGAGAUGAGAAUGCAUCUUCGCAAAUAAAAGGCACACUUAAAAAAGAAAAGCCUUGUAGAAGAACAGGUUGUAAGGAACAUAUAAGGGCAAGAAUGGUCGAGCAAGGAAAAUAGGUGGUAUCAAAGUUUCACAAUGUGCACAAUCAUGAAUUAAUCGUGAGUCCCUCAAAAAGCCGUUUCGGUAGAUUGUAUCCCAAAAUCUCAAAAGAUCAACGAGAAAUAAUCCAUCAAUUGAGUAAGCAAAAUAUUUCAACCUCUCAAAUAAUGUCAUAUUUGGUAGCAAAAAAGGGAGGACGAUAAAAUAUUCACUUCACAUGUAAGAUUUGAUGAACGAGGUUUCAGAAAAAAAAAAGGCUACUCGGAUUUGAUAUAUCUAAUGCCCUAAAUUAUUUCUGUGAGCUACAAAGUAAAGAUUUAUCUUUUUUUUAUUCCAUUGAUGUCGACGAUCAAUACAUGACCCGCAACAUAUUUUGGGUUGACGGGAGAGCAAAAAUGAUUUACAAACAUUUCAAUGAUGUGGUGACUUUCGACACGACCUAUUUGACAAAUAAGUAUAGUAUGCUAUUUUUUUCAUUCACUGGAGUGAACCAUCAUAGACAAUCAAUAUUUUUUUGGAUGUGCUCUAAUUAGAGAUGAGACAGCUUUGGUCAGAAGCAAUGUUUGGUAUUUAUUCAAAAGUUAUAAUUACUGAUCAAGACCUUGCACUGAAGAAGGUGCUUGAGAUUGUAUUUCCAAAUAUCGUACAUAAGUGUUGUCAGUGGCAUGUAAUGAAAAAGGCAAGAGAGCAUUUGAGAGUAUUAUAUAACACCAAGUUAGGAUUUGAAGAAGAAUUGAAAGAUUGUAUAAACUAUAGUUUGACAGUUGGAGAAUUUGAAAGUGAGUGGGCAUUGGUGAUCGAAAAGUACAAGUUGAAUGAUAACAAUCAUUCUACUUUGCUAUGAAAAACACGCCAUCAAUGAAUUUUUAUAUUUUUUUCGAGAUACAUUUUUCACAAACAUGUCAACCUCACAACGCAGUGAAAGUAUAAAUGCUUGGUUGAAUUUAUUACUGGACUCUCAUACAUCUAUAUAUAAGUUCAUUAUGCAAUUUAAGAAAAUUACAACAACUUGUAUGAACGAGAGGAUGAGAAAAUUUCAAGCAUAAAGACGGGGAGGCUCGCUGUCACGCCCUGAGCUCGAUCCUUUUGGUCGGCUCGAGCGCGUCGAACAGACGCCGAAUGGACAGAGUCUCCCCUGUCCGCCCAAGGCUCAACAUCCUUUACAAGUAGAGUAUUAAUUUUGCACAAAACGGAAGCAUACACAAUGGCUUGCACGAGGGCAAGCAAUAGCCAAUAAUGAAAGUAAUAAACUACACUUAGGAAAUUAUUUUUCUUUUUUUGCAUCAUUUCUUCUUUUUUACAUCACAUGAUUUCAAAAUAUAGUUCUUGCAUUGAAAUAUCAAAUAUCUUUUACAUUAUUUAUGUUCUUUACCUUUAAUAUCUAUAGUCAUCAAAAUACAUAAGGUGAUGUAUAAAGGUAUGCAACUACAAAAUGGAAACCCACUCGGGAGAUCUCUAUCUAGGGCGCGAUGCCCUUACCGCGGUCGUCCGCCGGCUCGCUCGGUCCCGGCUCUGUGGAAAUAGUGGGGUGAAAACUACAACAAAGUUUCCAAUGGGUUCGGCAACUGACCAUGCCGAUUUUUCCACUAGGUCGAAAUCAUGCAUAAUAGAAGAAUAGAUAGAUAGUAACCAAGCUAAGGCAAAUGCAGCUAAUAUGCCUGAACAAUAAAUAAUGCUAUGCUCAAUAAAGUAUUCAUGAUGAAUGCAAGGUCACUGCUCAGAACCCAAUCUCUAGGCUAGCCCGUAGGUUUCGCCCACAAUAGGCUCACCAACUCAAAUCCCAGUAUCGGGGAGACUACUACACCCGACGGGACCGUCCUCUGGGGAGACUACUACACUCAGUGAUGACAACUCCGGAGCACAUCGCCCGAGGGGGAGCUACCAUCCUCGAGCAAGGACUUACAGGUGAGUAUGAUCCAAUCCUUAACUAUAAGGAUGCCGAGUUCAAUCCAUUCCUUAACUAUAAGGGCUUGUUUGGUUCAAGGGUAGAAUUGAAAUGGAUAAUUGAAUGGGAAUGAAUUGGAUUGGUAAUUGGAAUGACCCACUGCCCCAAGACGUUUGGUUUAUUUGUGGAUUAGGAAUUGGAAUGAGUUAUUCACAUUUCAUUGUUUGGUUCGUAUAAAUUAAAAAAAUUAUAGGAUACUAUAAUACUAAUUUUACUCUCAAAUAUAAAUUUAUAUUAUUUAAAAUUUAUGAAAAAUAUAAUACUAUUCUCUAAUAAGUUUUUCAAAAAAAAUAUCAAAUUUAUUUUUAAAAACUUUUAUUGAUGUGGGUUAGGAAUAGGGUUUUGUGAGAGGAUAGGUUUUUUUUUUUUUUUUUUUUGAUGAGAAAGGAGUGGAGAGAAGGAGGGUGAGAUGGUCACAUGGGCUGCGAGAACUUAGUGGGCUUUCGGAAUGAAAUCUCAAUCUGGGCUAGAAGACCGGAAUCAAGCUGAAGGCUAAUGGGCCAUUCCCAUUACAGUCCGGAAUAGGAAUCCCAAACCGAUUCAUACGAACCAAACAAAAUUAACCGGAUUUGAUCAAACCGAUUUCCAUUCCAUACCCAAAAUGGAUGAACCAAACAAGCCCUAAGGAAGCCAUGCACUAUGACCCUUAAUUCUAAGGUUGAAAUUGUCAUAAUGUCACUAUCACACUUUUACUCACAUUUUUUACUUUCACUGGUAUCAUAUACACUACUAUGUUCUUGUACACAUGCCACACUUGUUUUCUAAGUGUUCCAACUCUAGUAUUCUCGACUCAUCAAUAUCACUUUCUACUUCUAUGUCAAGAUGUCACAUUUGUUUACUAAGUCCACUAAGUUCUUAUCUCUUGUCAUACAUAAAUAGGGUUAUAAAAUUCUCACAUUCUUACUAGUAACUCACAUGCACUUGUACUCACAACAUACAAUAAAUGACUCAAAUAUAACCCUACUAUGCAAUUUAUGCUCAAUACACAUAUACUCAAAUAUGACACUUUAGACAUAAAAGGAAUUCCGAGGUUUUCGGUAUGCACCACCCACCUUAUAUGGUUGUAAGGGUGUUACGGUGAAUUUCUUGAAAUUUUCGAAGCUCAACUUUUCGUCUGCGGCAAAACGAAGCCAAAUUAGGCUUUUUCUCAAUAACUUUAUAUAAACCUUUUCGUAACGUCAAACGGAGUUGUCCCACGCGUCGGGAAUACCCCAAUUAGGUUUCUAUAAAGUCAAUUUGCCUUAGAAACACCUAGAGGCAAAAGCCCCAAAAUCCAUACCCUAACAAUGCCAUAAGGAAAUUUCUCCUAGAUUGAUCUUAUUUCUAAGCAAAAGCUAGCUUCGAAACACCUAGGAAGCAUGCUAAUAUCAUUACUAAACCUUUAGAACCAUUCCUAGGGCAUCAACUUUGGAUUCUAACAAUCCACCGUGAGAAGGUUUCAAGAAAACCUGAUUUCAUAGAGUUCAAGGCUCUAACAUGCUUUUAGAGCUUCUAAGAAGUCCAAAACUCUAAAACUUCGGGUUUAAAACCAAACCCUAGAAGUAAUCUUGCAUGAACUCACCUUUGCCACAAGCUAUCCCCAAGUUCUUCUUGAAGGAGAGUCAACAAGACCACCAAAUCUACCUUCUCCAACUUCUACUCCUUCAAUCCUUGCUCUAGGGCAAGAGUUCUAGAGAGAGAAAGAGAGAAAUGUGAGAAGGAGGGUGAAAUGGGUGUUGGCUGUGAAGGGGAGGGGUUUGGGUUCAUUUAUAGUAUGUCACAAUUGCAACAAAGCCCCCUAACAAUUGGUAUUUGCAACAGACCUCAAAGGUGCUGUCAGACCAAAGUGUACCGGUACACGGAAUUUUGUACCGGUACAACUCUGCGCAGAGGCCAAACUCGAGAGCAACUCUCUCGGUUUCGUAGCAUUUGUACCGGUACAUUUUCAAAGUGUAUCGGUACACUUCCAAUUUUUCUCAAACCCGAGAGUAUACUCUUCUUGGGCUGCAGAGCUGUACCGGUGACAACUCGAUGGUUGUACCGGUACACUUUGCCCAGAAUGCUAUAUUUGCGCCGUUUUCGAUUCUAUUUCGCGCCGGUCGAUGCUAAAAUCUUUCUAACACCUCUUAAACUCAUUUUUAGCCCUUCCAAUCUUGUUGGAAUGCUAAAUGAAACUUGUUCAACUAUUUCUUUCGCAUUGUUCACUUUUAAAUCGCGCCGAGCAAUGCUAAAACUUGCUUAACACUCUCGGGAUUCGACUUUGACCCUUCCAACAUUGUUGGUAGGUUAAUUGGAACUCGCCCAAUUAAUCCAUUCGCACACUUUAGUCAAUUUGGCUAAAAUUCACUAGUUUCUUUAUCGAGGUUUCGAUACGUUACAUUCUCCACCCUUUAAAAUUAGUUUCGCCCGCGAAACUUACUUAAUUUAAACUUAAACUCAUACCUCAAUUUAGCUCAUUGAAGAGAUGAGGUUAAUGCUCCCGCAUUGCGCUCUCGAGCUCCCAAGUAUCUUCCCGAUCGUCGCGGUUGCUCCAAUGAAUUUUAACAUACGGAAUUUCACGGUUCCGUAGUUUUUUCACUUCUCGAUCGACGAUAAAUGCCGGGAACUCCUCGUAAGUCAUAUCCUCUUGAAGCUCUAUCGGUAUAUACGAGAGGACAUGCUCGGGAUCAUGAAUAUACUUGCAGAGAUUCGAUACAUGGAACACAUCGUGUACUCCCGCAAGUCUCGGUGGUAGUGCUAUCUUGUACGCCACUGCGCCGACCCUCUCCAACACCUCGAACGGUCCAAGGUAUAGGGGACUUAGUUUUCCCCGGAGUCCAAACCGCCUAAUUCCACGCAUCGGUGAUACCUUUAGGAAGACGUGGUCUCCAACGGCAAACUCUAUAUCUUUCCUCCGUUUAUCGGCAUAUCUCUUUUGCCGAGAUUGCGUCGUAGCGAGUCGUUGGCGUGCGAGGCGAACUUUCUCCUCCGCCUCCCGCACUACAUCGGGGCCAAGAGCUACUCUCUCGCCUACAUCGCUCUAAUGAAUUGGAGAGCGAUACUUCCUUCCAUAAAAGACCUCGAAUGGCGCCAUCGCGAUACUUUCUUAAUAACUAUUGUUGUACACGAAUUCAGCCAUCGGUAGAUGAUCGUGCCAACCGCCCUUGUAAUCAAGUACACACGCCCGAAGCAUAUCCUCAAGUAUUUGUAUCUUUCUCUCUGAUUGACCGUAACUUUGAGGAUGAAAUGUUGUACUAAAGUCGAGCCGUGUGCCCAAUGCCUCCUGUAGGCUCCUCCAAAAGUGAGACGUGAACCUUGGGUCCCGGUCUGAUACAAUUGAUACCGGAACACCAUGAAGUCUCACAACCUCGUCGAUAUAUACUUGGGUCAACUUGUCCCCCGAUCAAGUAACAUGAAUUAGUAGGAAAUGCGCCGACUUCGUCAACCGGUCUACUAUCACCCAAAUUGUAUCAUGUCCACCUUGAGAUCGGGGCAAUCUGGUCACAAAGUCCAUCGCGAUAUUUUUUCAUUUUCAAACGGGUAUAGGUAUGUUUUGUAAUUUCUCCGCCGGAAACCGCCGCUCCGCUUUUACUUGUUGGCAAGUAAGACAUUGCGCAACAAACUCUCCAAUGUCUUUCUUCAUGCCUGGUCACCAAUAAUGCAAUUUCAAAUCUUGGUACAUCUUGGUGCCACCGGAGUGGAUACUAUAAGGAGAUUGAUGCGCUUCUUGCAUAAUCGCCUUGCGAAUGUCCUUAUUCUUAGGUACACACCAAUGAUUACGAAAUUGAAGUGUGCCGUCGGUCCCAAUGCCAAAAUCAUUGGCACUACCACUCUCAACUUCACUGCGCACCUUUUGGAGAUACUCAUCGGAAGCUUGUAGCUCCUUUAUCCUCUCCAACAAGGUCGGUUGCACCACUAAGGUAGCAAGUGUAGCCGGCACUCCCGGCGCUACCACUUUCAAACAAAGCCGUUGCAUCUCUUUUUGCAAUAACGGUUGGGGUGUAAUUGCCGAAGCCAAGUUUUUCCCUGAUUUUCUACUAAGUGCAUCGACCACUACGUUUGCUUUUCCGGGGUGGUAUAAGAUGGUGACAUCAUAGUCCUUUAGUAAUUUCAACCACCGUCGUUGUCGCAUGUUUAGCUCUUUUUGGGUGAACAAGUACUUGAGACUUUUGUGAUCCGUAUAGAUCUCGCAAUGUUCACCAUAUAAGUAGUGCCUCUAUAACUUUAGCGCGAAGAUAACCGCCGCUAGCUCGAGGUCAUAAAUCGGGUAGUUCUUCUCAUAAAUCUUCAACUGACGCGAAGCAUAAGCUAUAACUCGGCCGUUUUGCAUCAAGACACACCCGAGACCGACAUAGGAAACAUCACUAUAUGCCACAAAAGUCUCCCCCGGCAUCUGCAAUGCAAGCACCGGAGUCGUCGUCAAUCUUUCCUUCAACUCCUUAAAGCUUCGAUCGCAAUCGUCGCUCCACACAUAUUUCACUCCCUUGUGUGUAAGGCGCGUUAGUGAAGUAGUUAUUUUGGCGAACCCUUCCACGAACCGCCGAUAGUAGCCCGCUAGCCCAAGAAAACUGCGAACCUCCGAUACGCUCGUUGGGCGAGGCCAAUCUUUAAUUGCUUCUAAUUUCUUCGGAUCCACCGAGAUACCCUCACCCGAAAUCACGUGUCCUAAGAAAGUGACCUCCGAUAGCUAAAAGUCACAUUUCUUCAACUUGGCAUAUAACUUCUCCUUUCGAAGUAUUUCCAAUACGGUCCUCAAGUGCUCCUCGUGUUCUUCCUUGGUCCGAGAAUAUACCAAUACGUCGUCAAUGAAUACCACGACGUACCGGUCCAAUAGCGGACGGAAGACUCGAUUCAUUAAGUCCAUAAAACUGCCGGGGCAUUAGUAAGCCCAAACGGUAUAACCGUGAACUCAUAAUGGCCAUAUCGCGUACGGUACGCCGUCUUGUGCAUAUCCUUGGGCCGUAUCUUCAACUGAUGAUACCCCGAUUGAAGGUCUAUUUUCGAAUACACCCUCGACCCUUACAACUGAUCGAAUAAAUCAUCAAUCCUCGGCAACGGUUACUUGUUCUUAAUUAUGACCUUGUUCAACUCACGGUAAUCCACGCAGAGUCGAAGUGUGCCAUCCUUCUUUUUGACAAAUAGCAUCAGAGCUCCCCACGGUGACACGCUCGGCCUAACAAAGCCUUUAUCGAGCAAGUCUUGCAACUGUGCCUUUAGCUCCUUUAACUCCGCCGGUGCCAUUCUAUACGGAGCCUUCGAAAUUGGCGCCGCCCCGGGAAUUAAAUCAAUAACGAACUCGAUCUCCCGGUCCAGUGGCAAUCCCGGUAACUCCGCCGGAAAUACAUCCGGAAACUCACACGCUACCGAAUACCACUAAGUUCCGGGUACACCUUUUGGGCUUCUACCAUUGUCGCCAAGUAGGCUACACAUCCAUCCUUAAUUAUUUUUCUUACUCUCGCCGCCGAUAUAGUCGCUGCAAAGCGCCUACUUUUACACGCUCGGUAUACUAGCUUUUCUUGAUUAGGCCCACGGAACGUGAUCACCUUACUUUCGCAAUCUAUCAGAGCAUAAUACUUGGAGAGCCAAUUGAUCCCCAAGAUUACAUCGAAGCCCCACAUUUGCCUCAACACCAAUAAGUCGAUCGGCAUAAUCCAAUCGCCUAACUGUAUCAGACAAUCCAAACACUCGUCAUGUACAUGGAAUGAAUGUCCAGGUGUAUUCACCGUCCAAUAGUCCUCAUUAUGUGUGACCUCUAUGUCAUGAGCUAGUGCAAAUGAUGCCGAUAUGCAUGAAUACAACACACCUGUGUCAAAUAAUGCUUUAGCUCUAGUGCCUCUGAUCAAGAUAAUACCUGCCACGACGUCGUCGGGGACUGGAAUCGGCUCCUCCACCUGAGUGGCAAAAACCUACCCACUCGGUAUUCUAAAUGCCUCUGGCUGACACAAUGAUGAUGAGCGUCCAGCCGACAUAGCCGAGGGUAACCCCGCUAGCUGUCUCGGGGUCGAAGGAACUGAGGCCGCCGUCGGUGUAGACGACGCCCAUCGGGCACUCCCGUAUCAUAUGUCCCGCAUGACCGCACUUGAAGCACUUUCCUUCGCCUUGCUGGAAAGUCAUCGGUCGAUGCUCGCCGUCGCAAAUAACGCAAUGGGGAGGCUUCCCGCUCCUCGCUUGCUGUCGGGGAUAUCGAGGGGGUUUCUUUGCACUUGGCCGACCCCCGGCACCGCCGGCCGCCCGCUUCUUGCUCUUGUCCUUUGCCUCGGCUGCAGACUCGCGCUCCUCGCGUUCGUGGGCAUAGCCAUGCUCCGCCCACAAGGCUCGAUCAAAGACCUCCGCAAAGGUCGUCAGCUUGAGAAUUUGCACGGUCCUUUGAAUCCCCGGCCGAAGUCCUCGCAAGAACCAAUCGGCCCGGUCCCGGUCAUCGCGAACAACCUCCGGGACACAAUCGAUAAGGUGGGAGAACUCCUGCUCGUAGUCCGCCACGGAGCGAUCCCCUUGCCUCAACUUUCGGAAUUUUUCUUGCAACUUCCGCUUCAUCGUGUCGGGGAAGUAAUUGGCGAACAUCGCUCUCAUAAACUUCUCCCACAAUAUAGGUGGAAAAUCGGGAGAUCGAUCCCGCCUAACUCGCUUCCACCACACAUUUGCCGCCUUCUCAAGGCAAUGUGUGGCUAGGUACACUUUGUCCUUCUCCGAGGUAUGCAAGUCCUCGAAGAGUGUCUCCAUGGAGUCAAUCCAUGACUCCACCACCGCCGGUUCCACCACUCCCCCUUCGAAGAUAGGUGGGUUGAACUUAUUGAACUGUAUGAGAGCUGCCAACGCACGCUCCCGCUCCGCCUCAUCCGCCGCACUAUCGGGGUUUGAGGUCCUCGAUCUGGUCGGUAUCGUCGUAACUGGCACAGCCGCUGCGGACACACCCUCGGCUGCGCUCGGCACUACUGCAGGGGGCACAGGGUGCACGGCCUCCACGGGCACCGCCGCCGCCGCCUGCUGUCGCUCCAAGGCUUCCUGGAGCCUUUGGAUUUGCCCCCCUUGGCGUUGAACGGACUCCGCUUAUUGCUGCACUACGCCAAUAAGCGCGGCCAUCUGCUCCCGAAGCUCUCCGUCGCCACCUGCUCCAUGUUGCACAGGAGCCGCACUUGGCUCCUCGGCCAUAGACCUCGUCCGCGGUUGACCACGAGGCAACUUAGGUCGUCCACGAGGUGGCAUUGCUUUCUGAAAUGAAGCAAUUCACAUUAGUUACCCAUUACUAUACUCGAACAUACCCAAUUCGGCGAAAGCAAUAAGUGUAUUUAUUUUCCUUCCAAAGCAUCAUGUCGUCGGUCGUCGAUCACAACACAAGGAAAAGAAAAAUAAAUAACAACUUAAAUUUAGUCCCUAACCAAUUAGAGACAUAUUUACAUCAACCCAAUCAUAAGCUUUUGCUAUAGUUUGAUUCCACGUCGCUCACGUUUUCCUAGAUCCUUAAGGUUUUUCAUUCCUAAGGGUCUCUAGGUCCAUCCUAUACUUUUACUUUUUGGCUCUUUAGGCUUUGAUACCAUUAGAUCUUUCACGCCCUGAGCCCGAUCCUUUUGGCCGUCUCGAGCGCGUUGAACAGACGCCGAACGGACAGAGUCUCCCCUGUCCGCCCAAGGCUCAACAUCCUGUACAAAUAGAGUAUGAAUUUUGCACAAAACGGAAGCAUACACAAUGGCUUGCACGAGGGCAAGCAAUAGCCAAUAGUGAAAGUAAUAAACUACACUUAGGAAAUCAUCUAUAUCUUUUUUGCAUCAUUUCUUCUCUUUUACAUCACAUAAUCUCAAAAUAUAGUUCUUGCAUUGAAAUAUCAAAUAUCUUUUACAUCAUUCAUAUUCUUUACCUUUAACAUCUAUAGUCAUCAAAAUACAUAAUGUGAUGUAUAAAGGUAUGCAACUACAAAAUGGAAACCCACUUGGGAAGUCUCUAUCUAGGGCGCGAUGCCCUUACCGCGGUCGUCCGCCGGCUCGCUCCGUCCCGGUUCUGUGGAAAUAGUGGGGUGAGAACUACAACAAAGUUCCCAGUAGGUUCGGCAACCGACCACGCCGACUUUCCCACUAGGUCUAAAUCAAGCAUAAUAGAAGAAUAGAUAGAUAAUAACCAAGCUAAAGCAAAUGCAGCUAAUAUGCCUGAACAAUAAAUAAUGCUAUGCUCAAUAAGGUACUCAUGAUGAAUGCAAGGUCACUGCUCAGAGCCCAAUCUCUAGGCUAGCUCGUAGGUUUUGCCCACAAUAGGCUCACCAACUCAAAUCCUAGUAUCGGGGAGACUACUACACCCGACGGGACUGUCCUCUAGGGAGACUACUACAUCCAAUGAUGACAACUCCGGAGCACAUCGCUCGAGGGGGAGCUACCACUCUCAAGCAAGGACUUACAGGUGAGUAUGAUCCAAUCCUUAACUAUAAGGAUGCCGAGUUCAAUCCAUUCCUUAACUAUAAGGAAGACAUGCACUAUGACUCUUAACUCUAAGGUUGAAAUUGUCAUUAUGUCACUAUCACACUUUUAAUCGCAUUCUUUACUUUCACUAGUGUCAUAUACACUACUAUAUUCUUGUACACAUGCCACACUUGUUUUCUAAGUGUUCCAACUCUAACAUUCUCGACUCAUCAAUAUCACUUUCUACUUCUAUGUCAAGAUGUCACAUUUGUUUAUUAAGUCCACUAAGUUCUUGUCUCUUGUCAUGCAUAAAUAGGGUUAUAAAAUUCUCACAUUCUUGCUAGUAACUCAAAUGCAAUUGUACUCACAACAUGCAAUAAAUGGCUCAAAUAUAACCCUACUAUGCAAUUUAUGCUCAAUAUACAUAUGCUCAAAUAUAACAUUUUAGACAUAAAAGGAAUUUCGAGGUCUUCGUUAUGCACCACCCACCUUGUAUGGUUGCAAGGCUGCUACGGUGAAUUUCUUGAAAUUUUGAAAGCUCAACUUUUUCGCCUGCGGCAAAACGAAGCCAAAUUAGGCUUUUUCUCAAUAACUUUAUCUAGACCUUUUCGUAACGUCAAACGGAGUUGUCCAACGCGUCGGAAAUACCCCCAAUUAGGUUUCUACAAGGUAAAUUUGCCUUAAAAACACCUUAAGGUAAAAGCUCCAAAAUUCAUACCCUAACAAUGCCAUAAAAAAAUUUCUCCUAGAUUGAUCUUAUAUCUAAGCAAAAACUAGCUUAGAAAUACCUAGGAAGCAUGCUAAUAUCAUUACUAAAUCUUUAGAACCAUUCCUAGGGCAUCAACUUUGGAUUCUAACAAUCCACCAUGAGAGGGUUUCAAGAAAACCAUGAUUUCAUGGAGUUCAAGGCUCUAACAUGCUUUUAGAGCUUCUAAGAAGUCCAAAACUCCAAAACUUAGGGUUUAAAACCAAACCCUAGAAGUAAUCUUGCAUGAACUCACCUUUGCCACAAGCUAUCCCCAAGUUCUUCUUGAAGGAGAACUUCUAGAGCCACCAAGACCACCAAAUCCACCUUCUCCAACUUCUACUCCUUCAAUCCUUGCUCUAGGGCAAGAGUUCUAGAUAGAGAAAGAGAGAAAUGUGAGAAGGAGGGUGAAAUGGGUGUUGGCUGUGAAGGGGAGGGGUUUGGGUUCAUUUAUAGUAUGUCACAAUUGCAGCAAAGCUCCCGAACAAUUGCUAUUUGCAACAGACCUCAAAGGUGCUGCCAGACCAAAGUGUACCGGUACAUGAAAUUUUGUACCGGUACAACUCUGCGCAGAGGCCAAACUCGAGAGCAACUCUCUCGGUUUCGUAGCAUUUGUACCGAUACAUUUUCGAAGUGUACCGGUACACUUCCAAUUUUUCUCAAACCCGAGAGUAUACUCUUCUCGGACUGCAGGGCUAUAGAGAAACCCGAGAGUAUACUCUUCUCGGACUGCAGGGCUGUACCGAUGACAACUCGAUGGUUGUACCGGUACACUUUGCUAAUAAUGCUAUAUUUGCGCCGUUUUCGAUUCUAUUUCGCGUCGGUCGAUAUUCAAACCUUUCUAACACCUCUUAAACUCAUUUUUAGCCCUUCCAACCUUGUUGGAAUGCUAAAUGGAACUUGUCCAACUAUUUCUUUCGCAUUGUUCACUUUUAAAUCGCGCCGAGCAAUGCUAAAACUUGCUUAACACUCUCGGAACUCGAUUUUGACCCUUCCAACAUUGUUGGUAGGUUAAUUGGAACUCGCCCAAUUAAUCCAUUCGCACACUUUAGUCAAUUUGGCUAAAGUUCGCUAUUUUCUUUAUCAAGGUUUCGAUAUGUUACACUUUAAUCAAUUGCUGUUGUGUUAUUUUAAGUUGUUGGGAUGCAUUUUAGCUUAAAAUGGAUAGUAAUGUAUAUGUGACUAUUACACUUCUAAAUUCUUACUAUGACAUGUAUCCUAUUAUUUUCUACUGUUGAUUGGAUUCUUGUAGGCAGGCAGGCUUAACAGUUGUGUAGUUAAGCCUUAUUUCAGUGUUGAAAGGAGUCUGUGAAAUAUUUGCCUAUUAUGCUAAUAGCGUGCAUGAAUAGUUGGAUUUUUCCAUUAGUCAUAAUUUUUUGCUUUUGGGUUUUAGUUUUGCUGAUUUUUAGAUAUUUGAUGUAUUUUUGAUGUUUUAAAAAUUUUGAAUAUUGUUCAAAUGCUAUUUGUUUGCUUGUAUUGUUGACAUUCUACACUACAUUUCUUACCAAGUCUAACAAAAAAAAAAAUAUUCACAAAGAAAAUAAUAUUGUUAGGCCAAUAAAGCGCGGCCAGGUGGUACAUCAUUACUUCACCCAACUGUUUCUUAAGAAUAGAAAUUUUUAUGUACACCAGGAGAAUCGGAAGAAGCAUCGCAUAUAGCUGAGGGAAGUUAUAGUAACCGCAAGCUGUUACAAGCGGUUCCGAUCGGCUGGAAGUGGUCCCGAAAAAUAGGGAGAGUGGCCGAUCAUGGAUGAAAAAUAACUGACCAACAUGGGCGAGUUAUAAAUAGGCAAAUAACGCCCUGAGAAGAGCUAUUUUCUCCGAGAACAUGUAGCACACUGGACCUUUACAAAUUGCGAGGUUCGAGUGUUUGAUAUGGAAUCCGAAUUUUUCCACACUUGGUGGAAGAUCGUAAAUGGUAUUCCGAUCUAAAAGUUCGAUUUCUGGAGUUUUGGCAUUGUCUUGAAAGUUUUCACUCUCGGGGACCGGUCCCUGAUAGGAGAGACCGGUCUCCUCAGAACAGUGCUGCGGCAGGACUUGAGGCAACCGGUCCCUGGCGGAUGAGACCGGUCCCCGAGCGCGACUACGCGGGGAGAGACCGGUCCCAUGCGGGGAGAGACCGGUUCCCGAACGUUGGUUUUGCGGGAUGGACUGAGAGACCGGUCCCAGGCAGGGAGAGACCGGUCCCUCUGGGCGAAAUUUGCCCAGACCGGGCAGUGCACACAUUGCACAGUUGAGGGACCUAAGUGGAUUUUGUUACUUGGGAUGGCUUAUAUGGCUUUCUCUCUUCCUCUCACUCUCAUUUCUCUCCGUCACACCCACACUAGAGAGAGAAAGAGAAGGAGAAGAAGAAGAAGGAGAGGAGAGGAGCUUACUUGGAGGCCUUGGAGCAUCAUCUUUUUCCUCUCAUCACACAUUGGUGGCUUAGAGCUCGUGGUUGAGGCUUUGUGGAGGAUCAAGCUUCAACCCUUCUUGGUUUAGAGCUUGGAUUGGAGCUUCUCUUGAGGUUGGUAGCUUGUAUUCCCCAUUUAUUACAAGUUUUUUUAGAUUUUGUUAGGUGAAACCCUAGAUUGUGGAAUUGGGGUUUAUUUUGGGGAUUUUUGAUUUGAGGGCUUUGAAACCUAAUUGAUGGGUUUAGAACUUUUAUUUAGGUUGGAUUUGAAGAACUUUAACUCUCAUUUGGAGCUUGAGAGAGGAUUUCUUCACCUAGGUGAGUUUUUCUCUACCUUACCCUAUGUUGCUUAUUGAUCGAUCACUUGGGUAUUCGUAAGGUUCGUUUAACUCUCUUUUCUAUACCUUUAGGGUAUUAGGAGAGUGGUGGACACCUUCGUCGGAGCUUACGAAGGGUUUCGAUAAUUUCUGUGGGUUUGACUUCAUGAGAACGGGGCAAAAUGACCCCUACGCUUGUUAUACUUGUCGUAACGCCUUUUUGAAUGCAAAUCCAUGCUAGAUAGGAUUUAUGUGAAUUUUAGAACACUUAAAAUGCAUGCCUUAUGUAUUAUGAAAAUUUCACUCUAUAUAGUAGACCAUUAUAGGUAAACUUCAUAUAUGUGAGAAGUGUUCGUGUUAGUGACUUGGAAACAUGUCUCUUAAGCUAGAAAUCGCUUAAAUUAUGCAUUUGCAAACAAUAAACUCAUGUUUGGACUUAGUGGACAAAAAUGCCAUAAAGGGGCACUUGACAUAGUAACCUGUGAAACUGCAACAUAGAGACGUAGUGAUAGGCCAUUGAACAUCUGCUAUAUUCCAUGUUAGAGACAUGAUGACAUAGAGAUAGGCCUUUAAGACAUUCGACGUAUAUUCCAUAUUUUUAGACAUGAGGACUUUGUACUUGAGACAGAUCUUCCGCUUGCUUGCCAUUGUGCUUAUUCGCACAUGCUUGUGAGGGUCGCUCCCUACAAGCCAGCACUCCGGAGAUAGCCAUCUCGACAUAUACUCGCUCGUGCGGGAUUGGGCGCCGAAAUGGGAUGCCGUGGGGAGGCUCAUUCCUAGAGUGGGGAUGUUGACUACCACGGGGCCAUUAGGUACGGCGCAGGCCGGACUACCCACGGGUAGGUCCUACAGGAUUGGAUCAUUGAUGACUUAGCAUACCGACUGGACAUUGACUAGAAUAGUAAACAAGACAUUUUAUUAUUUAGCUUGUGGACAUCAUGCUAGUGAUACCUUGGUACAUUCAUGUUAGAAUAGUCUUUUAUUACUUAUGCAAAUUCAUGCUAAGUAGAGAUAUCAUGUUGUAGUAAGUUUACAUGUUUACUUACAUACCGAUUCUAUUGCUUUUAUUGUUACUUACCUGUUUAGCUCUUUGGGCCUAGUGGUGCUUUCACUGAAGUCAGUAAUUGCCCACUGAAAACUAUUAUUUAAUAGUUCUCACGCCCCUGUUUCUAUGUUUUCUUUUCAGAGCCCUCUGCACCGGCGGAGGCACGGGAUCGCGGCAAGGGUAUCGCUAGCUAGAUAGCGAGGAUUUACCGUUGCUUAGGUGGUUUUCUCUCUUUUUGUUGUUGUUGAGAGAAAGAGGGGGGUUUUGUAUCCAUGUAUAGAGACCACCUAUGUAUUUACUUAUAGCACUUAUUUUGGGAUUUCUAUUGUUCUACUUUAAGUUUUCUUCUAGUGGAUUUUAGUUUUAUGGUUCUUUUUCUCUAUUGUAGCAUCUAGAUAUACUUGCUCUGAUACUCCUAGAUGUUCUCUUUUACUGCUUCAUUUAUCAUUUUGUUCUAGACGCCUUAUAUGUUUUAGACAUAUGACGGGUCUGGACACGCGCCAGGCGGGCUUCUGCUGGGUCCCGGGGCGUGACAGAAUAGAAAACCACCUUUAUUUUCUCUGUAAUUUUCUCGCAUUUUCUAGGAGUAGUUUACCUGUAAUCCUUUACUUUCCUGCACUUACUACUUUUCUCUAGGAGUAGAAUCUUAGCUAGAUCAACCAAGUCUGUAUGCCCUGAGGCACACUCGACCUUUGUAUUGUUUCCACAAGUUACAUUCAAUAUAUAUAAAGGCAUUCGGCUCUUUCAGCCGACUAGUCAUUGUGUAUUUCAUCUGUUCGGCUCUUCUGCCGACCCAAGUUUUUGUGCAGUCCGUACAUUCGGCUCAUCCAGCCGAACCGAUUCUACAGUAAAGAUUUUUGAACUCGGCUGAUCUGAUUCCUCGUCAGCCGAAUCGCUUGAUCUAGUCGAAUGGCGCAAACUUCGAGGGUCAUUAAGCUUAGCCGUCCCACAUCCCGACACGCUUCCUGAGGAAGAUCUUUCACCAGGUCAAAGAAAGGCGAGUUCGGCUCCUAAUAAUUUUUGGUACGCCUAGUGGUACACCAAUUUAGGUAAAUUUAUAUUUUAUUAAAAUUAUGGUUGAUGAUAAUGCCAUGAAUUUACGCAAUAUGGUCGUUCCUAGAAAUUUCGGAUAAUGCUGGAGAAGCGAUCAACCAAGUAAUUCGGAUAAUGUUGGAGAAUGCCAAGCGGUCUUGCCUAUCGAAGGUGAGAUUAGUGGUCAAUCUGACCAACAAGAGCCUAAUUUGGCUCAAGCGCUUUGACAAAUGACACGGGUCCUACAAGUAUUGGACCAGAAUAGUCAUAGAAGCAUUGCACGGUUUGAUGCAGUAUUGGCCGCAAUCACGGCCUCUAACGAGAAUAUUGCCCGAAUAGGGCAAUUAUUGACUCCUAACUAGCAACCUGUGACAGGCUUACAAGCGCCUGUAAUGAUACCGAUGUUACAAAAUCCUGUAACACCGGCAAAUGGUCAGCCCCAAUACCAGGGGGCACCAUUUCAGGCGGCUUACAGACCGACUGUUGUUAAUGCCGGACAGCAGCCAGAGAUAGCAUGGGGAUUACCAUCUCCUCCGCCAGUAGCGGCAUAUCAGCCCUAAAAUAUAGGGGCUAGAGCUGGGGGGAAGGCUUCGAAUAUACAAGGAGUUAACCCUGUUGUACAGAAUUUCAGACUACCACAAGGACCGAAUGUAGUCCAAGCACAGGUUUCUUUACAGGGGAACAAUAAUGAAAUAUACGCACAGAUUGAAGAAGUCAUCCGAAAUACUUUCAGAGUUGGCGCAAGGUCGGCAAUGCGGCCUGUGUUUAGAUCUUCUUAUCUUGCAAAUAUAGAUGCAGAGCAUCCCUAUCCAGUAAAUUGGAAAAUGCCGAAAUUCGAUAAAUUUUUCGGUGAUGAGACCGAAAAUACGGUCGAACAUGUCGCACGGUUCACGGCACAAUGCCGAGAAGCCGCCGCGGAUCCGUUUUUAAAACUUAGAUUAUUUAAUACCUCGUUAACCAAGACAGCUUUUACUUGGUAUACGAGUCUGCCGGCUAAUUCCGUCCAAGAUUGGGACGAAUUAGAAAGGAAAUUUCACAAAUAAUUCUACAGAUUAGAGCCAGAAUUGUCAGUUGAUGAUCUGGCUCAAUUUAGGCAGAGAACAGGGGAAUCGGUUGAAGAAUACUUAAACCGAUUCAAAACGGCCAGGAGCCAUUGUUUUGUAAGGAUGCCGGAAUCAGAGUUUGUCAAGAUGGCAUUCAACGGCUUACAUUUCAAAAUAAAAGAUCAUUUUGAAGGCAAAUAUUUUUCAAAUCUAUUUGACUUGGGAGUUCGGGUUGCUCAAUAUAAGCAAUUCCGAAAAGAAAAUAAUGAAGAUCGGCCUAGAUGGGGCCGAAAAAAAGAUUGGAACAAAGGAAAAGAGAAAAAUAUCUCUUUCCUUGAAGAAUCUUCGGCUCAAGAGGAGCCGAAUACAUAUGAGGAAAUAGAGGAUUCGGCUGAUGAAGCCGAAAUAUAUGUGGCGGAGAUGGUAAAAAACCGCCAACCGUAUAAAUGUGCUUUGUUAAAGCCCGCUAAAUCAAGCGAGGCAAAAGCUCGAGUGUCAGCAUAUACGUAUUCUUUUGAUGUAUCUAAAACUGAUUUAAUUUUUGAUCGGUUACUAAAGGAUGGGCGAAUUGAGCUACAUGAGGGUCAAACUAUACCCUCUGGAGAGGAAUUAAAAAGGAGAAAAUACUAUAAAUGGCAUCAUUCAUGGAGCCAUAGAAUGAAUGAAUGCACUGCCUUUAAAAGGCAUAUUCAAAAAGAAAUAAAUAAAGAUCGGCUCAUAUUUGUCGACCAAGAAAAUAAAAAUAUAAAAAUUGACAAGAAUCCUUUUCCAUCACAGGUCAAUAUGGUCGAUAUCAAAGGGAAGGCGGUCGUAGAAAAAAAGACUGCCGAAAGUAUUGCCUACACCAAGAGAACUCUUCGCCUCUACAUAAGAUGCAAGGCCGAAAUGACCAAGAGGCCCGUCCUAUCUGUCGAAGCUAUACCAAUCACCACCAUGCCGAGUUGUUGGUGGAGAGCAAAUCCAACCAGGACACUACGACAUCAACGCAAACGCACAAAACCUGACUCCGAAGUUGCACUUGUGGGCGCUACCCAAACGAGUAUGCAAGUGUGUCUCUACCGAGCUCAAUCAGGCUCUCACAGGCUAUAAUCAAAGCAAAUGGGUCUAACCGAUUUAACAACAAAAGUUCACGUGCCCUUGGCACAAUCUGAUGCAAAAACAGAAAUCUAGGUCCACCGUCAACCGCGACGGCACCCCACAGUCCGAAAAAGUCUACACACUACUGUAAAAUAAGCUCAGCAUCCCAGCACGAGCGUAAACUCAUUCUACACUAAUCUGAGUAUCCACUGCAUACAAAUUGCGGCGAUACAAACACACUACAGCUCCUAAAGCUAAAUCUGGUAGUUUUUAGAAAAUGACAGUGUAGGAUCUAAUAGUUUUCUCCUAAAUCAAAUCCAAGUCCAACAUGUAUAAUUCAUCUAUAUCACUAACUAUGCUUCAAAUUCAGAUUUCAAAAAACAUGCAAAUCAACGAAUUCGAGCUAUUACACAUGAUAUACGAAGCCAAAAAUACAUACUGUAAACUCCGGCUUAGGAGGAAAUCCGACGAUUUCGGUAAACAUUAACCUAUCUCGAAACGCUAAUCCAACUACGGCAAGAAGUCGAAAGGAGAGGAAACCACGCGCUCGCCCGGCCUCCAACGAUGCAACCGCGACGCACGCACACUCGAACGACCCUCUGAAUCGACGUCGAAAUCUCCCGAGCUCGAGCCACAGCCUCCACUAAGCACACGAUCAAAACGAGAGAGAGAGACAAAAAAGGAGAAGUAUCCCAAGCUCAGUUGAGCAAGUAGAUAAAGAUGAGAGAGGGUAGGUGGCGUUCUUAUCCACCAACACAAAUGACCAUACUACCCUCCACCAACUCAAAAAGCUAGCUGGAGUACCGGCACCCGAUUUGGUUAUCAGUACUCGGCCUCUCAGUCCGCAAGCUCACACACAGGGUACCGGUACCAGCCCGAUACUGUAUCGGUAUUCAACACUGAAAUCCUGCACUUUGCGGAUUUCAGCGUCAGAACUUCACUUUCGCCUUGCGUCGAGUCCGUUUUGUGUCCAUUUGGUGCCAAAACGACUCUGACUUGUCCCGACACUCUCCAGAUAUGUCGACAAGCCUCAGAUGUUGAAAUCUCACUGGUAACCAAAAUACUAGGGAUACUACAUCUAUAUCUAUAUAAAAUAAUGAAAGUUGGGUUCUCGGAAUGCGCCAUGUGACAGCGCGGGCGGACGCGGCGCGAGCGGGCGCGGAAACUCCAAGUGGCAGCGGGGGCGGGCGUGGGCACGCUCGAGGGAAGCGGGUCGCGCGAGGGCAGGCGCGACGCGGGUGGGUGCGGGCUCGUGCAAGGGGCACGAGCGGGCGCGUGCGCGGGCGAGGGUCGCGCACGGGCGCGAGCGAGCGCACCCGGGUGGGAUUUUUUUUUCCCCUUCUCUCUCUCUAUCUCUCUCUCUCUCUCGGCAGUGGGGCAUUUUCUUUUUUUUCCAACUCAUUCCUCUCAUUCGCUCCUAUAUGACUUUUAUUUUAUUUUUUUUAGGAAUUGAGUUUCUUUUUUAAAUCCAACCUAAAUCUUUUUAUUAUAAAAAUUUCAAAUAUAUAAUUUUUUAUACGUGAAUUUUAAAAUCUAACNUUUUUCCAACUCAUUCCUCUCAUUCGCUCCUAUAUGACUUUUAUUUUAUUUUUUUUAGGAAUUGAGUUUCUUUUUUAAAUCCAACCUAAAUCUUUUUAUUAUAAAAAUUUCAAAUAUAUAAUUUUUUAUACGUGAAUUUUAAAAUCUAACUUAUAGAAUGAUUGAAUUGUAAAAAAUAAAAUUUUAAAACAUUAAAUUUUAUAUAGUUUUAUUUUGAUUUUAAUAUCAAACUUUAAUAUUAUAUUACAAUUUGCUAAGCGAUCAAUUUUACAUUUACAAUUUUUGGAAUAUCCAAAAUAUAAUUAGUCGCCUCUUAAUUUUAACAAUUAUGCAUUAUAAAAUUUGUUAGAUAGUUUAAUAUUUUUUUUUUUUCAAAUAAAAUGACUAAUUUAACAAAACCAAUCGAUACUCAACUAUAUCUUCAUUUAGAAUAAUUACAUUUUUGGUCUUCAAAUUAGUAGGAUCUGUGACAAUUGUUCCAAAUAUUUUUUUAAACAAAUAUUGUGUGGUACCGCGGACGGACGCGGCGCGGGAUGUUAAUAUAUAUCAUGUUUUAGUAACUUUUUAGUAAAAAAAGUUAUUUAUAAAAUAAUUUUCAAAACUAUGAAAUUUGAUUAAUUUUUAAUUAAAUAAAGUUGUUAGAAUAAUGUUUAAUGUAUAUAAUAAUACUAUUUGAUAAUAUUUUUAUUUAGUUAUAAUUUUUUAAUCUUAAAAAUUUAAUAAUAAUAUAUUUUAAUUGAUUGAAAUACCAUCUGCGCGCUGCGAAACGCGGGUUCUGCGCCAGUUUAGCUUUACCGGGCGCCAUCCUAGUUUCAUCGUUUCUUUUUUCUGUUUCUCUUACGUGCGUGCUGAUGUCCGCACGUGCCAGAUUUUCUAAAUCUCUUGCGCGUGUGCUGAUGUUAAUUUGCACGUGCUGCAAGGUUUUUCUAUUUUCGUUUACGCGUGUGCUGAUGCGUGCACGGCAUCCGCAGCCGUUUCCUCCUGUAUAUUUCCCAACAUACCCCUCCAGAGCCGUUCACAACCCCAAAAUAUCAGCUCAUCUUAUCACAGAUUCACAAUCAUAGGGCGUUAAAUCGAGCAGUAAUUUAUUCGACGCAUAUUUAAAUAUUUAAAUAUAUAGAUAUAAAUGGUGUGCAGAGUUACAUGCCUACAUAUACUUUCAAAAAUAUAAACGUGUUGAUAUUUUUGACUAUUUGAUUUCUAAAUUAAAAUUUAUUUUUUUUCUGAGAAAAAGAUAGCACAUAUGUCACCUGUUUUUUUUAUAUUCAUAUACAAAAUAGAUUCAGCUACAGAAGUUGAGACUUGAGACAAUUCGACAUCGAAUAAGAUAUAGGCCCCCAUACCAAAAAAUAAAAAUAAUAUAAAAGUAAAUGAUAAAAAAAGAAAACUUAGAAAAAUAAAAUAAAAUAAAAUAAGUAAAUAAAAUUUAAAAAAAAAGUAAAACUAAAAUUAUAAGAUUAAGAUGAUAGUAGUUCUCUGAAAUUUAGUGAUCCCUUUUGGAGAAUAAUAUUAAUCUAAGCACUAAAAAUGAUCAAAAAGUUGAUCUAAGUAUUAAAAAAUGUACCACAGCCGGACUCUAUAUAAAUCAUACACUCUCUAUAUAUAUACAUACUGAGAUUUAUAAAACUUUUAAAUUUUUAGUUUUAAAAAGUUGGUGAGGCAAAUAAUAAAUAAGAAAUUUUUAAUGAGUGGAGUGUAAUAUGUAUAACUAAUUUAGGGGUGCAAUAAAUAAAAAUAAUAACUUAAAUAUAAUAUUUUAUAUUAUUUUUAAAUAUUAGGUUGGAAAUUGUUAAUUACUACUUCAUAUUUUUUACUUAACUAACAAAACGUAAAAUAUAUAAAGCGAAAAUAAUUAGGUCGGUUCCCAAAAAAUGGGUUUUAUUAAGUUUUUCCGAUUAUGCGUUGAAAUGAGUUUUAAAUUUGUCGGAUUUUGCCUAUGCCUCGUACAUUAAUGUACAAACUAAUUAAUACUAUGCAUUAAUCAAACUAUGUACUAUGCAUUGUACAAACUGUAAGUGCUAUGCAUUUAUCAAUUACCUUUUUCGUCAACUUUAACCUUAUCAUUUAUCCAAUUACAAUUUUUUUCCCUUGAUAAAGAUAAGACCUUUAAAAUUAUUUAUAUGACAUAAAUAGGAAAAAUAAUAGGUUACAUGGUAUAUACGAGCAAACGCGAGAUUGAGGUGUAAACAAUAAUUUUUAGUCUAAGAAAGGACUAAAAUGAAAUAUGAUUAAGGGUUUAGGGACUCGUUAGUAAACGUAUUAUAGCGUUGUAAAUGUGGAAAUCAAAAGCUUUAUUAGGAACCAAAUUGAAACUUGUGUGAACAUUCACAAAGACCAGCAAUUCAAUUUACCCAUUUUAAGUUUCUGACCGUAAAAAACAUUUAAUUAUUUUUAUAAAAUAACUAUAUGACUUACUUAUUUCAUUUUAUUUUAAAAAGUACCAAACAAUUAUUAAAUUUUGAAAUUUGAUAUAUAUAUAUAUAUAUUUUAUAAUGAUCAAUACUUUUAUGUUUUUUAGUAUUCGUUGUUGGCUUAAAUGGACCAACAUUCUAUCAUGUGACGGAAGGCCAGGUUGGACUUAGUGAUAUGCGAGAUGAUGUAAGGUUGGGUUUGGUCGAAUCAUAUUUGAAGUGGCAUGAGGCUAGUUGGGCCGAGUCACAAUCAAAAUGCAUUGAUGCUGUGUCUGUAUGCUUUAAGUGAAUUGAUUGGUAACAUUCAGAACGUCCGGCGGAGAAUUUGAUAAUAAUCUAAUUAAUAUACUAUGAAUGCAGAAAACUAAAAACAUUAAUAUAUAAUUCACUUUGUAUUUUAUUAAUAUAAAAAGUACUUGAAUUAGCUAAUAAAUUCACAGAUUUUUUAAUUUUUUUUAUCAAUAUUUGUGUGGAAAUAAAAAAAAUUUGAAGAAGUAUUUGGGCAACAAACCAAGUGUUUGUGAUUUGUGAUGGAGGAUUCAAAAAUUUAGAGAAUUUUGUCUCUAUAUUUUAAACAGUACGAGGACUAAACUGCAAUAUAGGAUGACAUAGGGACUAUUAGCACAUUUCACCAUCGUCCUUUUGUUAGAUCAUUUUUUUUUUUAUCAGGGUAUAUUAGUAAAAUCGCAUUUCUCGCACCUGAUUCCACCAACGACCGUGGAAUCUGCUCCCCGUCGAUUCAACAUAAUUCUCCCUCCUCAAAAAAAUCUCCGCCCCCACCCCCACCCCCAUUACCCACACUACGUCCCCCCAUGGCGGCACACGGCGACCUCGAAUCCUCGCUCCUCCGCGAUCCUGCGCCGCCCCGGCGCACCCGCACCCUCGUCCCCGCCGCCCUCCUCUGUAACGAUCCCACAACCCUUUCUCUCGAUCUCUUCCCGAUCAUCUCAAACCCUAACGUCAAAUCGCUGUUGUUGCUGUUCUUAUUGUUGCUGUUGCUUUUUUGGGGAUUGAUCCGCAGUUCUAGGGCUUUUCCUCCUCUACUGCGGCGUCGUCGUCGUCGUCGUCGUCUUCGAGAGCGGGGGGGAUUGGGGCGAGGAGGAGGAGCAGGGGAGGCGUCGAUGGCGAUGGGGGAGGGGGGAGGGGGAGGGCGAGGUGGAGUCGGAGGUGGGAGUGGUGGCGGCGGACGACGGGAGGUGCUCGGAGGUGGGGGCGGCGGCGCUGAGGGCCGGGGGCCACGCCGUCGACGCCGCGGUGGCCGCGGCGCUCUGCCUCGGCGUCGUCCACCCCGUCUCCAGCGGCCUCGGCGGCGGCUCCUNCUUCCUCGUCCUGCGCGCCGCCGCCUCCGGCCGCGCCCUCGCCAUCGACGCCAGGGAGACUGCGCCCUCCGCCGCGUCCCAGGUUCGGAUCCCCCACGCCUCUCCCCCCGCCCCCCUCGCUCUCUCUCUCUAUAUGUUUCUCUCUCUAUGUCUCUCUCUCACUAUGUUUCUCUCUGUACGUCUCUCUCUGAACUAUUGUCUUGUCUAACCUAAAGAGAGAAUUUUUCUCUAUAUAGCCUCUUUUUAAUAAAAUAUUUUUAAUUUAACCUUAUUUUUAUAAAUUAGAAAAAAAUAAGUUAAUAACUUUUUUUAUAGAUUAAUAUUUUAAGUGGGUGGAAGAUUUUUUUUUUUUUUUCUCUUCUUUCUCCUAUUUUCCAAAUGUCAGAAGUUAUAAAUUUAUCAUUAUUCUUACUCUUAUAUUUUUGUAGUCUGUUUUAUACGUGCAAUAAAUUGCCAAUCUUUUGUUGAUAACUAUUACUAUGUUGAGACACUAACAAUGAUCAUACAAUUAAUGAUUAUUGGCAAUCAUAUUCUGAUUCUAUCUUAAUUCCAAACGAAUUUAUGCAGAGAUAAAAAAAAGAGUCGUCCAAAAUCAGCGCGGAUUCAUAACGAUACGGACAUAAGAGAGAAAAAAAUAAAUUACAUGUAUGUGAAAUUUGCAGACAGAAAGAACAUAAUAGAUAAAAAUGCCCUAGCUGAAAAAAAUAAGACUAUAUUAGAAAAAUGGAAAAGGAGAGAGAAAAAAAUCUCCCACCCACUUAAUAUUUUAACGUAUUUUUUUCUUCUAAUCUAUAAAAAUAAAACUAGAUUAGGAAUAUUAAAAAAAAAAGGUUAAAUAGGAUUUUUUCUUUUUCCCUAAGGAGGCUAGGCAAUAAUUCUCUCUUUAUGUCUCUCUCAAUGUUUCUUUCUCCCCCCUGAUUGGUGUGAUGUCAUUAUUGCGUGAACCGGGUGGAAAGGCCAGGGGGGCCCGGAAAGAGUGGAUUUUAGCAGGAGUUAUUACCUGCACCGGGUGUAUCUUAUUUUAUGCACCAUACUCCUAAAUACUCAUAUAAAGAUACAAUAACGGAGGCUUCAAAAUCAAACCUUGAUUCAUGUUAGGAUUUGGUUAGAUUUGUAGUUGAAUCCUAUUUAGAUAAGAAUUAAUAUUUAAAUCUGUUGGAGAUAAAUUAAGAUUUAAAUAUUAAUUAGAGGAUAAACCUAACUAGAUUAGGACUAAUAUUUAAAUCUAUUAGAGAUUGAUUAAGAUAGAUUUAGAUAUUAAUUGGAGUAGAAAUCCUAAAUAUAUUAGGAUUGGGGUACGUUUUAGUGGAGCCUUAUAAAUAGCUCUUUGUGGGUUUGCUUUUGAGGUGAGUACGGGAGAGAGAAAAAAGAGCUCUUGGGUGCCGUACUAGAGAGAGAAAAAGAGAGAGAGAGUUAUUCAAUGAGUUGAGUGCAUCUAGUGCACGGGUGCGCGUGGAUGAUUGUCUUCUUUGUGGGAUCAUAGAAGACGAGAGAAGGGUAGAAGAAAUUCAAAAAAGAGGGCUCGAGUUGUAGCUACUCUGUUGCAGAAGAGGAGUCAGGUGUAAUCUUCUCUUAUUUAAUGAAUCUUAUUUUACCUGCAUAUGUUUCUCUUUUAUGAUUGUAUCAGCUUUUGCUGAGGAGACGGGUUUAUGGUCAAAACCCGAUUUGACGUUUCCGUUGCGGAAUCCCAACAAUCGAUACCGGAUCCACAGCAGUCGGUAUUGGAGCGGAUUGCGGAUUCACGAGAUCCGGUACCGGGGCGAGUACCCGAUUCCCAACAAGUGGUAUCAGAGCCGAAGGUUACCGAUUUGCCGGAGAGAUCGACGGAGAUGGCCACGAAAUUCGAAAUCGAGAAGUUCGACGGCAAGAACAAUUUCGGAUUAUGGCAAAUUAAAGUACGAGCAAUCCUCGUACAGCAAGAGUUAGACGAGACGUUGAACGGGAAGGAGGCAAAGCCGGCGGAGGUCACGGAUGUGGCAUGGACGAAGAUGGAGCGGAAGGCGCUGAGUACGCUUCAUCUAUCAUUAGCAGAUGAGGUUCUUUACAAUGUAGCCGGCGAGACGACACCGGCGAAAUUGUGGAAGAAAUUGGAAGAUCUGUACAUGACCAAAUCCCUGACGAACAGAUUGUAUCUGAAGCAGCGACUGUUUACGUUGCGGAUGCAAGAAGCGGCGAGCCUACAUGAUCAUCUAAAUGAGUUCAACAAGGUGGUGGCCCAGUUGACCAGCAUCGGAGUCAAUCUGGAUGACGAAGACAAGGCGUUGAUCCUACUAUCUUCGCUGCCGACGGCAUAUGAGCAUCUGGUGACCACGUUGCUUUAUGGCAAGGAGUCCAUAAGCGUAGAGGCGGUCACAGCGGCGCUUCUUUCGAACAAGAUGCGGAAGAUGACUCAGGAGUCCGGCAUACAGAGCCGGGAUACAGCUUUGGUGGUGAGAACGAAGAAGGUGGCGACAACAUCAGCGACCGGAGAUCGACAGAAAAAGCCGCUAUCUGAGGUGGAGUGCUUUUACUAUCACAGGAAAGGGCAUAUAAAGUGCAACUGUCGAAAACUUCAGGAUGAUUUGAAGAAGUUAAAGCGACAGAAGGAGAAAACUGUCGUGAAUCAGGACGAGAUGGUAUCAGCGACGGCACAGACGGCAGAGUCGGAGAUGUUCGAUUCUGAUGUGCUAUAUGCGGCGACCGGAGGUGCGAAAAUUUCGGACGAUGUGUGGGUUCUCGAUUCGGCGUAUUCUUUUCACGUAUGCCCGGAGAAGGAGUCUUUUGCCACCUAUAAGGCGACCAAAGGUGGAAAGGCGCUGAUGGGGAACGGGACAGCGUGCAAAGUAUUGGGGGUCGGCAUGGUGAAAAUCCGAAUGCACGAUGGGGUUGUGAGGACGUUGACAGGUGUGCGGCACGUUCCUGGAUUGAAGCGGAAUUUGAUCUCGUUAGGCUCAUUGGACUCGAAGGGUUGCGAUAUUUCAGCUUCAGGUGGAGCUAUGAGGGUCCAAAAACGAGAUCGGAUCGUGUGCGAGGCGAACAAGCGUGGGAACUUAUACGUUCUGAACGGAAGCACAGUCAGAACGGGAGCGAAAACGGUUUGGGUUCCAAAAGUUCGCGGAUGUGCAGUUGCUCGAGAUGGAGCGACGGAUGCGGCGACAUCGAGCGGAGGAGACAAGCUCAAGGUGGAGUUUGCAUGGUGAGCUCGACGUAGCGGUUGAAAAUUACAAAUCAAACCAAGGUGGAGAAUGUUAGGAUUUGGUUAGAUUUGUAGUUGAAUCCUAUUUAGAUAAGAAUUAAUAUUUAAAUCUGUUGGAGAUAAAUUAAGAUUUAAAUAUUAAUUAGAGGAUAAACCUAACUAGAUUAGGAUUAAUAUUUAAAUCUAUUAGAGAUUGAUUAAGAUAGAUUUAGAUAUUAAUUGGAGUAGAAAUCCUAAAUAUAUUAGGAUUGGGGUACGUUUUAGUGGAGCCUUAUAAAUAGCUCUUUGUGGGUUUGCUUUUGAGGUGAGUACGGGAGAGAGAAAAAAGAGCUCUUGGGUGCCGUACCAGAGAGAGAAAAAGAGAGAGAGAAAGUUAUCCAAUGAGUUGAGUGCACCUAGUGCACGGGUGCGCGUGGAUGAUUGUCUUCUUUGUGGGAUCAUAGAAGACGAGAGAAGGGUAGAAGAGAUUCAAAAAAGAGGGCUCGAGUUGUAGCCACUCUGUUGCAGAAGAGGAGUCAGGUGUAAUCUUCUCUUAUUUAAUGAAUCUUAUUUUACCUGCAUAUGUUUCUCUUUUAUGAUUGUAUCAGCUUUUGCUGAGGAGACGGGUUUAUGGUAAAAACCCGAUUUGACGUUUCCGUUGCGGAAUCCCAACAAUCGAUACCGGAUCCACAGCAGUCGGUAUCGGAGCGGGUUGCGGAUUCACGAGAUCCGGUACCGGGGCGAGUACCGGAUUCCCAACAGAUUCAUUAGAUAUAAUUUUUGGAUAUUAUUUUUUUAGUUACUCGAUUAAUUUCUUUUUCUACACCAUUUAUUUUUGACAAUAUUUGAUGCUUUAGUAAUAUAUUUUUAAGUGUAACAAUUUUUAUGUUUAGGCUCUUUACAUUACGCUUUGAUUAGAUUGGACUUUUCAUUUUGAAGUGUAUGGAUACACCGGGUGUAGACAAUAUGUUUCCGUGCAUUUUGACCUUUUCUCUCUCCUACGCAUUUGUUCGAGAAGUAUUAUUGCGUGGGCCAGGAAUUAGAGCGGGGAGGAGUGCUACCACUACUAUCCUUUUUGGUUGUAAUUCUAUAACCUGUUGUAUCUAAACCUUAAUUCCCUUCCAUUUUCUACUUGUUUUGUUAAUUCCUUUAAACUAAAAUUCCCAAGUUUUUGGUAAACCCUGCAUUCCUUGGAUUAAGAGCUGCAGAGAUUACAAUUUUUUUGAGUUGUAGACUUAUGAUUUCUCAUGGAGCGGGUUAUAAAAAUAGUAUUUUCGUUGGUCAGAUAUUGAAACAAAACAACAGAUAAAAACAAGUGAAAAAUGUACAAAACUCUCUGAAUUUUAAUACUUUUGUAAAUAGGCGUAUGAACUUUUAAUUUUGGUAACUACACCCUCUGAACCUUAUCUAAUAGUUCACUAGGUGCAUCUCGUCGAUCGGAGUCAUUAAUAUACAGCUAUUUGGUGUUGCAUAUUUUUUUAUGAAGCUUUAAAGCACAAAGUAAUCUUUCCUUCUACUCUAACCCAUGAAAAAGCAGUAAAAAUUAAAGUUUGAUUCAUUCCGUACUUUGAUCCUGUCGCUUAAUUAUCAUAACCAGAAUUAAGAAAGUUAUAUAUUUUGUUUUGAAGUUGUACAAAAUUAUGUUUAAGACAUGUGAUCAAAACAAUUAUUGAAUUAGUAAGAUGGCUUGAGCUUAGUAUACUAUUUGGUAUUGUGGGUCUAGUUUUCAGUAUUAAAAGUUUAUGCACUUGUUUGCAAUACAGUAAAAGGUUAGGACUAGAGUGCAAUAUCUGGAUUCCAUGCCUUUCAGCUCGAAACAAAGGAUGACUUGCUAAGCUGGGUCCAGAAAAUCAAUUUGGGCUUUUUCUUUUUUCCUUAUUUCUUGAGAAAAUUCUAUGCUGUUAAGAGUGUGAUACCAUACUGAUGCUUGUGGGGGGAACCCAAUCCACAAUCCAAUUCUAUUUAUUUUUGUUGCGUUGUUGCAUAUCCAUAAUGGACGGUUUAGGUUGAAUAGUGGAUGAUUCAUUGAAAUAGUCCUUGAACUAUCCCAAAAUUGCAAUUAUGCCUUGAUAUUUUCUAUUACUGUAAUUCCGUCCUCGAUUGCCCAAAACAAUUUGACAACACGCAGCUAUCUCCUAUAAAAUAUUCUUUUGAAAAUUUACAUUUUUUGAGAAAGUUCAGAAGUUAAAGUAUUUAAGUGAAAAGUUUAGGGUCUAAUUUGCAAUAUCGUAGCAGUGCAGGGACUCCCCAUACAUUAUACUCCUUUAUUAAAGAAUGAUUCUGAGAAGGGAUAGUUGGAUUUCAAUUGUGACAUCUGAGCUAGAUGUUAGUCUAAAAAUUAAUUCAAUAAUGAACUCUCACAUCAGUAACUUUGAUGCCUCAAUUACAUUUUGGAAUGCAUUCCGACUCAAGUAAAUAGAAAUAAAAUAGUACGUUCCUACAUGCUUUUACUUACUAAAUUUCAGCUGACUCGAUAUAUGUGGUUAGUGGGAUGAAGUUAUGUAGACAAUAUUUUUAGGACUUUCACUUUCUAAAUUUCAGUUGAUUUCCUGGAAUCCUACUAGAAACCACCAUUUAUCCUUUUUUGUUAUUUUUACCUUUUUUUUAUCAGUAAAAAGUUCCAUUUGCCAUACUCUUUCAAUCCACAAUCCACUCCUAAUUAAAUAUUACCUAACAUUAAAUUCUUUGUUUUUCUUUUAGUUUACUGCAUAUCAUGUCUUACCAAGUACGCUGCAUGCAGCUUACCAUAAGUUGCCUCGUGCUAUUAAUUUCCUGGAAGACAUACAAAUGUAAAGGAUCAGAUGACUUUUCGGGGAAAAGAGCUGCAAACCCACAUGAACUUGGCAAAAUUUGAGAUCACCACCUGAGCUUUUAAUUAUGACAUAAAACCACCUGAACCAUAUGAUUUUAUAGAAAAAUUCACGCCCAAAAGGGGUUGAAUGCAACAAAAAACAGAUUGUUAAGGUGGUUUCAUAUUAUCAAUCAGAUAACAACGAUCUGUCUAUGAACUAACAUCUGGGUCUAUAGCUUUUUUACCUUGAUUUCAAAAAUGACGUGAAUAAGAUAACAAGAGUCUAAUGUAACAUCUGGUAUUUUCUUGUCCGACUGAAACAGAACAUGUAUGAAAGCAAUCCAUCAUCAAAGUCCAAGGGCGCACUUUCAAUGGGUAUCCCCGGAGAGCUGGCUGGUCUCUAUGCUGCUUGGCUAGAGUACGGAAGGCUCCCGUGGAAAGACCUUUUCCAACCAGCCAUAAAACUUGCAAGCGAGGGAUUUGUUAUUAUACCUUACGUGGCAAAUGCCAUGAAAUCAAACGAGCAAGACAUAUUAUCCGACCCCGGUCUGCGUGAAGUAUUGGCACCAAAAGGAAAGCUACUGCAAGCCAAUGAUACUUGCUAUAAUCAUGCACUUGCUAACACACUGGAGGUGAUUUCCGUAGAGGGGCCGCAGGCAUUUUACAAUGGAACUAUUGGUGAGAAGUUCAUAGAGGAUGUGAAAAGUGCUGGUGGGAUCGCAACAAUGGAUGAUUUGAGGAAUUACAGGGUGGAAGUUAAGGACGCAUUGGUGGCAAAUGUUAUGGGGUAUACAAUACUUGGGAUGCCACCACCAUCCAGUGGAACCGUGGGAAUGUCUCUAGUGAGUUCUCUUUGCCUGUUUGUACCAACUGAUUGUGUUUUAUUCUGAUGUAUAUGUAGUGUUCAUGUUAGAUUGCUUUUGCUGUACUGUCUUUGUUUUAAGUGCCCAUGUGGGCCAACUGUGACAGCUCCUCUAUUUGAGAGGUAAAUGCUAGGUGUUUGGAAAAUAAAAAUUAUGGAGCUCUCGGCUGACAGGAAGCUGGAUGAGCUUCUUGUCCUUGAAUGAGAAGCUCCAAUCUGAAAUCGCAGGAAGUUGUUGUGGGAAUUGGGGGAAAAAAUUGGCCUUUUUAUCCAAGUCUGUGCAAUCAGCAUGCAAACAAAACCUCUGCCAGUCAAGCAGGUCCUAAGAUGUACUACAUAGCUAAUAUAUGGUAGUAUGCAAUUAUUAUAUGCUUGGAUUUGUUAAAAUAUGCCAGAUUAUCUUUCCUCAGUAUUUCUUCUAUUAGCUUUUAACCAGAACAUUUUUGGUGUGAUGUUUAGGUUCUGAACAUUUUAGGUAGCUACAAGUCACCGGAUGCUGUUAAAGGAUUCCUUGGCAUUCAUCGGCUCAUUGAAGCAACGAAGCACAUGUUUGCUCUUCGAAUGGAUCUUGGCGACCCCGAUUUUGUCAACAUAACAGAAGUCGUGUCCAACAUGCUUUCACCUUCCUUUGCUGAGAAAAUUAAGCAAAAGAUACUUGACAACACCACAUUUAGCCCAGACUACUACCUACCAAAGUGAGUUUGCUAUCUGACUUUCUCUUAGUUCAUAUAUCUUCUGCAUUAGUAAAUGCCAUCUUGCAUAAACAUCCACUUCUUUUUUUUUUAUUUUGCAAUCUGAGCCCAAUUUUUCUUUCCUUUUAUACAAUGUUGGACUGAAGUAUCUUUCUAUGAACUGGGAUACUCUUGGCUGGAAUCCUUAGUGCAUGGAUUUAUUGCAAUGUUGGCGGAGGGUAUUCUAGUCUAUGAAAAGAGAUUUUGGCUCAAAGUUGCAAAAUGCCAAAAAAGUGUGCUGAAAUUGAAUAAUCAGAAAAGAAGUGGACUCUUUUUGUAAAACAUUUAAUGAAUACUUCCACUAGAAAACUGUAGAAUUUCAAGCUAGCCUACACAAACAGGCAAAGAGAUGGAAUUAUUCUUGUGUUCCGUUCUAAACUUAUGGAUUGGAAUGUACUACUUUGUAAUUGUGACCAACAAGGUGAGGGACAAUUUGGAGAGGUCUUUCAUGUGCUUCAUUUUUUCAAUACUUCCUCUUGGCUGUGAGAUCUUAAACAAGCCCAUGAUGCGGACUUUGAAUUGCAGCUGGUGGUUUUUAUUUUCCUGAAGUAAUACUGUAGUAGUGAAUGGACUAGUGAGACUUGAAGCUUGGACCUCCUAUUCUGGUGCCACGUUACUUGACUGGAUUCACUAGAAGUUUAAGCCAUCGUCCCUUAGAGUAUGACUUUGUUUGAUACAGUUUUGAUCCAAUACAUACCUCUUCAAAAAAGUUGCUGCAAUUCACUAUAACAUUUCUCAAUUCUCCCCACAUUCACACCUUAGGUACCACUGUCUAAGACUUUCUUACAUCUUUCAGGCCAAUAUCACGAUCAUCUUUAUUAUACGUAAAUAAAUUAAUUAUACACUCAAUUCUACUGUUUUUCUCACUGGAAAUUGUUCCUCAGAUGGAGUCAGUUAAGAGACCAUGGAACCAGCCACCUUUGUGUUGUGGAUGCCGAUCGUAAUGCUGUGUCUAUGACGACUACCGUUAAUGCGUAUUUUGGGGCUAAAGUGCUCUCCCCAUCAACAGGUAUUGUGCUAAACAAUGAGAUGGACGACUUCUCUACACCAUCCGAUGCAACUCCCGAUCAUCUCCCACCAGCUCCUUCGAACUUCAUUGAGCCGAAUAAAAGGCCUUUGUCUUCCAUGACACCUAUUAUUGUACUCAAGGUAGUGCCAACCUCUCACUCCCUCUCUUUCUCUCUCCCUCCUUGAAGUCUGUUUCCUUGAGUUGGGUUUAGCUAGAUUGCCCCAGAAUAGCAUUCUGAAACCUUUUCAUGCCCCUCAUUGUUUGUUUAAAGGCCAAUAUUACAGUCUAUAAAAUUUUCAAUCAUAGGGAUUACUUUUUGGGCACAUAGCUUCAUAACAAUCAAUUAUAUAGAACUUCCUGCAUCAUUUUUUUUCUGGGUUGAACCAACUUCUGUUCUGUUACAAUUCUGUUUAAAAACUUUUCAGGAGGGAUGUAACAAAAUUUUGCAUUACUUGCAACAACUGAAUUUAUUCAUAGAGAGAUGACACUUAACCACUGUAAAUUUCCUCUCUUGUGGACCAUAAAAUUGCAACUAAAUUAUUAGGCCUCAAAACAUCUUCUGUCUGUAGAAUGAACUUAAAAAUUCAGUAACCAUUAAGUGCAGCUGUAUGGAACAAAAUAUACUCUUUCCAGUUCAACUACUGCCGAAUUCUCUCUUUGUUUGAUAUUUGGUCAUGAACUUAGUUACAUCCGUCCUGAUACUAGCAUGAUGUUCGUGAUGAUUAGAAUUAUAACAAUAUCUAAAAUAUUCAAUUGAUAUAGAUAUUCUUGAUUAUUUUUUACAGGACAAUCAACUUGCUGGAGUUGUUGGGGCUAGUGGAGGGUUAAAAAUUAUUUCAGCGGUUACUGAAGUUUUUCUUAAUCAUUUCAUUUUGGGAAUGGAACCCCUUGCUGCUGUUCAACGGCCUAGGAUUUACCCCCAGGUAACAUUUGUUGAUAUCCUUGUGUUUUUGUGAGUUAUUAGUUUCCUUAAAGCAGUUCUUUAUAGCUAAUUCACUUUAAAGCGAUUAUUUCGCCAAAGAAUAUUUUCUUUUGCUAUGCUAACUUGCCUUUUCUGAUGAAAGAACAUUGCAAAACCAAGAAAAUUUAGCAGCAGGUCAAAUUAUGUUUCUGUUGGCCAACUUCUGGUUUCUUGAACGUGAACUUAGUAGUAAUUGAAGCUAAAUACUGCUAGUUUAUUAAAAUUAACAACAGCCAGAAGGAAAUCAGGAUACAACAUUAAAAUGUACGGUUCAUCUAUAGAUCGAGCCAAUGCUACAGAAUUAGAUGAAAUAAUUGGACAAAUUCCGAGAUUUCUUUUUGCCAAGGUAAAUUUGGGUCUGAACCAGGUCCAAAUAUGGCUUCGUUACUUCUAGUGGAACAUAGUUCAUUAUCUCGUGGACGGCAGACAAAUUGCUUUGCACGUAGUACCUGUUCAGCUUGGAAUCUAGAAUAGCCUCUUUAUUUUCUGGAGGAGCAGAAGCUUCCAAGAACCAAGCAUGUGGCUAACUAAAGGCCCGGAGCUUUUGCUGUGUUGGGAAGUUAAAUUGUGCUUUUGGUGCCUGGAAACCAGAAGCUCCAACUUGAAGCUUCUCGCUCUUCUGUAACAAGAAAUUGUUGAGCAGACUGGAUUGAGGAAAACCAUUACUUAUAAUCGAGUAACUUUAUCAUUCGUAAUGGAGGAACUUAUGACUACUAAUACCUACCUUUCCCUACUAAUAUACAGUUAAUACCAAAUGAAGUGUUCUAUGAGAACUGGACCACUGUAGAUGGCGAAUCAAUCCGGUUCAGUGAAGACGCAAAGUUAUUUCUGGAGCAGAGGGGUCACAGCCUUCAGAGCGUAUCGGGCGGGGCUGUGUGCCAGCUCGUUGUGCAUAACUUAGGAGAACCUGUAAGACUGCAGUCCGACAACAGUGCCGUCUUUCACGGGAUGCUCACCGCAGUCAGCGACCCUAGGAAAGAAGGAAGCCCUGCUGGAUUGUAAAAUCUGGCAUAAAGCACAUGUAGAUAUCUAUCUACAAAAUACCCUCUAGAAAAUAUCAUGAUUUGCACUUUGCCCUCCUGAGAAUGGAAACCUACAUCCAACAACAACCACUCGCCCUUUCCUUCAUAUUUUUGGUUCAGAAACAGUUGGAGAAUACGAAAAUUUUUAUAGAAAUUGUAACAGGGUGUGUAUUUUGAUCAUAUUUCAAUAUCUAUGAACAUUUCUGAAUGAAAAAUGCGAUGCGGAGAAGGAAGGGCCAGCUAGUGCUAAUGGGCUUAUUAUAUUAGGAGGGCAACAUGCAAAUCACCAUAUUUUUCAUGGGAGGGGACUCUGCAUGCAUAUUACUUGGGAACCUAUUUCCCUCAGAAAUUUGAUUCAGUUGGGUAAACUUUGAUGUCCAAGAGAUUAUGCUUGCUAGGGAGAGAAAUACGCAACACUCCCUGUUUCUCCAAAUUUUAUUGGGCUGUGCAUUGUUUUGUAAAUACAUUCAUAUUUAUGUAGAUAGCACGAGAUAAAAGGGCCAGAUAUUUUAUUUGCAUAAGAAUAAGGACUUUAGUUCCACUUUUUAUACCAUGUAUUCGUGUCGUUUGUACUUGUUUGCAUGAAAGACAUAAUAAUGUAUUCGUGUCAUUUGUAUCUGAGAUGUUUCAUUCUGGCUUCUAACAUUUCAUUUGUUUCAUUAUAUGUCCUGAACUUUUCUAAUUGUUCCAAUUUGGUCUUAUAGUUUCUGUUGGUUGGUUAUCUGUGUGAGACACGUGAUGACUCAAGUUGCUAGUACUAGCGACCUGUUGCACCCACACCGUCAGCUCAAAAUGUGUAAAAUUUCAAAUUCCAAAUUAUUAAUACUGAUGUGUUAGUUACAUAUAAAGAUUUUACACUCUUUACACAUUAUCCGUAAUUCAAUGUGCACGCGGUCUAAGACUUGGUUUAUACUUUCGUUACUUCGUUGGCUACCUAUCUCUGAUACCAAAUACAACUAUCCAACUAGCAGCUUGGAAGGUUCAAAAUUUUUGGUACGAAAAUGCUUUAAGUUCAAGUUACACAAACUAAUAUGCUAGUGAAAUACAAGACAUUUACGUUUCCUCACAUUUUUCUUUAUUAUUUGAUGUAAAGCUUAGAUAUCUUCGCCCAGUGUAAGCUUACAUUUUGUGCACGUAUGAACAAAUUUGUUACGAUCUGUUGGAAUUGUUUCAAUCAGACUCAUUUUACAUUGUAAGUCAUUUAUAUAAAGAUUAAAUUAUAAAUUUUAGGACCUUGUUUACCAAAUAUUAGGUGCAGUGCAGGUAAUAAUUUCUCUAUCUCUAUCUCUAUCUCUCCUUUGCGAGGGAUAAUUUCUCUUGGCUAGGGAUAUAUUAAAUAAUGGAACCAAAUUGAAAUAAUUUGGAGAGUCUACACUCCCAUAAUAAUAUAACAAAUUGAAGUUUAGGUACUAAACCGGUUUGAAUCUUUGUAGAAAAUAAAACCUGACUAGGUAAACUCUAGCAAACUCAACCUGACUCAAUCCAAUGUGAGAAAAUCCGUCUUAAAUUCGACUCGAUCCAUCCAAGGUGGGUUGGAUUUUGUAACCCGACCCAACUUCCAAUCGAUAAAAAUUAGCUUCCAAUCGAUAAAAAUCUAAUUGGAAGGUAUUUUCGUAGGGUAUUAGAAGUUUGGAGGGAUAGAUAAGUCAUUUAAAUUUCGGACAAAUAUAUAAGCUAUUUUUAAACUUUAGAAGGAUACAUUGGUAUUUAACCCUAAUAAAUUUUAAUAGCGGUUCAAGUAACUAAUAGUCAAUUGGGAUUGUCAUUUUUUCAGUAGCUAGGUUAACUACCAUUAUUCAAUUUUCCUAACAAAAAAUUAAUUAAAUUUGACCACUAAUACCACUAAUGUCUUACUCAAUAUAUAUAUAUAUAUAUAUAUAUAUAUAUAUAUAUAUAUAUAUAUAUAUAUAUAUAUAUAUAUAUGGUUCGGUUACUAUACUUUUAUGAGUAUUGGCCCCUUAUACUCAUAAGUUUUCAGCCCUUAGAUUUAUUUUCAUUGAUCUUUUCACCCCCGUUAGAUCAUACUAUUCACUAACUAACCCACUCAAUCAUAAGGGGAUCACUAUCAUUCUAAGUAGGAUCACAUCAUCCUAACGCCACAUCAUCAAUCAACGUUAAAAUUUAUAAGUACAAGGGUGUCUAUAUCAUAAGAUAUAGUACCCCACUAUAUAUAUAUAUAUAUAUAUUAUAUAGUAUAUAUAUAGAUGAGAGAGAGAGAGAGAGAGAGAGAGAGAGAGAGAGAAAGAGAGAGAGUUGGGCUGGGAUGCUAUUGAGCACCCAGCCAACUUUGCCAUCCAUUUUAUAGCCCUUGGAUCGCAUCGAGAUCCAUGCAGCCUUUACUCAAAAAUUUGGAAGAAGCUCCGUUUAUGUCCCUCCGUUAUCUCUCUCUCUCUCUCUCUCUCUCUCUCUCUUCUUUUCCUUUUCCAUUUCUUUUCUUCUCCACAGAGUUCACCUCCCAUCCCACCUACCACCAGACCUUCCCUCCUCCACACCGCGCCCACCUCGCCCACUUGCUCGCCUGCAGGCUCGCUCGCCCGCUAGCUCGCUUGCCCGCUUGCUCUCUUACUCUUUCUCUUUCUUUUUUUCUUUUUUCCUUUUCCUUUCUUCUCCACCUCACACCCCGCCUAGCACAGCCAACUUUGCCACCCAUUUUAUAGCCCUUGGAUCGCAUCGAGAUCCGUGCAGCCUUUUACUCAAAAAUUUGGAAGAAGCUCCGUUUGUGUCCCUCCGUUAUCCUCUCUCUCUCUCUCUCUCUUUCUUCUUUUCCUUUUCCAUUUCCUUUCUUCUCCCCAGAGCUCACCUCCUAUCCCACCUACCACCAGACCUUCCCUCCUCCACACCGCGCCCACCUCGCCCACUCGCUCGCCUGCUUGCUCGCUCGCUUGCUUGCCCGCUUGCUCUCUCACUCUCUCUCUUUCUUCUUUUCUUUUUUUCUUUUCCUUUCUNCUGUUCCAUCUGCAAUUAAACUUGAAGUAUAUUGUUCACACUGACUCUGUUUACUCGUUAAAGAAUCCAACUCUCUACUUUCAACAAACAUUGUAUCAACCAAUGGAGACAUUGGUUCUUUAUCAAUACUUUCAUUGUCCGAGCUUUUAAAAGUUGGUGAACCAUGAUAAUCCCCACUAUCCAUCUAUAUAAUUUAACAAAUUUUAAAUUAAUAAAAAAGCUAUUAAUCAUGCAAUUCACACAUUAGGGUUAAAAAAAGCAACAUUAAAUACUAGUACUAGUCAACAGAUCAAACAGAUCAAACCUACUAGUGCUAGUCAACAGAUCAAACAUAUCAAAUAGAUUAAACCUACUAGUGCUAGUCAACAGAUCAAACAGAUCAACAUUUGUCAUAUAGUUCCGUUUUUCAAAAAUAUUGUUCUGUUUUUCAAAAAUAUGAUUUUAUUCGAAAAUCUGAUUUUAUUAAAAAAAAAAUUGUUGAUUGGUUUAUUCAAAAAAAUGUUGUUCCAUAGCCCUAUAUGACAAAUGUUGAUCUGUUUGAUCUGUUGACUAGCACUAGUAGGUUUAAUCUAUUUGAUAUGUUUGAUCUGUUGACUAGCACUAGUAGGUUUGAUCUGUUUGAUCUGUUGACUAGUACUAGUAUUUAAUGUUGCUUUUUUUAACCCUAAUGUGUGAAUUGCAUGAUUAAUAGCUUUUUUAUUAAUUUAAAAUUUGUUAAAUUAUAUAGAUGGAUAGUGGGGAUUAUCAUGGUUCACCAACUUUUAAAAGCUCGGACAAUGAAAGUAUUGAUAAAGAACCAAUGUCUCCAUUGGUUGAUACAAUGUUUGUUGAAAGUAGAGAGUUGGAUUCUUUAACGAGUAAACAGAGUCAGUGUGAACAAUAUACUUCAAGUUUAAUUGCAGAUGGAACAGAAUCAUCAAUUGAUAAGCCGUUCAUAGGGAGAGAAUUUAAGAAUGAAGAAGUUUUGAAAUUUUAUAAUAUAUAUGCAUAUAAAGCCGGUUUUAGUAUAAGAAAAAAAACACACUACAAAGCUAGGAAGAAAGAUAACAUGAUUACGUCAUUGCACUAUGUUUGUUCAAAAGAAGGUCAUUUCUAACCUCGGGUCAAGGACAAGACAAUAAAGGCACACCUAAAAGACAGAUGCAGUAUAGUCGAACUGGUUGUAAGGCACACUUAAGAGUGAAAUUGAUAGAGGAUGGAAAAUGGAUCGUGGCUGCAUUUGUGAGAGGCCACAAUCAUGAUUUAGUUGUAAGUCCAUCAAAAGCUCGUUUCCUUCGAUCUCACCGUUCAAUCACAAAGGACCAAAAGGAUAUAAUUCAUAUGUUAAGUGAAUAUUUUGACUGCUCAAAUUAUGUCUUUUAUGGCGGCAAAAGAAGGAGGAUCACAUAAUAUUCACUUCACAAGAAAAGAUCUAAAUAAUAAAGUUCUGAGAGGAAUAGACGGCUCAAAGGAGUGGACAUAUCAACUACUAUUAAUUACUUUCGCGAGCGUCAAGUCAAAGAUCCAUCUUUUUUUUUAUGCAAUAUUAGUUCAAUAGAGUCCUGUACAUCAUCUAGUGGAGUUAAAUCCUACACAAUUCGUGUGGAUAGACUUAAAGAGAAUGUGAGUCGUAGUUGCAAGUUCUUUGAAUUCAGUGGCUUGUUAUGUUCUCAUGUAUUAAAAGUCAUGUUUCACAUUCAAAUGUAUCAUAUUCCAGACCAGUAUAUUAUGAAAAGGUGGACUAAAAAUGCGAAAAGAGGAUUCUCGAGCACAAAUUUAGGAUGUAGGGUAGUUGGUGAACUUUCACAUUCGAAAGAUGCAAGAUUUAAUGCACUACUUUUGAAAAUGCAAAAAAUUCCAUAAAUAGCCUCGCAAAAUUUUGAGGCAUUUGAAAUGGCUUGUGAAGACAUAGAUAAGCUUGUUGACAAGAUUAUUACACACAAUGAAGCUUUAAAAGAGAAAGAAGGAGAUAAAAUUUUAUUCCUAAGAACUUCAUAUACCCUAAAUCAUAUUUAACGGUGUGGAUCGUUAAUUUGAACACCCUAAGAUUGAAAAUAAGACUAUAGUACCGGAGCUCCGGUACUAUAGAUAGUAUAGUAGCCUAAUUCUAUAUAUAUAUAUAUAUAUAUAUAUAAUACAAAGAGAGGGAGAGAGAGAGAGGGGGAGAGAGAGAGAGAGAGAGAGAGAGCAGGGCUGCUGUGCUAUCAGGAGCACGGAGGCCUCUGUGCUCCUGAGCCAUUUUCAAUGAUAGAAUUUUCGAAUCGACUAUCGGCUCCGUCAGACUUGAUUUAACGUAUUUGAAGUUUCUAGAAAAUAAUUUUUGCGAUUUUUUGAUAUCAUUACCUAGUGAUCGGAAGGAUUCAAAAUCUAUUAUUUUUAAUGGUUGAUAUCUACUGUUUUCAAGUUUAACAGUGUAGAAGUAUUCAAAUCAAAUGAAAUUUUGAUAUAAAAUUCUUUAUACUAUCUACAACAAGAUUAAUAUUUCUGAUUGAAAAUUUUAGUGCUAUAUCACCACUUUUUAUAGAAUUUUUAUUUUCAGCCGUUAAAAAUUAUUGAUUUUGAAUCUUUUCGAUUGCUAGGUAAAUGAUAUCGAAAAAUUGCAAAAAUUAUUUUCUAGAAACUUCAAAUACGCUAGAUCAAGUCUAGCAGAGCCAAUCGUCAAUUCGGAAAUUCCAUCAUCGAAAACGGCUCAGGAGCACGGAGGCCUCCGUGCUCCUGAGAGCACAACAGUUCUGCUCUAUACACACACACACACACACACACACACACACACACACACACACAAAACUAUUAAUUUCCGUGGCUUUUAUCCGAUGUGGUAAAGUUUUGUUAAAUUUGAGCCCACCUAGCUACCAGUGUUAUUAUCACCUCCUCCAUCCUUUUUAUUGAAUAUUAGGCCCACCUCCACCAUAUACUUUCUCUCCUGUAUCCGAUUUAUCUCCCAUUGUCGUCUCUUCACCUUCCCAUUUACCUUCUUAUUUAUUAGACUAAACUUUCAUCUUCCAUUUAUCUUUCAAUUUAAUUAAAUAAUCUCCUCACCUUCCCAUGUAAUAGAAUAAUAGCAUUUAUCUUUCCAUUUAAUAGAGUAAUCUCCUCACUUUUUCAUUUAAUAGAGUAAUAGUGGAGAAAACGAGAAUGCAUGCCAUGCCUUUCAUUAGGCAUCUUUCUAAUUUACCUUCUUCUUUCUCAAAGUCUAAAAUGUGUACCAUUUGCUCUCCUAAUGCCGUGGGCAUAAUUGAUGGAGCCCUUCGACCCCCCUACAUUACAUUAUACAUGUCGUCGAUAAGGCCGGUGAUGGCAUCAAUGUUGUUGACUUUCACCCCUCUCCAAAUCUCUCUCUCUCUCUCUCUCUCUCUCUCUCUCUCUCUCUCUCUCUCUCUCUCUCUAUAUAUAUAUAUAUAUAUAUAAAAUUGAGCUAGAAUACUUUUAGAAUUAUCACCCCUUUGGUGCUAUUAGGUUUUUAGCCCUUGGAUCUACUCCUUGAUUACUAAUAGCCCUUGGAUCAAACAUUAUUCCACCUACCACCACCUACCACCAUCAUCUCAACCUUACAUUCAUCCAUCCAAUGGCUAAAAACUCAAAAGCACCACCUUCAUGGUGCUUUUGAGAGUAUUCUAGCUCAACUAUAUAUAUAUAUAUAUAUGUAUAUAUAUAUAUAUAUAGAGAGAGAGAGAGAGAGAGAGAGAGAGAGAGAGAGAGAGAGAGUUGAGCUGGAAUACUAUCGGUAGCAAAUGUGCUCCGUUGCCAUCCAUUUGUUUUCGAUGAUGGAGCCUCCAAAUCGACGAUCGGCAGCAUUGAAUAUGAUCUAUACCACUAGAAGUAUCUAGAAAUCAAAUUUUAUGAUUUUUCGAUAUUGUUCUCUUGUCCAUCAAGUGGACGUAAAAAUGAAUGGCUGAAAAUGAGUAUCCUCUAAAAAGUGAUGAUAGAAAUUUUAUAAUCAAGAUCGAGAGUAUAGAUCUUGUUCUAAAUAGUUUAGAGAAUUUUCUAACCAAAAUUCAAUUGAUUUAGAUAGCUUUACACCGUUAAACGAGAAAAUACCUCAUAUCUACCAUUAAAAUUACAAAUUUUGAAAUCCUUUGAUCAUUAGGUCAAUGAUGUCGAAAAAAUUUAAAAUUUGGUUUCUAGAUAGUUCAAAUGGUAUAGAUCAUAUUCAACGGUGCCGAUCGUCGAUUUACAGGCUCCAUCAUCGAAAACAAAUGGGUGGCAAUGGAGUCCGUUUGCUACUGAUAGCAUUCCAGCUCAACUCUUUCUCUCUCUCUCUCUCUCUAUAUAUAUAUAUAUAUAUAUAGAGUAGGGCUGCUAUACUAUUAUGAGUAUUGGGCCCUUCGUACUCAUAAGUUGUUUUCGAUGAUGGAGCUUCUGAAUCGACGAUCCACUUCGUUAAAUAUGAUUUAGAGUAUUUGAAACUUCAGAAAAUAAAUUUCGUAAUUUUUCAAAAUCAUAAUAAAGUCCAUCAAGUGGGUAUAAAAUGAACGGUCAAAAUCGAACGAUGUCUUAAAAAUGGAUGAUCGGAUCCUUCAAUUUAAGAUCGGAGUUAUUGAUCUUUAUCUAGGUAGUGAAUAGAGUUUUCUAUCAAAAAUUCAACCUAUUCGGAUUCUUUUGCACCGUUAAACUAGCAAGUAUUCCAUACCGGCCGUUAAAAAUUGUCAAUUUUGUGACCUUUUGAUCGUAAGGUAAAUGAUGUCGAAAAAUUAUGAAAUUUGAUUUCUAGAUGUUUCAAAUGCUCUAGAUAAUGUUUAAAAGUGUGAAUCGUCGAUUUGGAAGCUCUAUCAUCGAAAACAACUUAUGCGUACAAAGGUAAUCGUACUCAUAAUAGUAUAGUAGCCGGACUAUAUAUAUAUAUAGAGCUAGGCUCCUAUGCUUUUGAAAGUACGGAAGCCUCCGUACUUGUGAGUUGUUUUCAAUAGUGGGACAUCCGAUUCGGCGAUCGGUUCCAUUAGACAUGAUCUACGCUAUUGGAGCUACCUAGAAACCAAAUUUCAUAAUUUUUUGACUUCUUUUGUAUAGUAAACGAGUAGCCUCAAAAUGAACGGCUGAAAAUGAAAAUCUCAUAAAAAAUAAUGAUAAAGGACUCACAUUUCAUAUUGGAAGUAUUGGUAUUGCUAUUGAUGUUAAGUAGAAUUUUCUAUUAAAUUUUCAUUUAAUUUGGAUACUUCUACACUGUUGAACUUAAAAACGUGCCACAUCGGCCGUUAAAAUAGUCAUUUUUGAGACCUUUUGAUCGCCUGGUAAAUGAUGUCAAAAAAAUAUAAAAUUUGGUUUCUAAAUAGUUCCAAUAGAGUAGAUUCGAAAGUAUAGGAGACUUACUCUAUAGAUAUAUAUAUAUAUAUAUAUAGAAUUAGACUACUAUACUAUCUAUAGUACCGGAGCUCCGGUACUAUAAUCUUGUUUUCGAUCUUAGGAUGUUCAAAUUAACGAUCCACAACAUUAAAAAUGAUCUAGGGUAUAUAAAGUUCGUAGGAAUAAAAUUUUACUUUUUUUCGACAUCGUUUACUUAGUAAAUGAAUUAUGUCAAAAUGGGCGGGGGAAAUUGAAUAAUUUUUAAAAUUUGAGCAUAGAACUUUUAAAUUUAAGAUAAAAAAUGUUAAUCUUAAUCUAGAUAGUUUAAAGUAUUUUCUUUCAAAAUUUGAAGAAAUUUAGAUUCUUCUACACCGUUAAACUCCAAAUUCGCCAUAGUAGCAAUUGAAAAUUGACAAUUUUGAAAUGGUUUGAUCAUAAAGUAAACUAUGUCGAAAAAAUAUAAAUUUUUUUUUUCUAAAAACUUUAAAUACCCUAGAUCAGUUUUAACGGUGUGGAUCAUUGAUUUGAAUACCCUAAAAUCGAAAACAGGACUAUAGUACCGGAGCCCCGGUACUAUAGAUAGUAUAGGGAGGACUAGGCUCAUAAUAUAUAAUAUAUAUAUAUAUAUAUAUAUAUAUAUAUAUAUAUAUAUAUAUAUAUAUAUAUAUAUAGUAUAUAUUAUUAUAUAGAGAGGAGAGAUGAGGAGACGGAGAGACGAGAGAGGAGAGAGGAGAGAGAGAGAGAGAGGAGAGAGAGAGAGGAGAGGAGAGAGGAGACUGUGUGCGUGAGGCUGGUAUGCUGGAAGCACGGAGCCUUCUGUACUUUCAAGUCGUUUUUCAUGUUGGGACUUUCGAAUCGACAAUCGACUCCGUUAAACUUAUCUAGAAUAUUGAAGUACUUAGAAAAUAAUUUUGUGAUUUUUCGAUAUCAUUUGCCUAGUGAUCGAAGGGGCUCAAAAUCAAUAAUUUUUAAUAACCGUGGUGAGCCGUUUGCAAGUUUAACGGUGUAGAAAUAUCCAAAUCACGUGAAAUUUUGGUAGAAAAUUCUUUAUACUAUAUAAAACAAGAUCAAUAAUUUGAUCUAAAUUUUAGUGUCAUAUCAUCAUAUUUUGUAAGAUUUUUUAUUUUCAGCCGUUGACUUUGAGCCACUCAAUCACUAGGCAAAUGAUAUAAAAAUCGCAAAAAGAAAAAAUUUAUUUUCUGGAUACUUAAAAUACUCUAGAUCAAGUCCAACGGAGCUGAUCAUCGAUUCGAAAGUCCCAACAUCGAAAUGACUUGGAAGCACGGAGUGCUCCGUGCUUCCAGAAGCAUACCAGACGCACCUAAGAUAUAUAUAUAUAUAUAUAGAGUGAGGCUACUAUGCUGCAGAAGCACGGAGCCUUCCGUGCUUCCAGCUCAUUUUCGAUGUUGCGACUUUCGAAUCGUCGAUCGGCUCCGCUAAACUUGAUAUAGAAUAUUUGGAGUACCUAGAAAAUAAAUUUUAUUUAUUUUUCGAUAUCAUUUGCCUAGUGAUCGAAUGGGCUCAAAAUCAACAAAUUUCAAUGGCCGUUAGUGAGCCGUUUGCAGGUUUUAAUGGUGUAGAAAUAUCAAAUUACGUUGAAAUUUUGAUAAAAUUUUUUUUAUACUAUAUUAAAACAGAUCAAUAUUUUUGGAUUUAAAAUUUUAAUGUCAUAUUAUUACAUUUUGUAAGAUUUUUAUUUUCAGCGUUGAUUUUGGAGCCCCUUUGUUCACUAGGCAAAUGAUAUCGUAAAAUUAUAAAAUUUAUUUUCUAGGUACUUCAAAUACUCUAGAUCAAGUUUAACGGAGCCGAUCGACGAUUCGAAAGUCACAACAUCGAAAACGAGCUGUGAAGCACGGAAGGCUCCGUGCUUCCGAUAGCAUAGUAGCCUCACUAUAUAUAUAUAUAUAUAUAUAUAUAUAUAUAUAUAUAUAUAUAUAUAUAGAGUGUGGGCUGGUUAUGCUUAUAGAAGCACGGAGCCCUCAGUGCUUCCAAGUUGUUUUCGAUGUUCAGACUUUCGAAUUGACGAUCGGCUCUGUUAGAGUUGAUCUAGAGUAUUUGAAGUACCUAGAAAAUAAAUUUUGUGAUUUUUGUUGAUAUCAUUUGCCUAGUGAUCGAAGGGGCUCAAAAUCAAUAAUUUUAAUGGCGUGGUGAGCCGGUUGCAAGUUUAACGGUAUAGAAAUAUCCAAAUCACAUGAAAUUUUGAAUAGAAAAUUCUUUAUACCAUAUAAAACAAGAUCAAUAACUUUGAUCUAAAAUUUUAAUGUCAUAUCAUCAUAUUUUGUAAGUUUUUUAUUUUCAGCCGUUGAUUUUGAGCCACUUCGAUCACUAGGCAAAUGAUAUCGAAAAAUUGCAAAAUUUAUUUUCUAGAUACUUCAAAUACUCUAGAUCAAGUCUAACGGAGCCGAUCGUCGAUUCGAAAGUCCGAACAUCAAAAACAAUAGUGGAAGCACGGAACCCUCCCUCCGUGCUUCCAUUAAGCAUUCCUAGCAACACUAUAUAUUAUAUAUAUAUAUAUAUAUAUAUCAUUAGUAGUACCUAUAUAUAUAUAUAUAUAUAUGAAUGGAGCUAGAAUACUUUUAGAAGCACCAAUCCCUUGGUGCUUCUAAAUUUCUAGCCAUUGGAUCUACUUCUUAAUUACUAAUAUCCUUUGGAUCAAACAUUAUUCCACCUACCAUCACCUACUAUCACCUACCAUCAUCAUCUCAACCCUACAUCUCUCCAUCCAAUGGUUAAAAACUCAAAAGCACUACCCUCUUGGUACUUUUGAGAGUAUUCUAGCUCAACUCUCUCUCUCUCUCUCUCUCUCUCUCUCCCUCUCCCUCUCCCUCUAUAUAUAUAUAUAUAUAUAUAGUACAAUAAAAGUUGUUGUUUAUAUAUUAUAUUCUUUAUGUGCGAAUCUUUUUAGUAAGGUAAUUAUAAAAGGCUAAAUUACAGAAAACCAUCCUGUCAAAACCUGAUUUUUUACUUUCCCCCCUGUCAUUUAAAAAUCUACACUUUGCCCCCUUAUAAAAUGAAAAAUAUUCAUUUCAUCCCCUACCGUUAGUGAUCCGUUAGAGUUCCGUUUAUAAAAUAUUAUUAUAUAUUUUUUUAUGCCAAAAAUGCCCUCAGUCUUCUCUCCUGUUAUCAAAAAUGGUGAGGGCAAAAUCGUCAUUUUGUCAUCAUAGUUUACACCGUACCCCUUGUGAAUAUUUUUCAUUUUACAUGGAGGCAAAGUGUAGAUUUUGAAAUGACAUGAGGGGGAAAGUGAAAAAUCAGGUUUUGACAAGAAGGUUUUAUGUAAUUUAGCCUUAUAAAACUUCUUUAAAUAAUUGUGGCUACGAUGUUUACUCUAUAUAUUGCAUCUUCCUCUUUUACUUUCUUGGCAUUCGUUGUUUUUUUCUAUUCAUAUUAUUUGUCAAUUUAAAUCAUGUAUAUUAAAAUUAUUUUUAUGUAUAAUUUUCUAUAUUAAUUAUUAUAGUCAAUAUUGAUUUGCUGAUAUUUUAUUCUUUAUUAAUAUUUUAUUAUUUAUUAAUUUUAAUUUUAAUAGUAUUUAUCGGCCGCAAAGCGCUGAUUAGUUCACUAAUAUAUAUAAUUCAGUGAUAAAAAUAAUGUUCGUUAACACCAAUGAUGUAUUUGCGCUCCCAUUUUAUUGUGCUAUGCAUUGCAAGCACCAUUACGCCUUCUCGUCAUUGGUCCACGUCACUCUUGCACGGAUCGCAAAUAAACCCCAAUCCUAUCCGUCCAUCUACCGAACCCAUCCAACGGCUGAUAUCCAUCGAUCCACAUAUCGGAACGAUCGGAUCCAUCCCCUCCACUCGUCUCCGUAUAAAACCCCCCCAAUUUCCCGCUCACAUCUCCUUUCGAAUCGCACGUUCCCACCGCGCGCCCUCUCACUUCCUCCCCUUCCCUCUCCCCAUUAAACCCCCCCUCCCCCCUCUUCGAUCACCUCCUAUCCCCCUUCGUUCCGAUCCGAGCGAGGGAGAUCGCAACGAUCGCCAUGGCUGACGACGAUGAUGACGUCGCCGCCAAGGGAAAGAAGCGCUCGGGCGGCGGAAAGGCGAAGAAGCGCUCCGGCGGCGGAAAGGCGAAGAAGGGCUCCGCCGGCGCCGGCGGCGAUGGAGGCGGCGGGGGGGCCAGGAAGAAGUCGGUGUCGCGCUCCGUCAAGGCCGGGCUCCAGUUCCCCGUCGGCCGCAUCGGCCGCUACCUCAAGAACGGCCGCUACGCCCAGCGCGUCGGCUCCGGCGCCCCCGUCUACCUCGCUGCCGUCCUCGAAUACCUCGCUGCCGAGGUAAACCCUAACCCUAACCCUAAUCCCGCUAAUCCGAUCUACGAUCUAGGGUUUCCCUACGAUUUUUUUUUUUCUGAGAUUUUUGGGGAUUUAGUUGCUGGAAUUGGCGGGGAAUGCGGCGAAGGACAACAAGAGGAACCGGAUCACACCUCGCCACGUGCUCCUCGCCAUUCGGAACGACGAGGAGUUCGCGAAGCUCCUCUCCGGCGUCACGAUCGCACACGGAGGCGUUCUCCCGAACCUCAACCCCGCUCUCCUCCCGAAGAAGAAGAAUGCUGCUGCCAAGGAAUCGAAUGCGCCGUCGGAGGUCCCAGUCGAGAAGUCGCCCAGCAAGGUGUAGAGGUGAGGGUUUCUCCUCCUCCUUCUUCUUCAAGUGUUUUGAUGUUGUUGUUUUGAGAUUGGGGAUGAUCCGUUUCUCGUACGUAGUGGAAGAGGGGAUGGGACGCGAUCUAAUAGGAACCUUUUCUCAUUCUUUUGCAUGAUAUAUUCUAUAUAGAUGAAGAAUUGUAUAGUUGUUAUAUACACUACCGUGACAACACAGUCCAUAGGUGACCUUGGGUGUUUGGGAAAAGGAAAAAAGAAAUUGAUGGGGAUGGUUGUUAAAAUGAGUCUGCUCUAUUCAUUUUUGGUAGAUGAAAUAUUUGUGUGUUACAAACUGUUCCCACUUCCGUGCUUCCAUUCGUUGCAUUGUCGGGUAGUUCGCGUGAAAAGUAAACAUUAUGUGGGGAUAUUUUUCCGGGUGACGUUAUACAGGGACAAUGGGUGACUAUGGCCCUUGUUGAGUUUCGAAAAUAAUACAUUAGUCAUUAGUUGCUAUAUGUAUAUGUUGGCUCAAAUUGUCUGGCAUCCCUUUGGAUUGAGUCACGUUCGAAACGGCGGAAAGUCUGAUUGGGUCGAGUCAUAUUCGAAGUGGCGUGAGGUUGGUUAGGCUCAAUCAUAAUCGAGAACUAUAGAACCGCCAGUUGCGUAUUUCUAACCGUCAGAGUAUUUCAAAUUAAUAGUUAGCGCCGACGGUCCGACAAUAUAUUAUAAAAUAAAAUAUAUUAUAAAUAAAAUUUUUUAUAGUUCAGUGUGGUUGUUAGUAUUUUUAGUUUACAGCAGGUAAGGUGAGUUCAACUUUUACCUCUAUAGUAGAUUUUUUUUCUUUUUUCUUGCUUCUGGCCUUCUGUGUUUUUUUUUUUUUUUUUCCUAUUUUUAAUAAGUUAAUUGAUAUAAAAGUGUUUUUCCAACAGAAAAAUAAUACAAAAAGUCAUUUAGAAGAUACUCAGAAACAAAGUGUUGCGAUAAAUUUUUAUUACGGUGGAAAGCUCACAUCAAGGUUUAAGCUUAUGAAAGCAAAAUCUCAAUUUUGAACUUUUUAACUUCUCGUUCCGUAGGAAGCCUUUAGACUCUUGUUUGUUUGUUUGUUUGUUGUUGCAGGCUAUAUAGGGCGCCGUGCAUUUUCAGCGCAUUUGAAAGGAAGCACAACAUUAAAAUUCUCCUUAAAAGUUUUAUUUCGCAGGAGAAACUUUAAACUGAAGCAUCUACUUUGUGGGGCUAAGUAAUCUCACAUUAUCUAAUAGAGGUGGCUGCACAAAAGAGAAAGUGGAAGGCCAAACAAAUAAGUAAAGACCAAAAAAGACUUGAAGUGUUUCUUCAAAUAUUCACCAACCAAAGAGCCAUAAGAAAACUAACAUAAGAGGAUACGUACGUACCAAUGGACAGAAGCUUGGAUAAUCAGCAUAGAACAAACACCAGAUUAUAAUGAUAGCUAGUAUUUAGUCGUCACCAAACAUAAGAACCAUAUUAUAUAGCGGGUAAUUUACUGUAGUUGUACUGGAGAACUACUUUAGCCUUUAGCCUUAUUUAAAAUUUCAAACUUUACUUUGCUGAUUUCACCAGAUUCUCACUGAAGUCCCAGAGUUUCUUUGCCAAGGUUUCUUCUCUGGCCAGCGCACUCGGCUUCUCCUCAUUGCAGUCUAAAAAGUAUUUUCCUGUGACCCCCUUGAGAGUAGGAUGAAGGGCUACAUAGCAUGUAGUAGCUGCUCCCUGUGAAAGAGUAAAAGCUUCGACUUGUUAGGAAACAACAGUUUGCAAAACCUACCUCAAAACAUGAUAGCAAAACUAAAUACUAUUAAAAGUUCAUCAGUUGUUUCUACAUGUAUUAAGAAGAUAGCAUUCCUCUGAAGGCAUUUAUUUCGCAUACAAUGCCAAUUCCUAAACAAGAAGAAGAUCCCUAAUCCUUUCUAUAUGUAUUAAAAAGUGAUGAAGCUACAUUAUCUUACUUAACUAAUGGGCCAAUAAUGUCAAAUUUAGCAUAAUUCAAUUUCGAACUAUCAAUAGAGAACCAGGCAAUGACCAUAAGCUUGUUGUGAGGUUAUUCGAAUACCGAGUCCUAUGUUUUCAAGAGGUAAUUCAAGCAAAGAUCCAAUGGAAGAAAUAACUGGUAAUAACUUCGUGUAUUUGAGAAUGUGCAGCAGACCUGCGGAACAUUCUUCCAAAAGAUGCAAGUGAAUACUUUGAGUAUCCCUGCAAAAUAGAACAUCUGAUUUUUUCGUACGAAUGAAACUUUUCAAUAGUUACAAACAAAGUUUACUGUAAAUGAAAUUUAAGAACAUACUCAUAAGAAGGAAAGAGUGCCGCAUCAGAUUUGUCAUGAUUAACCCUGGGUGAACAGAAUUUGCAGUAAUAUUUGCUCCUUCCUCCUGUUAGAGAAAUAUAAUAUUUUCUUACAAAGAAUUAAGAAAUAUGAUCAACCAACUAACGUAUUGAAUCACGAGAGUCAAUCCAACCAUUGCCUAUUUAAAAGAAAAAAAAACGAAACAAAAAGGAAAAAAAAAGUUAAUAAUUAAAAUAAGAGUAGCAGAAAAAAAAAAAUCAAUACCAAAUGAGAGUUAUUUAUCUUAAUCUAAUGUCAAAAGGUGUUUGAAGUGAUUACAAGCAUUGGAUUCUUACAAUGAGUGGAUCUAGAUUAUAGAUAAAAAGAAAAAAAAUUGUUUUGUAAAAAAAAAGAGAGAAAAAAUUCAUCGGAAAGUACAAGAGUGGUUCCUCUAACACAACUGCAAAAUUUCUAGAAAUUUGAUACGCAUAUUAUUGUUAAAACACCACGACUAAUUACAGUGAAUGUUUUGGACAACAUAUAAAUUCUUAGGGACGAGAAAAGCUGCACCUUCAAUCGUCUGGAGAGUUCAUUCGCAUGGAGUAUGUUUGCCAAUUUAGAUUGUCCAUAAGCCUUUUUGUCGGAGUAUCUAACAAAGAAACGAAAAGAAAAAAAUGUUAUCCUACAAUUCAUGAAUUUUGCUGAAACAAACAGCUAGCGGACAUUGUUAUAGGAAAUAAAACAUAACAUAAUACCCUCUCCUGUCGUUGAGCUUAUCGAACAGUAUUCCCUCUUCAUAUGUAUGAAGGUGAGCAAUAGACGAUAAAUUUACGAUUCGGCCCUCAAUACCAGUACUCCUCGAUGUUUCUUUCAUUUUCUCAAGGAGGAGGUUGGUCAAUGAAAAGUGACCUGAAUGCAUGUCAUUAGAAAAGCCACGCAAAUUUUAAGGAUCAAUAAGAGUUUACUUUGAUACAGAUACUGUGAUUAAAAAAAAAGAAUUAAAAAAUUGUAUUCAACCAAGAUGAUUGGUGGCAAAUUGCAUCUCUAUGCCAUCUUCAGAAAGCUGAUAAGGACAGAACAUGACUCCUGCAUUGUUUCUGAAGAAGACCCCCCCAAAAAAAAAAAAAAGAGAGGAAAAGAGAAACAAUCUUGUCAAACAAACAAUUAAUGUAACCUAAUGUUAACUUACAACAAUCAAAAUCGGAGAUUCUUUCAUAUAUAUAUAUAUCCCUGUGGAUUCAUCUGUUUUCAUCUGUAACCCUGAAAAAUCUGAAUUUUCUCCUGGAAAGCGUAGACAUCCAAUUCAGGGUGGUUGAUUUUUUAUAAAAGACUCUUUUUGUCUUCCACAGAGGGACAUUUUUUGUAAGUAUAUUUGUGACAGAUUUAGUACUUGAAUAGCAUAUGCGAAAGUUCAUUCUGAAGGGACUACAGACGUAAAUGGAUGCAUGGUUUCAGAUUCCAGAGGGACAGAUGUGAAAUAUCCAUCCAUUAAAAGUUAUGAUAAGGUAUAGAUGGAUUACAUUAGAAUAUUAAGAGGAAGAUUCAUUGAAAUAAAUUUAUCUGCAAAUGCUCGAACCGACUUCAAUGAGCUAAGAUCAAGUUGCAGAACAUCCACAUGAGCUUUUGGAUUGCUUUUAACUAAGAGCUCCUUCACAUUAUUUGCGGCCUCCAUAUUUCUCGCAGCAAUUAUGACAUGUGCUCCUCUAAGAGCAAAUACUCUCGCAGUCUCGGCACCAAUUCCACUUGCUCCUCCUAGUCCACAUUAAAACAACAAUUCAUUAACUAAAAAGAGAAAAUACAAUGUUCGAUACAAUUUUGCAUUACCUGAAUUGGUACACAAUGGAAAUAGGAUAUUAAUGAAGAUAACAGCAUAUGCAGGUUAUGUUACUAAAGUCAAUAAUAUAUGUGAGAUCCGCUUAGCGUAUGACUUAAAUUAAGAUAAUAGUUUAUAUAAGAGUUUUAUGCUUAUUCAAUAAUCAGAGCGAUGUAUCUACUGAGGCGAGUUAAUGAUCACAAAAUAUAAUCCACAAGCUAACAUAUGAGCAAACUCAGCAAGUGCUAUAAAUUGCUAAACAAGUAAAAGAAUGCACGGACUAGAAGUAUAUAUAGCGUGUCGUAAAUUUAAGUAAACCAGCAUUAAAUAUACAACAACCUGAUCGCGUAUUGCCUAUUCCCAUUAAUCAGCUGCAUAAAACAAGUUGGUAACCAGGGAACUCAUUUACGGCCUGUUUAGAUGUCGGAACAAGUUAUCCGGUAUAAGUUGUGCUGUUCAAGGAUUUUCUUUUGUAAUUGCAAAUAUAGGAGUCUUAUGGAAUCUUAAGGAUUCCGACCAUUCGGGAUAGCAAGGAGCAUAUUUCCGAGAGAGAAAUGAGAGGGAGGAUGAGGAUGUACUAUACGAUUGAAGAUAUAUUCUCGUACUCCCCAUCAACCAAUAUCCACACGUACGGUCUAUAAGUAAACUAAAAAAGAUAUUCUGAGCAAGAUAUUCACGCAUCCAGGUAGGCACCUAAGAUAUGACUAGCUUUUGCAGCCGGCAUUCAUGCCAAACAAUGAGUCAAACAAACAACUACUUGCCUAAAACACAUACAAGACAAGAUCAUAAGGUCAAGUAGGGAGUUGGAGAAAUUAAAGCUCACCAACUGAGAAGCAUUUAUUUUGAUGGCCAUUUUGCGCUAAUAAUUAAAGUACCGCCGACUCAAACAUUUUAUCCAAGUACUUCUAACAAAGAGGAUAGCAUGUAUAAAUUGUCCCCGAGACUGUCCCGAUGUUGAGACUACAGUCGCUGAACUUUUUGCUUAGAUACUUCAUUCCCUAACUAUCUCAUACAUUACGAUUGCCCGCGAAUCACGAACAAAACAUCUUAACUUCUUCCGCAAAAAUGACCAUCUUAGACGGUGUUAGAAGAAAGUAAUUUCAUAGGGAAUAGUUUAUACCUAUAACAUUCUUUUAUUCGCCGGAGAUGCAACUGGUUUAUACGAAAAAGUUCAGAUACAAAAUGUUUCUUUUGUAUCGUAACCUAUUCAAGUUCCUUCAAAUUUUUUUUUUUUUUUUUUCACGAUUAAUCCUAAUCUAUCACUAUUCAGGCUAUUCAAAACAGGAAAGAAAAAAAAAAAAAAGUUCUUCAGGUGCGGAACAAAGUCACAUUAUGGAAUAGUAUACGAACUAUCCAUACAUUUACCUCAAAAGAAAACCAGGUUACAGGUUGUUGGAAAGGUUUGAGCACAAGCAUGUGCAAGAGAGAAAAAGCCCCUGGUGGAUAGAUAUAACUUUACUCUGCACAGCAAGGAGGGAAAGCUUUUAUUGCGUGAAUAGGAUAGUGGUGGGUUCAUGAAACAACUAAGACUCUGGAACCACCACCCAUCAUGGAAACAUUAACUUUAGGAAGGGUGAGUACAACAUGUGACUUAAGAGAUGGGAAAUGGUGGGCCCAUCUCAAUUUAAAAUCUUGUAGUAGGUGUUAAUUACCACCCAGAAAGUGAAUAGUACCCAGGGAGAGGGAUAAAAAGCAAACAAAAUUUAACUAAAGUUUGAACAACCACAUGGGUGAAACUAAUGUCCAAAUUACUUGAGAUAUGUAAUUUGUACCAUCUAGUUAUCAAUGUCUCUCCUACCAAACACAGCAAUGAAUUGGGUUAUAAAACCGGCCCCGUCCUAGUGCAGAUGGUAAAGAACUUGGUGAUUGAUAUCUGAGGUCUUAAAUUUGAAGUUUAGUUACUUUACAUUUUUAGCUAAAUUUAUUUUAUAAUAAAAAAAAUAAACAAAAAAAAGUUAAUUAUAGAAAAAAAAAAAAUUAAAAUUCAAAAGCCAAAGAAAUAUAUAUAGAACAGUUAACUGCAACACAUGUUGCCCAGUAGCCAUCAAGAAUUCACAAAACACCCACAAAAUGUUCCUCUAAAAUAGAAGCAAAUUUAACAUGGAAUAAGAAGACCCCAAGUGGCAAAAACCCAAAAAAAAAAAGAAAGAAAGAAAGAAGGAAACUAUUAAACUAUGCAGAACAACAGAAAUGCAUGGAGGCCCCCUCAACUACAGGUCAUUUUGAAAGUGACCCCAAACUUUUUUUUCUCUUUAAAUUUCUCUCCACACUUCUUAUUAUAUAUCUGAAUUAUUUUACCAAACUGACUUGAAAGCUACUUAAACUCGACAGCUCUAUUAGCUGUGCAACAAAGUCAAUAGUGACCGACCGUCCCUAGCGCAAAUGGCAAAGGACUUGGUGAUUGAUAUUCGAGGUCCCAAGUUCGAAUUCUAGUUGAUUCACAUUUUCAGCUAAGUUUAUUUCUAAAUAAAAUAAACGAAACGGGUAGCAUGCUACCUAUCUCUCUCUAAAAAAAAAAAAAAAAAACAAAAUCAAUAGUGCCAUCAGCUGAAAAAACAGUUGAAUUUAAUUAUCAUAACAUUAACUUAAACAAAAUUUUGGUAAAAAUGUAUAGCGAAUUCCUUAACUAUAGACUAUUCUGAAAUGAAAUGAACCCUUUACUCGUGACUCUGUCACCUAUUCAUUUACUGGCUCUAAUAAAAUUUUCGAUAAAUGUGAUAAAAUUUUUAAUUUAUUAGACAAAUUAUUUAAGUAUGAAAAAGUGGAAGUUAAGGGUUGCCAAUAAAAAAGAGUAAAGUUGAGGGCAUCAAUUCACAAUAAGCAAUGCUACUAAUACAUCCUAUAAUGAGGUGUAUAUAUAUGUUGCACUCUUUUUAUCCAAAAAUAAUCACUUCUUUCCUUGUAACAUCAAUUUUUUUUUUUUUUUUUCUUUUCAUUUACUAUAACCGAUUUGGAUUCUUGUAAAUUACAGAACGAUGGGGGUAAGAUUUAUACCCUAUUUUGAGAUGUACGAGUGAAAAUUUUCUUUCAAAAUAGUUUAUAGCUGAGAGGCUCUCCAUAAAUUUUUACCUAAAAGUUUCGAAAAAUGCUACCUAUACGCCCCUAUAAAGAGUGUUACAUCCCCACACCCUUCAAAUAAGGGUUGAUACACUUCUCUGGGUUUUAGUUAAAAAAAGAAAAAAAGAAAAAAAGAAAAACAGAAAAGACAAGUUGAUUGAUACACACAAGAAGAAGUCAUUUAAGUUAACUUUGGAUGUAUAUCUUACCAUAUUAUCUAACUUUUUCGCACUAAUCUUAUCGUUUUUUUUUUUUUUUUUAAGAUAGUAAGACUACUUAUCAUCUAAAUGUACAAUAGUAGAUGUACAAUUUUUUUAUUGAUGAAAUAUAUUAUUCUACCAAAUUAUAAGUAGUAAAUUUUUUUUUUAAAAAAAAUAAAAAUUGAACUCCAUAUUUAUAAUUAAUCACAUUAGAAAAUUUUCAUGUAAAUAUUACGAUGUCCAAAUAGACUUCAAAAAAAAUUGAGAUUGAUGAGUUAAAAAAAAAAAAAAAAAAAUAGUUGAGGGGCCAAUUCCAAAAUAGUGCAUCCGCACAUUUUUAGGAGCAAUAUCAUCCGUACACCUCAUAUAAGGGUGUAAAACUUACACUCUGGCCUGUAGUACGCGGCCUAUAUCACACUAUUUGUCAUAUCAUUUUUUUUUUAAUGCUAAUAAUUAUUUGAAGUGUUAGAGAUCCUUGGAUUGCCAGAGUGUAAGAUGUCGACCUCCAGAUGGGAUGUAAGCAGCAUUUUUUUUUUAAUUUUUUUUUUUUUAAAGAUCAGUCGCAAGUUCCGAAACUUGUGCUGCAGUAGCAAACUUAACUAUAUAUAUAUAUAUAUUUAAGGGUAAAAAAAAAAAAGAAAAAAAGAAAAAGAAAAAAAACCAGGGGAGAAAAGAAACCUGUGAUAAUAGCCGUUAGAUGAGCGGCGUCAACACCGUCGGUGACCUGCUCCGCCGUAGAAGCAGAGCCAAAGCCACUCGGCCCCGGCCACCCGGUCACCAGAGAGAACAGACCCAUCUUACUUACUUACUUACUUACGAUCACUUUUCUAUUAUUUUUAUUGUUAUUAUUAUUAUUAUUAUUAUUAUGAAGUGGAAAAAAUGUAGUGGCACACCAGACGAGAGAUAAGUUGAGAUGAGAUGAGAUGAGAUGGAGGAGACGAGGAGACGAUGGUCUUAUUAAUUAUCAAGCACUACUUUACUACUACAAGAAUAUAUCCAGAGAGAGAGAGAGAGAGAGAGAGACAGAGAGAGUAAGGGGGGUGGGGAGUGUGGAAGUUAUUUUCUGGUUGUUGAGGAAUCGAUAGUGGUUUGGUCGAAGAGAGAAAGGGCGAGGAAAGAGAGAGAGAGAGAGAGAGAGAGAGAGGGAGGGGGAAGCAGAGGUUUAAUGCGCGCCGCAUCGGGAGUCGUGAAGCAUAUUCGUCGUGAAAAAUAAUUUAGAAUGUAUCAGUUAUAUUAUCAGAACAAUUAUAUAUAUAUAUAUAUAUAUAGAAUUAUGCUACUACACUAUCAAUAGUACCAAGUCCUUAGUACUAUUGAGUUUUCGACCGUUGAAUGAAAAGAUGUGCGGUUAGGAUGAUAGUGGUCCCUAGUAAAAUUGAUAAUGGUCCCCUAGGGUUGAGUGGGUGGUUGGUUUAAUAGUAUAAUCUAACGGGUGGAAAUGAUCAAAGGUAGAUCUAACAGUAGAAAACUCAAUAGUACCAAGGGCUUGGUACUAUCGAUAGUAUAGUAGCCGGACUCUAUAUAUAUAUAUAUAUAUAUAUAUAUAUAUAUAUAUAUAUUUUAAAAAAAAUCUCGAUUUCUUAGUUUAUUCUUUUUAGAAGGUUGAUAUUAAAAAUAUUUUUUAUAUUUCAAGUUAUUUCAAAUAUAUAUAUAUAUAUAUAUAUAUAUAUAAAAAUAUUAAUUUUAAAAAAAAUCUCGAUUUCUUAGUUUAUUCUUUUUAGAAGGUUGAUAUUAAAAAUAUUUUUUAUAUUUCAAGUUAUUUCAAAUAUAUUUAUAGAGUUAAAUUCUGUUAGUGAUCUGUUAGUAAUAAUCGUUAUUUCUGUAAAAUUAAUAUUUUAUCCUUUUUAAUAUACUUUUUUAUCAUCACAAAUUUUUCUUAUUUGUCCUUAAGUUAGGGACAAAAGGCGUAUUUUGAUUUUUAGUCCUUUCAAACAUACCUUUCUACCAUCAUCAACUUUUCUUAUUUGCCCUUAAGUUAAGGGCAAAAGAGGUAUUUUGAUUUUUUUUUUACUUCUAGUAAACAUUUAACUUGCGUUUAACCCGAGAUAACUUAACGGGUGGUAAUUGUAGGGGUAUUUUUGAAUAACAGAGAAAUAUAUGAGAUGUAUAUUGGAAACAAAAGAAAACUAGAAAUAAAUUAGAUAUUUUUGGAGUUUUGAGGGGUAUAUAGACAAUUAUCCCUAUAUUAUUAAUGCAAUAUAUUUCUAAACAAUUAGGUAGCAUUUGGUUCGGGAACAAGGAGGGGAAUAAGCCCUUGUUCCCCCCUUUAUUCCCAAACGUGAUGUUUGGUACCCAGGAACAAUAGUUCCAGAAUUUCAAGAACAAGCUGGUAUAAGGCUGUAACUGCUGUUCCACCUUUUUCUUGAAAUAAGCUUGUUCCUUGAUGAGAACAAGGUUAAUUAAAAUCUAAAUUUAAUUUUAAUGACAAUAAAUUAUUAAUUAAUCUAAUUAAUAUAUUUAAAUUAUUAUUUAUUACUUUAAUAAUUAAAUAAUUAAUUAAUUUAUUAUUUAUAAUUAAUUAAUAAUAAUUAGAUAAUCUAUAGUAUUAUUAAUUUAUUAUUUAUAGUUAAUUAUUAAUAAUUAUUAAUUAGACAAUCGUUAUUAUUAUUAAUAUAUUAUUUAUAAUUAAUUAUUAAUAAUUAGAUAAUUAUUAUUAUUAAUUUAUUACUAGUAAUUAAUUAUUAAUAAUUAUUAAUACUUAUUAUUAUUUAUAAUUAAUUAAUAAUAAUUAAUUAAUUAUUUUAUUUUUAAGUAAUAUUUUGAUGUUAAUUAAUUACAUAAUAUAAUUUAAAUUUCAAAUUAUAACUCUUAUUUCUCUUGUUCCAAUCGAACCAUCCAAAUACUAUUUACCUUAUUUCUAGAAACAACCCAAUUUUCAUCGAAACGCAAAAUUGGUCUAGUUCCUGCUUAUACCUGAAUUUGUACCUAUCCAUAGAACUAGUGGUUCUUAUUUAUACCCGAACCAAACGCAGCCUUAGAUUAUCCCUUUUAGGUUCACCCAUUCCAUCAUAAUUAUUAGAGAAAUAUUUUUAUUGUACUUUUUUUUUUCUCAAACAGAGAGAUGCGAUAGACUGAUUAUUGAUGAUAUAAUGCAAGUGUGAUAUAAUAGACUUCCGCCUGUUUUGGGGCGAACAAUAAAUUUUUAUCUUAAAAAUAAAAAAAUUUUGAGCUAAAUUAGGGCCCGUUUGGCCUAACUUUUGAAAAAGUGAUUUCUGAAAAAGUGAUUUUGGUUUAGAGAAUUGAUUUUGGUUAAAAGCUGCAGAGCGUUUGGCCGAGUUUAGAUAAAAGCGAUUUUUCAGAAGUGAUUUUCAAAAACUGUUUGGCAUAUAUUUUUUUUGAUGUUUAUAUAAAUUAAUAUUUUUAUUAAAUUUUAUUUUAAAAUAAUUUAAAAUCUAAAUUUAAAUUUGAAUUAAAAUUAAAAUUUUUAAAUUUCAAAAUUGUACAAAAUUAAAAAUGUCACGCCCCGGUUUACUCGUUUUUCCGGCUCGCUGACAGACCCGCCGUAUAUAUAGGUAUUUUUCCUGUAUACGAAGCGAAAAAGUAGAAGUGCCUGUAAUCAUACAAUACUACAAACAGUAGUAUAGAGCAGCUAGGAAAAUAAACCAGAAAUAAAAACUGCGGUUCCAAUACAUACAUGUCAUCCAGGUAUACAAACACUCGCUCAUGCGAGAAAACAACAACUGUAUGUAAAGACCCAAAAACUACAACUACUUGUAGCUGGUGCUCUCUAGCUCUGCGACUCGAUCGGAAGGGCUCUAACUCGCGACGCCCUUGCCACGAUCAAGAUCAGCAACAGCAUUAGCCGAAGGCGACGGCUCUGUAAAAACAGUGAUAACAACUGGACGUGAGAACUACUGUAAAACAAGUAGUCCUCAGUGACGGUCCCUGCUGACGGGAUCCCCUGGAAUGCUAACGCCCCGAUGACCCACGACCCUGAGAGCGAGAUCGUGGAGGUCUCGGUGGACGUCUGCUGCUCGUCUGACCGCCGUCAUCAGGAAAAGGGCACUUCUUGUCCUGGCACUACCCCGAUGCCAUAGUCCGCUCCUAGACUGAUAUACCUCCGUGCUCUACCCAGAGUGUCUACUGCACAAAUGCUCCUGGCUCACCGCCCUACCACUGGGUAACAGUCUCGCACAUCCUCUGCAAUAGUACACUCUGCUGCUUGAUCACCUCUGACAAAGCAGCCAACUGCUCUCUCAAAUCAGGGGGUGCACUCACCUCUGGUCGUGCACUCGGCUCUGCCUGCUCAGGCAUCUCAUGCGGUGCGGCACGAUCCCUGGUCGACGAUUGACCUCGGCGACGAUACAUAGCUGAAAGGAACAGAGUAGGGUCAGACAAAAUACAAACACUCUCGACCCAAUCAAACAAAAGUCUAGAAGGCGGCUCCUGUUUCUCUACAAAAUUAUGUCGUCUGCAGCCAACAUAAUUUUUCCAGAUUGAAACAGAAACUCCUUCAAUCACUCCCUCCGCUUCAGGAGGAGUUAGAACAAUCAAUCAGUGACUUUCGCGAUAAAUCACGCCUCUCGCGUCUUGCCUUCCUAAGGUUUGCCAAACUUAGGGUUUCUAGGUCCCAACGACCUAUAGCUAAGCUCUGAUACCAACUUAAUUCCUUUACGAGUCAGUCGAGUGAGUAGUGUGGAAAGCUUCGCAAAGCCUUCCACAAAUCGACAGUAAUAACCAGCAAGUCCAAGGAAACUCCUCACUUCUGUCACUGUCGUCGGUCUGGGCCAAUCUCGAAUAGCAUCAAUCUUUUUCGGGUCCACUGCCACUCCAACCGCAGAUAUCACGUGGCCCAAGAAAGCAACAUCCCGCAACCAGAACUCGUACUUCUUUAACUUGGCAUACAACUUCUUCUCUCGCAGAAGCUGUAGCAAAAAAUUUGAUAUUUUAAUUUGAAAAAUAAAUUUAAAAAUUAAAAAUUUAAUAAUUUAAAAAUUAAAAUUUAAUAUUUAAACAUUAAAACUUAAAAAUUAAAAAUUAAAAAUUAAAAAUUAAAAUAAUUAUGAAAUUUAAAAUAAAAAAAUAUAAAAAUUUAAAAUUUAAAUUAAAUUUAAAAAUAUAAACUGAUUUUGAAAUUUAAAAUAUAAAAUUUUAAUAUUUAAAAAUAUAAAUUUAAAUCUAAAUUUUAAAUUUCAAACUUUAAAUUUGAAAUUUAAAAUUUAAAAUUUAAAAUUUAAAAUUUAAAAUAUAAAUAAUUAUCAAAUUUUAAAUUUAAAAUAUAAAAUUUUCAUAUUUAAAAAUAUAAAUUUAGAUUUUAAAUUUUAAAUAUAUUUAAAUUUAAAAUUUAAAAUUUAAAAUAAUUAUGAAAUUUAAAAUAUACAAUAUAAAAUUUGAAUAUUUAAAUUUAAAAUUUGAAUAUUUAAAUAUAAAAUUUGAAUAUUUAAAAUUUAAAAUUUAAAUUAUAAUUUGUAAAUUAAAACUUGUAAUUUAAAAUUUGAAAUUUGAAAUUUUAGAUUUUAAAAUCUAAAAUUUGGGAUUUGAAAUUUAAAAUUAAAAUUUAAAAUUUAAAGUUUGAAAUCUAUUUUUUAAAUUUUAAAAUUGUAAAAUUAAAAUUUAAAAAUUAAAAAAUAAAACUAAAAAUUAAAAUUGAAAAUUAAAUUUAAAUUUAAAUAUUGAAUUUAAAAUUAAAACAAAAAUUUUAAGUUUGAGUCUAAAAUCAGAAUCAGAUUUUAAGAUGCAGUUUUUUUCUGCUUUUGAUUUUGAGGCCUUCAAAAUCAGUUUUCUGAUUCUAAGAAGUAGAAUCAGAUUUUAAAGAUGAAUUUGCCAAACACUCUAUUGAGUUGAAAAUUACUUUUUAACCCAAAAGCGCUUUUUAAAAGCUUGGCCAAACACCCCCUUAGAGUUCAAUUGAAAUUUGUUUCGCCGUUAUUUGUUUGAUAAAAAAUUAGUGGUCUUGAAAUUACAGUGAUCUUAUGUUGUUAUUUAUUAUCAUUAAAAAUAUGUACACUAACAUAUAAGAGGGUAAAAAAAAUUACUGUAAUUUUUUUUUUUAAAUUUUAUAUUUCUUUUCUCUCGUAAUUGACUUCGAUAUCACCAAGGCAUAGUUAAUUACGACAUUUUUUAAAAAAUAAAGUUACGGACGAAUUUAAUUUACACCAAAUCAAACAAUAACAACCAAAAAUAACAUUUUCACGAAAGUGAAAGAGCAUGAACUUGUUUUUAGAAGCAAAAACCUACUUCUAUUGUUUCGUGUGCUGUAACUUAAAAUUGCUUGUAACUUUAUUUUUUCUUUUCAAAACAACGUAAUUGACUUCGCAAAGAUGGAGGUGAAGUCAACUAUGAAAGAAAAAGAGAUAGAAAAAAAAAACUGCUAUACCUUUUUCUCCUUUCUAUGUGCUGCUGUAAAAAUUUUCACUAAAAGAAACAAAAAAGGAUAACUACAAAUCCAAAUUCAUUGACUUCCUAUCAAACAAACAAUGGUGGAAUUUAAAUUCUACCAAACCUCUUGUCUCAUUUAUAUCAUUCUUUUUAAUUCAAGUCUAUAUUCUGGACUAUAUAUAUAAUUGUGCUAAAAUACUAUUAAUAGUAUGAUACUAUCCACUUUAUGAACCAUUGGAUGGCUAAGAUUGAGUGAGUAAUUGAGCUACUAUGCUUUUAAAAAUAAUAAGUCAUUAGUGCUGGCAGGUUUUCAGCCUUUGGAUGAAGAUUUGUAGGGUUAGGAUAAUAGUGGUCUCGGGAGAGUUGAGUGGUGGUUAGUGGAAUAACAUAAUCUAUGUGUGGAAUUUGUCAGAGAUACCGAUAAAAAAAAAAAUACAAGCGCCAAGUGCUUGGUGCUUUUGAAAGCACCAUAGCCGGACUAUAUAUAUAUAUAUAUAGAAUUGACCUCCUAUGCUUUUAAAAGUACAAAAUUACUAAUGCUUAUAAUUUUUUGGCCGUUGGAUGAAGAUUUAGAUGGUUAGGAUGAUAAUAGUUUGUACCCUUAAUAGGGUUGAGUGGGUGGUUGGUGGAAUGGCAUGAUCUAAAGGGUGGAAUUGGCCAAAGGGAUAGAUCCAACAAUAAAAAAAUUACAAACACCAAGUGUUUGAUGCUUUUGAAAGCACCAUAGACGAAAUAUAUAUAUAUAUAUAUAUAUAUAUAAAGAGAGAGAGAGAGAGAGAGAGAGAGAGAGAGUUGGGCUAGAAUACUAUUGAUAUCAAAAGACCCUUUUUGCUAUCAAGUUUUUAACUCUCGAAUGAGAAAUUGUAGGGUUAGGAUGAUAUUAGUUCCUUAAGGUUGAGUGGUCCACCUAGGGUUGAGUGGUCCCCACUGAGUUAUAAUAUUUAAUCCAAUGGUUAGAAAUGAUGAAAGGAGUUGAGCUAAAAGUUAAAAACUUGAUAGCAAAAAGGGUCUUUUGCUAUCAAUAGUAUUCUAGCCCAACUCUCUCUCUUUGUCACGCUCAGGAUUACUUGUUUUUCCGGGCACGCUAAUAGACCCGUCAUAUACAUAAAAAAAUUUUCUGUAUACGAAGCGAUAGCUGUACCUGUACCUGAAAUCAUACAAUACUACAACCAGUAGUAUAGAGCUGCUAAAAAGAAAUAUAUAUGUAAAUAACAUCGGUUCAACAAACAUACAUACAUAGUAUUCUGAUACAAAAACACUCGCUCCGGUGAGAUACUAACAUCAGUAUGUAUAAGAAUCAAAAACUACAACUACCUGUAGCUGGUAUAACUCUCUAGGUCAGUAGCAACUGGGAAGGGAUCUAGCUCACGACUCCCUUCCACGAUGAGUCUCCACGACAGCAGCAGCCGAAGAGGAGGGCUCUACAAAAAGAAUCCACAACUGGGUGUGAGAACUACUGCAAAAAGAAGUAGUGCUCAGUGGGUAUCGCUACCAACCUCAACGGCUCACCUACUAAGUCUACAGAAGUAAGCAGGGAUAGUAAGGAAAGCUGGAACAAAUCUAUAGCUAUAUGCCACUAUACUAUCGUGAUCCAACACUAACUAUCUAUAGAAAAUACAAAUUCUGACCCAAUCUCACUAGGGACUGUGAACACACCCGUCCCGCCUGUUGAAGCUACACUAAUUGCCACCACGCUAGGUCGUCAGUGGAGAGCAAGUCCAAACAGGACAAACCGACGUCAACGCAAAAGCACUAAGCCCGACUCCGGAGUGGCACGCGUGGGCGCUACCCAACCGAGUAUGCAAGCGUGUCUCUGCCAAGCUCAAUCAGGCUCUCACAGGCUGUAAUCAAAGUAGAAAGAUCUCACUGGUCUAAGAACCAUAAUCUACGUGCUCUCGGCACAAUCUGAUGCAAAAACAGCCAGCAGGGUCCACCGUCAACCGUGACAGCACCCGACAGUCCGGAACAGUCUAUACACUGCUGUAAAAAUAAGCUCAGCAUCCCAGCACGAGCGUAAAUAUAUUCUACACUAUUAUAGGUAUCCACCGUCAACAGACUGCGGCGAUACAAACCAUCUACAGCUCCUAAAGUUAGCUCUGGUAGUUUUAGCAGAUGAAAGUGUAGAACCUAUAGUUUUCUCCUAAGUCAAUUCCAAGUCCAACAUGUAUAAUUUAGCUAAUAUUCUAAGCUCCAAUUCAGAUUUAAGAAUAAAGUAAAUCAACGAAUCGAGCUACUAAACAUGCUAUGCAAAGCGGAAAAUACAUGCUGUUAUAUAUAGGCUUAGGAGAAAAUUCGUAGAAUUCGGUAAACAUAUCAUUAACCCACCUCUAGCGCGAGUCCGACAAGGCUAGAAGUCGCUGGGAAGCUCGGCAGUGAUCACCCACGAACCAGCAACAACCUUCUCCAAUGAUCUAAACACAAAAACACCAAAAUUUCAACACUUAAGCUUAAUUUCUCCAAAACCUCAAUGUCAAACUCACCUUUCAAUCCUCAAUUCAGGUGAGGAAAGGUUCCAAAACUAGUGGAGAAUGAUAGCGUAAAGUUCUCAGGUCCGAAUUCCAGCUUUCUCCUAGAAUUGAUCCAAGAGAACCACAAAAGUCCCAAUUUCAGCUCAAGUAUAACAGCAGCCCAGAAAAACGCCAAAUUGACUAUACAAACCUCAAUCAAAUGCUGUCAAAAUGGGCUUCACGAAAACUCCAAGAAGUCUAAUAACCACGAAACCAAGGUUUGCAGUAAUCGGAGCUUCCUACGUCGCACACGAGCCAAAACACCGAAGGUCGCUACUGGAAAUCUGUAGAAACUGCAAUCCUCAAGGUGGAAUUGUGUAAAUUUGGAGGGUUAGAGGGAUUAGAGUGCAAAUUAUAGGCUUCUUUGUGAAGAAGGGUGAAAAAGCUUCUCAGGGGAUCGCACCCAAGCUUUUAUAAGGAGGUGAAAAGGUCUGAUAAGCCCCAAGAACCAAAAACACAAACCUGCUGUUCUUGCAGAAAUGACUACAUUCGGGCCCCCGAGACCCACUUCUGGGCGUCCGAAACUCCCAAGCUAUACAAACACUCCUCUUCGGUUCCUCCGCCCACGGUACGAUGUGCCCAAAACCUGGUUCGGCGGAUCUCACCUACCACAAGACACGUGUCAGCACAGUCGAUACUCCCAAAGUGAACAUUCGGACCCACUUCUGGACGCCUGGAACACAGGAUCCGAAUUGGCUUCCAGUUCAGCUCUGUUCAGCACUCAAGAUCUGGGCGAUCGAAACUAUGUUCUGGGCGCCCGAAACUCGCAAAACUCCAGUUUUUCUUAUUUGAGUGCGCGAAGUCCAUUUCAUGCAAAACGACUCCAACUCAGUCCAACACUCUCCAGAUGUGUCGACUAGUCACUAAUACUAAAACCAAUCCGAUAUCAAACCCUCGGGACACUACAUCCUCCCCCACUACAAAAAGUUUUGUCUUCGAAACUUGAUGCAUACCUCAAUCCUGAGCAUCGGACAAGUAGGGAUAGGACUCCCGCAUCACCGUCUUUGGCUCCCAAGUCACAUCUCGCUCCUUGUGAUGACUCCACUGCACUUUUACAUAAGGAAUGACUCGGUUGUGCAAUUCUUUCGUUUCACGAGCCAGAAUUCGCAUCGGUCGCUCCUCAUAUCUUAAGUCAUCGCCAAGCUCCAGCGGAGUGAAGUCGAUCACGUGAGAAGGAUCGAACACGUAUCUCCUCAAUGCCGAGACGUGAAAAACAUUAUGAAUACCAGCCAGUCGUGGGGGUAGAACAAUCCUGUAGGCAACUGGUCCAACUCGCUUUAAUACCUCAAAAGGGACAACAAAGCGUGGACUAAGCUUUCCACGCACUCCGAAUCUGCGUAUCCCUCUGGAUGGCGAGACUUUCAGAAAUACAUGAUCUCCAACCUGAAACUCUAAGAUUCGUCUCCUGGUAUCGGUGUAGCUCCUCUGCCGAUUCUGGGCUGUCAAAAUAUGUCGUCCCACCGCUUUAACUUUUUUCUUAGCCUUAAUCAGAAUCUCAGGCCUCAGAGUCUUCCUUUCAUCCACAUCACUCCAAUACAAAGGGGAUCGACACCUGCGUCCAUACAAUGCUUCAAACGGAGCCAUCUGAAUGCUCGUUUGAUAGCUGUUGUUGUACGCAAACUCAACAAGUCUCAAAUGUCGAUGCCACCUUCCUCCAAAGUUCAGGAUACAUGCUCUCAGCAUGUCCUCUAGAGUCUGAAUGGUCCGCUCUGACUGACCAUCCGUCUGUGGGUGAAACGCCGUGCUGAAAUGCAACUGUGUACCCAAGGCUGUCUGAAGACUCCUCCAAAAGUGCAAAAUGAAUCUCGAGUCUCGGUCCGAUACUAUCAAGGUAAGCACACCAUGCAAUCUCACUAUCUCAUCUAGAUAUAAUUGCGUGAGUCUCUCCCUAGACCAGGUGGUCUGUACUGGUAGGAAGUGGGCAGAUUUAAUAAGUCUGUCCACUAUCACCGAAAUAGCAUCGAAACCACUCUGUGCUCUCGGUAAUCCCACGAUAAAGUCCAUCGUGAUCUGCUCCGAUUUCAACUCGGGCACUGGCAGAGUCUGAAGCUUGCCAGCAGGUACCUGAUGCUCUACCUUUACCUGUUGGCAAGUCAAACACUGAGCCACAAAUCUGCAAAUGUCUCUCUUCAUUCCGUUCCACCAAUAGUGUGCAUUCAAGUCCUUAUAUAAUUGAGCUCCUAUGUCUUUAAAAGUACGAAAUUAUUGGUGGGUGUAAAUUUUUGGUCGUUGGAUGAAGAUUUGGAUGGUUAGGAUGAUAGUAGUUUGUUUCCCAGAGUUGAGUGGAUGGUUGGUAGAAUAGCAUGAUCUAAGGGGUGUAAUUCGUCAAAGGGAUAGAUCUAACGGCGGAAAACUUACAAGCGCCAAGUGCUUGGUGCUUUUAAAAGUACCAUCGCCACAAACUACAUAUAUAUAUAUAUAUAUAUAUAUAUAUAUAUAUAUAUAUAUAUAUAGAGAGAGAGAGAGAGAGAGAGAGAGAGAGAGAGAGAGAGAGAGUCCGGACUAUUGGUGCUUGUUAAAAAGCACCACGCACUUUCGCAGUGCUCUUGUAAAUUUUUUUAACCUGGUUAGACUCUACGUAUUUUGAUCUUUUCAACCUUUAGAUUAUACUAUUCAAUUCAACUACCCAACUAACCCUAGCGGACAUAUCAUCCUAACCACAUAUUCCUUAUCAAUUGGCAAAAAAUUUACAGUACCAAUCUUGGUUUUUAAAAGCAUAGGAGCUCACAUCUCUCUUCUCUCUCCUCAUCUUUCUCUCUUUUUCUAUAAUAUAUAUAUUAUAUAUAUUAUAGUCUAUAUAGAAGUUGAGUGGAAUGCUUAUACGGUAGCAACGGGCGUCGUGUUGCCACCAUUGUUUUCGAUGAUGGAGACUUUCAAAUCGCGAUCGGCACCUUGAACAUGAUUUAAUCACUGAAGUAUCUAGAAAUCAAUUUCAAAUCUUUUGCGACAUUCAUUUACUAAUUGUCAAAGAGGCUUAAAAAUAGUAAUUUUAAUGGUUGAUAUGAGGGGUUUUCUUCCUUUUAACGGAUUUGCUGUAAGCUAUCAAAUAAUUAUUUUGUUAGAAUUUUCUUUAACUAUUUAGACACAGAUCUAUCUUCUCGAUAUGAUUACAAAAUCUUCUAUUCACUUUUUAGCGGGAUAUUCAUUUUCAGCAUUCUUUUACGCACACUUGCUGGUACAGAAACAUAUCGCGAAAGUAUUGAAUUUUGAUUUCUUAGAGAUUUCAAGUAGGUAUAGAUAUUUUUAACCGGAUCCGAUCGUCGAUUUGGAUUGCUCCAUCAUCGAAAACAAUGCCGGUGCAACUGAGCCGUUUAGCUACUUAUAGUAUUCCAGCUCAACUCUCUCUCUACUAUAUAUAUAUAUAUAUAUGUAUAAUUAUUUAUAUAUAUUAAUUUAUGUAUAAUAUACUUAUUAUAUAUAUACAUAUUUGUAUAUAUGUAUAUAUAUAUAUACAUUAUAUGUAUAUUAUCGUAUAUAUAUAUAAAGCUAAGCCUGGAAUGACUAUUAAUAGCACAAUGAUCUUGGUGCCUAUUAAGUUUUUCUGUCUUUGGAGUUAAAUGAUCGUGCGGUUUAAGAUGAAUGUUGAGCACCAUAGGGAUUGAACGGGUGGUUGGUAUUGAUAGUUAAUCGAACGGAUGAAAAUUGAUAAAGAGAUAAAUUUAAUGACAGAAACUUGAUAGCGACUAAAUGCUUCGUGUAUCGAUUGUAUCCUAGCGGACUCUCUCUCUUUCUUUCUCUCUCUCUUCUCUCUCUUCUCUGCGUAUAUAUUAUAUAUAUUAUUAUUUAUAUAUAUACUCUAUAUUAGUAUAGUAUAUAUAUAUAUAUAGUAUAUAUAUUAUAACUAUAUAUAUAUAGAACUAGGUUGGGAUAUAUUAUUUAGCACAAAGCUAUUAAGUCGCUAAUUAGUUUUUUACCCUUUGGAAUUGAGAAAUGUGCGGGUAGGAUGAUGUGGGUCCCCAAGGGAUUGAGUGAGUGGUUUGUGAAUAGUAUAAUCUACAGGUAAAAAUAAUAAAAGGGGUUAAUUAACGUGCGAAAACUCAUAGCACCAAGUCCUUAGUUGCUAUUCGCAUAGGUAUCCCAGUCGGCUCUUCUCUCUCAUGUCUCUCUCUCUCUUCUCUCUCUCUACUCUCUCUUUAUAUAUAAUAAUAUAUAAUAUAUAUAUAUAUAUAUAUAUAAAGAGAGAGAGAGAGAGAGAGAGAGAGAGAGAGAGAGAGAGAGAGAGAUUCUCGCUAUUAUACAUCGAUAGUACUAAGCGCUUGACGCUAUCGAGUUUUUCAUCGUUACAUCUACGCCUUUGACGAUUUUCUCCUGUUAGAUUAUAUUAUUCAACCAACCACCUACUCAACCCUAGAGGACUACUAUCAUCCUAACCACACAUCCCUUCAUCCAAGGGCUGAAAAUUUAAUAGCACCAAUGUCUUAGUGCUAUUACUAGUAUAGUAACCUAGUUUAUAUAUAUAUAUAUAUAUAGAGAGAGAGAGAGAGAGAGAGAGAGAGAGAGAGAGAGAGAGAGAGUUGGGCUACUAUAUUCUUAUAAAUGUAGUACUCUUUAUACUCAUAAGUUAUUUUCAAUGAUGGAGCUUUCAAAUUGACGAUCCAUACUGUUAAAUAUGAUUUAAUGCAUUUGAACUUCUAGAAAAUAAAUUUUGUAAUUCUUCAAAAUUAUAAUAAAGUCUACCAAGUGAGCAUAAAAUGAACAGGUCAAAAUUGAAUGAUAUAUUGAAAGUAAAUAAUUUGAUCCUUCAAUUUAAGAUCGGAGUUAUUGAUUUUCAUCUAGAUAGUGAAUGAAAUUUUUUAUCAAAAAUUCAACCAAUUCCUAUUCUUUUAAACCAUUAAACUAGCAAGUAUAUUUAUCACGCCCCGAGACUCACCACUUUGGUUGGAUUCGGCGCGCCAACAGUGUAGUACCCGAAACUUUGGCCAAUUGCAAAGUUCGAGUGUUUGAAUAGCAAUUGAAACUGUUCCACAUCGAGAGGUUUUCAGCAAGUUACUAGAGCGAACAAGUGGCCGGAAGAGCAAAAGUGCAUUGAAGCAGCACAAAUUUGUAUUUUGGCACCGAGUACCAGUACCAGCAUGGUCCAGUACCGGUACCCAGCACAGCAGUAGCUGCGUGGCUGAGGCUAUUUUGGACUUUUCACUUCCUAAGCUUAUCCUUAUCACCCCAGCUUGACCCCUCAGCUUGUUCUUAUCAUGUUGGAGCUUUGAGAACAGGGGUGAGCUUCUCUCUCUUUCUCUCUCUAGGUUUUCCAUUUUGAGAUGGAAAACUAGUGUUUUAAUCUUGGUUUUUCCUUCUCUUUUGUUGUAGCUGAUUGGGAAGGCUUUGGAGCUGUGUUUUGCUGUUGGAGAGAGAGAGGUUUUGUAGGUUUUUCGCAGCCCUAGCUCAGCAAGAAGCUGAGUGGAAGUUUGGUAAGGUGAAGGAUUCAACUUCUCUCUAGAUUCAUGCUAUAGUAGUAAAGUUGAAUUGUCUUGGUUUCUUUGUACCAACUGGUUUUGGGAGAGAUUAAAGCAGCAAUAGAAGUGAUGUUUUACUGUUAUUCUUCAACUCUAAUCUAGGGAAAACAGAAUUGAAGCUUUGGAAGGUGAAUUAACAACUCUCUUCUCUAGUUUCAUGUAGUAGUGGCUAUAGUAAUGGAUUGUGAGCUUGUUCUUUGCCCUAUGCUGCUAGCUAGUUCGCAGAGCUUUGUAGUGGCUGUAGAAGUGGAGUUUGGCUAUAAUUCUUCAACCUUAACUCUGUAGAAAUUGAGUUAGAGCUGUACAAGGUGAACUAGCUAACUUUGCUACUAGUUUUGAGAUAUUGGAAACAAUUGUGAAAGAGUGUAUAGUGUAUGUUCAUAGCAGGUUCACAGCAGGGUAUUGGAUUCCUUUGGUUGAGAUUCAUGAGCUUUGGAAGGUUGGUUUGAUGUGUUCCAACCUGAAUUGAAAAGGAAUUCAAGUUUGGUUACUCCUAGGUGAGAUUCUAACCUAGACUAUGUGACUAUGUGAGGAUUUUUAUGUGAAAGCUUGGUUGAGGUUUUAGCUGAUUUUAGAAUCAUUGUUAGGGUACUUGAAGACUUCGGAUUACCUCCACUUGCGGAGUCAAUAAGAAUCGUCGACUAAUUGGUGGGUUUGACCUUACUGAAAUAGGUGAAUUCCCUCUAUAUCUUUUUUGACAUUAUGAAAGAAGAAUGGUUAUAUAUAUUCUUGAGAAUAUAAGCUUGAAUGAAUGUGUGUAUGCAUGAAAUCUCUAUGUAGUAAAGGAAAAAGGAUUUUGGGAACUAAUAUAUUCCAUGUGUAUUAUCUAAGGUUAGUAAAACUUGUGUAGACAAGUUAAACAUGAUAUCAGUGAUUGAGAAUCAAGGCAAAGCUAUGAAUAGUACUUUUAGUGUAGUUUAACAACUAAGCGGGGAAUGAUUAUGAUAUUUAACUCUUGAGUUAUUUUCUGCUAUUCCAUGUUUUAGACAUGACGACAGAAUUGCUAUGUAUAUUGCAUAAAACAAGAUUAUAUCUUUGUAUUAUGAAAUGAAUUGUUUAGAGAUCCUAUAUAGAAUACUCUAUCUGAGGUUGUGUAUACUUGUGUAAACAAGCUAUCCAUGGUAUUCAUAUGAUAGAACUAGUAUGAACUUCGUGUUCUGGUAUAUGAUUUAAUUAAAUAACUGGAACUUAGCAUUAUGACAUAACAUGAUCGUGAUACUAAGGAAUAUAACCUAGUUAAAUAACUAGGGUUAAAUAUGAUGUUAUACUUGUUGACUUCAAGUAGUGGAGGUUAUUGAAAAACUAUAGAAUAUGUGCCAUGAGUUACAUGAACACUAGAAUGAGUCAUUGAGUAUGACCUUAGUAAACCACUUUUCUUAUGUAUAGGGAGUAGUGAAAGGAUUGUAUAUGAGUAUGUGGGUAUAGCCCAUUAGAAUCAUCAAUAUGUUGUAAAGCAUAUACUUGUUUAAGUCAUACUACCUAUUGGUAGAAAUAUGUCACCAAGUAGUUGAUAGUGAAUUAUGACUUAGUGGUAAUUGUCGACUUUGUGUCGAGUUGAGAUUCCAUGUUAGAGACAUGAUGAACUUGUGAUACCUAUGCUAUGGAUUACGUUUGCUUGCCAUGUGCUCAUUUGCACACCCUUGUGAGGGUCGCGCCCCACAAGCCGGCACUCCGGAGUUAGCCUAGCGACAGAUUGCUCGCUUCUGUACGAGACUGAGCGCCGAAGUGGAUUGCUGUGGGUAGUGUUGACUUCCACGGGGCUAUUAGGCACGGUACGAGCCGGGACUUCAUUUUGUGUAAGUCUCUUGUUAAUUGGGUUAUGGUAAGUGACUUUAGCCUUAGAUGGACAUAGUAGUAAAGAUACUUUAUGUCAUUAGUCGAAUAAACCUAGUGAUGAACAUACUAGGAGGUUGACAUCCCUAUUAGUUAGUAGUAUAGUGACAGUACGUUUACACUCUUGUUAGUGUAGGAAAAUAGCUACAUGAUGUCAUUAGCUAGUGAAAUUAUGAUGAUAUUUUGCAUAUAGCAUGACAUAUAGCUGAUUAAACUGAUAAUUAACCUGACAAGUAGAACUUGUUAUGAUGAACUAGUAUAUAAGACAUGUUAGAAAACAUAUCUUGUGAGGCAUGCUAUAGUUGAUUUACUUGUUGCAUUUACUUUAUUUGCUUAUUGUUGUUUACUCAUGCCUCAGUUGACCUAGUGGUGUACUUCGCCACUCUCGGCGGUUUACCCACUGGGAACUAUUGUUUAAUAGUUCUCACGCCCUUUUGUUGGUUGUUUUUAUGCAGAGCCUUCCACAGCGGGAAAGGCUAGGAUUUUCCUGGCAAGGGGUCAGCGGAUAGCUAGAGCCUUCUCGAUGUUAAAUAGAUGGAACCAUACCAGCUUCUCUAGUCUAGUUCAGUAUUGUAUAUUGGAACUGUGUAGAAUGCACUUUGUACAUUACUUUUAAGUUGUAAUAAGGUUUUGUGUUGUAUAAGUUUUUAAACUUUUAAUUUUUUUCUGAUUAUCUGGUUAAGUAUUAUGCUUUUGCUAUAUUGAUUUUAGACACCUGGUGUACACUUGAGGUUGUGGUGUACACGGCGGGUCUGUGCACGUUACUGUGAGCUUCCACUGAAGUCCAGGGCAUGAGAAACAGACUGCUGAACAGACCGAGUUUUCGCUGUCCGCCCAAGGCGUUACAAUCAAUACAAUUCAAGUGGUUCCAACUAGGAACAGAAUUCAUACGCCGAUUGUAUAAGGAAGACAUCAAACAUAAUUACUAGGCUAUUACAAGAGCAUUCGUCACAUUUCAUAUUACAUUUACAUUUACAUUCUUUUUGCUUCCAAAUACAAUCAACUUUAUUACAAUUUGUUCAUUCCUUUCUAUACCCUAAGCUAUGUUGACCCAGGGUACAUUUAUCUCUGGUCUCAAGUGGUAGGGUGCUAUCUACCGAGCUACGCUCUUUCUUCGCGCUGCCGCGCCGCUCACGUGUAGACUUGAAAAACAUGGGAGUGAGAACUAUAAACAUAGUGUUCAGUGGGUACAGCCACCCAAGAGAAGAGCUUAACCCACCAGGUCCAAAGGAGGCAAUAUAAGUAAGUUAGUCCAACAUAUAACAUAUAGUUCAACUUUAUGCAAUUAAAAAAAUAUCAUACUUAUGCCUCAACAAAAUGUAAUAAUGAAAUCAAUGAAAGUACAUAUCAUCUUCUACUUUUUAUUUCACUAUCCAUAUCAUCUGCAAUCCACUCCUAAGGUUUCUCUUACCUUAGCCAAGAUAUUUCACCCGACUCGGUUUUGAGUCAAUCAUUCACAACUUACCGCCUUAUUGACUUAGCCAUCCGGCGGCGAACUCGCCGCACACGCCAAACAAUAGC